UUGCGGUUACGGUGAUGAAGGGUAUAAGCUGAAGUGCAGGCAGAAUCAGCCCCCUGUUAUGACGCUCAGUUCCCAAGAAUUCUAUGUGCUGCAUCUCAAUCGGUCUCAUGGUUUGUUGACAAUCAAACGAGUGGAAUUAAACAACACCUGUCCUCAGCCGAUUUUGAUGAACAAUGCUUUUAAUUAUACUGAAACUGCUGAAAACAUUACGCUGUUCUACGACUGCCGAAGCAGGGGAGGUCCGAAUCAUCGUUUCAGCUGCAGAAAGGGUGGAAAAGAAACUUCCCUCAUGUUCUUUAAGGAGGAUGAAAAUGAAUGUAUUGGAAACAGUGAACAAGUUGAAAUUCCUAUUGGGAAAAAGGCCUUUGAUGAUCUGAUUGGCGGAAUCAGCACUGUUAAUGAAAGUUUAGUCCAACCCUUUGAUAUUAGAUACUUUGCAUACGAUCCUUAUUGCAAACACUGCAAGGAUUCUGGCGGAAGAUGUGGAUACAACCAAACUGAAACCUCUGCAUUUGUCUGCUAUUGUCGUGAUAAGCCUCAUUUACUUAAAUGCAACCAAGGUACGGCAUACCUGCUUCUUUUUACUCUUCCUGAAUCGUUAAAACACUCCGUUGAAUCAUUGUUCAGAAACAUGGAAUCCAGUUGAUAUCCAGUCGUCUUUUUCUGCUGUUUAUGACCCAGAAUUAACCCCAGCUUUGGGUUCUUAAUUAUCCGAUCUUUUCAGCUUUUACUUCAUUGAUUAGACCUUUAAAAGAAAUCCAUUCAUGGUCUAACUUUUGGAAUUGGUCAGCGGUCCCAGACAGCAGCACCCGUUAAAGGACUAUUCUUCCCAACUAGUUUGGCCCAAACCUCAUCUUCUACUUCUCUUCUUAAUUUCAUUUUCCCCCCUUCAAAUGCAAUGAAAAGGUGCGGCCAAAGUAAUGUUUCUUUUUCUCUCCUUUAAAUUAAGCCACCGAAAUCUUUGGUUAUAUAGAGCAAGUGCCCCCACCUAUUAAAUUACUCUUCUAUUCUAUCUUUUCUCAAUGGUCCCAUUUAAUAUUGGGUCGGUGCAGAUUUGGUUUUAGGCAUAAUCACUUUCCCCCCCUAAUUUUAAAAAACAAUAUUUUAAUUAUCUUGUAAUUUUUUAUCAAUAAAUAAAGAAGUUAUUAACUUUAUUGAUGUGACGUACACGUGAAUACAUAUAAAUGAUAUAUCUAUAUUUUUAAAUUUUUAAAUUUUAAAAAUUUAAUUAAAUGUUAAUGUAUCAUUCAUGUUGUAAUUUACGUGUAUGUAAUAUCAACAAAAUUAAAAGCAUUAAUUUUUCUAUUCAUUUUGAAGUCAUGCAAUAAAAAAACAAAAAGAGUUUAAACACUUAAAAAACGAAAAUUAAAAUAAAUUUUUUAGUAAAAUUGGAGGUUGAAAUAAAUGAUUAUGCUUUGUUUUUAUUCAUGUCAUGGGGAUUUUUUUUUUAAAGCCAACGACAAAAUCCAGUUGAAGAGGAUUCUAAUCUUUCAUAAAUUACUAUCAUUAUGACAUCAGCAUUAGCAGAUAUAGGUCAUUUCUGCUAGUGCGGUCUUAAAGCUAAGCUAUCUUUUACUUGGGAGAAUCUGGAAUUGUAGAGGGUAGGCGCCACCCAUUCUUUGACUUUCCCAAAUGGAUGUUUGUGAUCAAGAUAACUGCUACAUUGAUGUGAAUAUGAAAUUGCCCAAUCUCUUGAACAAACCAUACCUUUGCUUUUGCUUCAAAUAUUAUUCUCUGUUUCCUUUCUAAAUUCCCAUCCCUAUCCAUAUCACAUUAAAGGUGGGUUUGGAUGGGCGAUUGGAUGCGGUGCGAUGCGUUUAACUUACUUUUUGUCUCACGUUACAGUAUCUAAUCUCAUCGCCACCGCUGUUUUUACACUAACCGCAGGUAAACGCACCGCCCAUCCAAACUCACCCUAAAAUUAAGAUAAUAUAAACUCAACAAGGUAAUAGUACCAUCCGACUGUUCCAUUCCAUUCCAUCCCUUAUUGCUAUAUUUUAGAUCACUUCUUUGUAUUGUUGCCAUCUUUUUGACAACCUUAGUAUGCAAACUCGCACUAUAACCUGAUUUAUCGAGUCAUGUCAUGAUACAUAAUUUGAAAUUGUUCUGUUUAGAUAUGAAAUAGGGUUGCACUGCCUUAUAGGCAAGUUUAGGAUAUCAUUAAUCAACUUUUAAGUGUAGGAACAAAAUAAUAAUAUCUUUUCUUUGGAUUGUUACAUGUUUUUGCUUCUGUUUCUUGUUUCAUAGCUGAAAUUGGGACCAUAAAAUGUGAUAUAGACGGCUGAUAAUUGACCCUUUGUAGGAAUUAGGAUUACAUGUCUUUAGAAAUGUUGAGAGCUCUGAUGGAUUAUUUAUCAGUAAAAGUAUCAUGGAGGCUCCUGUGUAUUAUUAUCCAGAUUGUAUUUUGCUUCUCUCUAUUAAAAAAAUUGGGUAAAUUAAUCCAUGUAUGUUAAAUCAAAUAACAAAUCAAUCUUAUUUGUUAAAAAUUCAUCUAUUUGUACUAUUAAAAAUUGGUGUGGCUAACGGAAUAAUCAAAUAAUGAUACAUAACUAGUCACAUGUGUACCUUAUGUUGAUGUACAAGAAUUAGUUUUAAAUAAUAAAAAUAGAGGAAAUUUUUAACAAAAGAAUCAAGUUGCUUUUUGAUCUGUCUAAUUUAUCCAAUACAAUCCGACUUUUAGUAUAGGUACUCCACUUUAACUUUUUUCAUUAUUUUUCCCAUUUGCCAUAUACCAUAUUCAUUUAAUUUCUCUAAAAAAACCAAUUUUUUUCUAUUUCAGGCCGGCAUGGUUCUAACUUGGCAAAAAAGCUUGCAAUCGGUAAUAUACUCCCCCGAUUCUCCCCUGUUCCAUUCAUCUCUUCUGGCAGUGUGUUGCUGCAUUUUCAUCUUCUUUUUCACCAACUUGAUACGAAUUUUCAAUAAACGCAGGUUUUGGAGCGGCUGCUGGAGGCAUAAUAAUCUCGGCCAUCGCUUUCUAUUUCUGGUUGCGCCAUCGCCGUGGAAAGGAGUUCUUUAAAUCAUCUUAUGCAUGGAGCAAAAGCUUUUCCGAUCGUUCUUUCAUGAUGGAUCCUGAGAAGGUCAAAAGCUUGGCUGGUGUCCAUCUCUUCACCUAUAAAGAACUUGGAGAAGCUACCAACAAUUUUGAUUCCAAUAAGGAACUUGGUGAUGGAGGCUUUGGAACCGUAUAUUAUGGUAAGAAAAAGAUACAAAACCGAAUCAUUAGAUUGUCGAUGUUCUAUUAUUCUCUCAUCCAUCUUCCUUGACUAGGCAAACUUCGAGAUGGACGCGCGGUUGCGAUUAAACGUUUAUAUGAAAACAACUACAAGAGAGUUGAGCAAUUCAUGAAUGAAGUUUGGAUCCUAACCAAAUUGCAUCACAGAAAUCUCGUAUCGCUUUACGGAUGCACCUCUCGUCACAGUAGGGAACUGUUGCUGGUAUAUGAAUAUGUUUCUAAUGGCACUGUUGCCGAUCACCUUCAUGGACAACGUGCUAAACCGGGUGCGCUCUCUUGGUCCAUUCGCUUAGAUAUAGCCAUAGAGACUGCAGAUGCACUCAGCUAUCUCCAUGCUUUUAAAACCAUCCACCGUGAUGUGAAAACCAACAAUAUCCUCCUCGACAACAAUUUCACAGUUAAAGUUGCCGAUUUCGGACUGUCUCGUCUUUUUCCAUCUAAUGUUACCCAUGUUUCCACUGCUCCACAAGGGACUCCCGGUUAUGUCGAUCCCGAAUAUCACCAAUGCUACCAGCUUACCGAGAAGAGUGAUGUGUUUAGCUUUGGGGUUGUACUCGUUGAGCUAAUAUCAUCAAAACCAGCCGUAGACAUCACGAGGCACAGACACGAGAUCAAUUUGUCGAACAUGGCUAUCAAUAAGAUUCAAAACCGAGCAUUACAUGAACUAGUGGAUCCAUCUCUCGGGUUCGAAUCAGACUACAAGGUUAGGAAAAUGAUAACGGGUGUAGCAGAGGUGGCAUUCCAGUGCCUGCAAAACGAGAAAGAGAUGAGACCAACAAUGGCACGAGUGUUGGAGGCCCUAAAGGGUAUACAAAAUGAGGAUUACAAUAAAGCAAAGGCAGAAGAGAUGGAUAUUUCAGCAGAUGAUGUUGGGUUGUUGAAGAGUGGACCAUUGCCACAUUCUCCAGAUUCUGUGAUGACAAAAUGGCAUAGCUCCUGUACAAUACAGUCAAAUAGUACGAGUUAACUUAAAUUUCACUAAAUUUCGAGGCAUAUAGUAAAGGAAACACUGUCAACCUGUACUAUAAUUUUUCUUUCCAUUUGUGCUUCACCUUGAAUGGUAAAUGGGAUGUAAAUAUUAUAUAGGAUAAGCGGUGUAUGAAAACCGUCAGCUUUGGCAUUCAAAUUUUCAGCUGAUUCCAGCUUUUUGAUUAACAAGUUGCAUAAAUUAGAUAAACAAAUUAAUUGUUUAAUUUAAUACUUCUGACAAAGGAUAUGUUCUUUUGGCUUUUAGUAUGUUUAAGGAACUUUGAGCUAGACAUGUUUCUUUCUUUGUUUACUCCUUGUAGGCAAAUAUAUAAAUAUGAAUUUAUGUUGAAUGGGUUGAAAAUUUGAUGUCCCUCAAGAGUUAAAAUCACUGUUAGUGUCUACAAACAUUAUGUUUUGUUCACUCUAUUAGAAUAGAAUUAUAAUAGAAUGCUAUUAUGUAGGAAUAAAAUAGAGCUUUAAUGGAAUAAGAGUAUUGCAAUAAUUUCGUUGCAUGGAAUAGAAUGAGUAUUAUAAUAAUAUUUCUAUGUUUGAUUCAAAGAAAUAGAUACUCUAAUAGCAUGAGAAAAAGAAUGAAAUCACUAAUAUAUCCUUUAAUUUUUUUAUAAAAAUAUUCAACUAUGUUUAAAGACUUAAAUAACCAAUAUACCUUUUUAUUUUAAAAACUAAAAUAUCCAAAAAUGUUAAAAUUUUGAAAUGACCAAUAUGCCUUUUUAUAAUUUUUUUAAUAUAUAUAUAUUUAUCAAAUAUAAUAUUCUUGAUUAUAUUUUAGGGAACUUGACUCUACACUAACCAAAAUGAUAUUAAUUUUACCUUAAAAUAUAUUCUAAAAGAACUAAUAUCGUCAGUAUUAUAAAUUGUGAGGUGAAAAUGGCAAAGGAAAAAUAUGAUAUUUAAUUUACCAUGAUGAAAUUAUUAUAAUUGCAUUCAAUAAUAAAUAUUAUGCUCAGAGAAUCAAAAAUUUUCUAGUGAGAGGUCAAAAUAAAAUUAAUUUGAAUGACUUAAAAUUAUAAGUUUAAACAAUUGAAAAAAAUCUUUGAAACCUGAGAGAAAUCUUCUAUCAUUGAGGUUUUGAAUUGCUAAAGCCUAAUAAGACCAAAAGAUUUAUAGAAUUUGAUUAUAAUUGAUGCAUUAAAAUAGUUGAUGGUGAUUGUUUGAUUCAGGUAUGCUUGAUAUAGAUUUGUGAGUUGUAAAUUGAAUAUGUCAUGAUAAGUAGAAGAAAGUUACAAAAAUUGGUAUGCUAAGUAACAUAUAUUAUUUGAUGAUCUUGUACAUUGUUUAAACUCACCUUGUUGAUGUUUGAGUGCCAUGUCUUAGCCAAUAACAUGUCAAACUAAGGUUGCAUUUAUACUUGCAUAAUAUUAAGGUAAAUAUAGUAACUUUCAAAUGAACAUAUUAAGCAUUCUAUAUGCUUACACUAAUUGCUUUCUUCCUUUGUAGAUUGUCACUUUGCGGAACUCACGAGUUAGAUUGAAGAGAAGCUCACACUAUCAUCAAAUCAGUAAAGUUGUGCUCAUUUUGGUUAUAGUGUUGUGACAUGCAUAUAGGAUCAACGUGUCACUUGAAUUGAGAACAUAAUGUAUGUAUUAAGAAGUAGUUUUGGUAAUGUUUAUGUUUGCACUUGGUUGAUGUUGGAUGUUAAGUUGAUAAAUGACUUAGAUGAUGCAUGUUUAGUUAUGUUUGAUGUUAUUAAAAAGCGUGAUCAUGAAUUUGUAUGAAUUGAUAAGUUGAGGAUUGGAAAGGGAAGUAAUUAAAGCAUAACAAGAUGACAUAUAAGCUAGAAUUGGUAUGUUUAGGUGUAAAGGUGAGUUAGAACUCCAUUGAUGAUUUUGUGAUAGUUGAUAUAUUCAAUACUUGAUUGUAAUGGUUAUGUGGUCUUGUUGACAUAAAGUGGUAUGGAAUUGAGAUUUUUUUUUAUUGUAAAUAGAUGUAUGAAUCAAUUAAGUUGAGUUGCAAGUUAUUAAGUUGGAACCAAAUGAUAUUUUUGCUAAAAAAGGGGUAUCGUCACGACUACCAACAUCUCAACGUGAGCUGAAAGUGAGUGACGUCGCAACGUUGAUAAGCUUGAAGUUGCGACGUGACUCACUGACUUGGUGACAUCAUGACGUGGAAAUUCUAAAGUCGUGACGUCAAUUCGUGAAUUUCAAAACUUUACAAUUCGGUCCUAAUUCAUGCUCGGGUUAACUAACGAGCUUUUGUAAGCUCAUGUAGGACCUAAAAAUAAUUAGGAUACAUAUUUAGAAUGUGAAUGAUAUUUGUUUGCUUAUGUGAUUGGUUGAAUGUUGUAAUAUUGUCUAAAGUUGCUCCGACAACAAAUGUAGUAUCCUACAGCUCGGACUCGAUGAUCGGGUCGAGUGAUGGGUGUUACAUAGCCUCACAUGAUAUUGAGCAACACAAUGGACACAAUGGAAAUUUGCGGUGUUUCUAAAAAAGUGCCGCUAAUGCUCGAUCUAUUGCGGCGUUUUUUGAAAAAGCGCCGCUAAUUCCACUAAAUCUCAACCCAAUUUUUCUUUCUUAGAAUUUAUGUCAAAGUUAAACAUUCAAAACAUUAUAACCUACCCAAUAUGAAAUUUAAACUAAAAUAAAUCUAAACAAUAUUCCCACAUGAUUUAUUACUAGGUCAUUUUAUGUAGGAAGUUGGAAAUAAUAAGAAUGGAAGUUAUUACUUUUAAUUGUUUAACAUAGGUUAGAAUAGUAUUUUUUUUUUUUUACAUUUAGAUGUAAGUUCUCAUACAGUACUUUUACUUCUUAGAUUUCCAACAGUUAAUACUAUUAUUUUUUUUGUUAAAUUUUAAUUUUAUUAUAACUUUAUUUUUUUGUUAUAUGGUUACUAAGUGAAUAUUUUUUUUAAUUUUAUAAUAUCACAUUAACAAUUAAAAAAUAAUUUUAACAGUAUUAAUAAUUAAACUUAAAUUUUUAAAUUCGUAAAGUAAAUGAACUAAAUUUUUAAAAAUAAAAGUAAAAAGACUAAAUUCCAAAUGUACAAAAAGUAUAAGAAGAAAUUGAAGUAUAUUUUAUCUUAACUUAUAAUAUCCAUCACAAUAUUUGUGAUAUUCUUUAGAGGAAUUUUUUAUGAAAAAAAUGUUUAACCUAUAAUAUAAGUACGGGAUAAAUUAUAUUAGUAUCACCUAAAAAUUUUAGUUUUUAGGUACCAAUGGAAUAAAGUUAUGUCAUCAAUUUUUAAGAACAUAAAAUUUUUAUCAUAUGCACAUCCGUAUACAAUCCCUCUCUAUUUUAGGUGUUGUUUGAUAAAUUAAAAAAGUAAGUAUUAAAAAAAUAAGUUUUGAAAAAUUAAUUAUUGAAAAUUUAAGUACUUAAUUUAAGUUAGGGUAAACUACACCCGCGGUCACUUUUGUUUACCUUAGGUUACAUUUUAGUCACUUAUGUUUGAAAUGUUACGUUUUAGUCACUUACGUUAUCGUGUUGUAACAUUUUAGUCAUUAAGCCGUUAAUUGUCGUUAAUGAUGUAAUAGUAAGUUGACGUGGCACGUUAAAUUAUCAUUACAAACAAAAAUUUUAGGUUAAAUUAUACAAUUGGUCCCCAUAAUUUUUCGUUUUGAGCAAUUUAAUUCUUUUAUGUUCUUUUAACUUUCUUUCUUUUUUUCUUUAUUUUCCAUUCUCUUCUGCUUAUUCCUCUGUUUUCCUACCUUCUCUAUUUCUUUUAACAUACCAGGAAGUCGAAUUGGCAGUGAAGAAAGAAGCAUGGAAUGGGUUUAUGGGUUUUGGUUAUAGGCAAUGAUGACAGUCGACUUCCUACUUUUUCAUUGCCAAUUCGACUUCCUACUAUGUUAAAAGAAAUGAGAAAAGUAUGAAAACAGAGGGAGAAACAAAAGAGAAAAAUUUAAAGAACAUAAAAGAAAAAAAAUUAAAUUGCUUACGACGAAAAAAAUAUGGGGAUCAAUUGUAUAAUUUAACCUAAAAUUUUGUUUGAAAUAAUGAUUUAACGUGCCGCGUCAGCUUAUCGUUACACCAUUAACGUAUAUUAAUGGCUCAGUGACUAAAAUGCUACAACAUGAUAACGUAAAUGACUAAAACAUAACAUUUCAAACAUAAGUGACUAAAACGUAACCUAAGGUAAACAAAAAUGACCAUGGGUGGAGUUUACCCUUCUAAGUUAGAAAAUUUGUUUGAUAUAUUACUUAAAAUUAAUUAUAGAAUAUAAUUAGAUUGUUUGACAAAUAUAGAUUUUAAAUUAUAAAAAAAAUAUAUUCUACAUUAUAUUUUUAAUUUUUAAACAUUCCACCUUAUUCUAAAUAAAACUUAAAAUUUUGAACGUAAAAUUUGUAUAGGAUAAUAUAAAAUUAAAAUGAAUAAAGUAAAAUUGCAAUAACUGAAAAUAUUCUUCAUUAUUUUCCACACUUAUUAUUUUCCACACUUUUUUUAUAGAAAAAAAUAUUAUCAAAUUGCUUUAAUUUUGGAUUAUCAAACUAAAUCCAUUGAAAAUAAAUUUAAUUUUUUAAUAAUUUAUCAAACAAUUAUUUAAUAAAAUUUAAUUUAAUUAUUUAUAAAAUAAACAAACUAAUGCAAGAAGAUAAAAGAUUGGAUUAGAGAGUAACAACAUUAAUUGAAAAAAUAGAUUAGACCAACCUCAGAUUGAAUUGGAAACAAUGAUACUGUCUAAUUUAAAGUAACAUAUUAUUUAUAUAAAAAACUUGGAAUCAAUAUAGAAUCAUUUUAACCAAUCAAACAUCAAAUAAAAAUUUUGAUUAUGAUUUAUGAGAUUUGAAAAUAAAAAUUAAAACCCUGGUUAUUAGACAGGGGGUUGGGUAUGAAUAUAAGACAAGAGUAAGUGGCAGUAUGUUAUCCAGGCUGACAUCUUCUGCCCAGUACUUAUUUUAUUAGACCUGUUGGGCUUUAGCAAGGAAAUGAGUGAAAAAUAGGAAUAAACCAAAAAUAAAUGUGUCUCUCAUUUAAUUUAAAUAAAGUUUAAUCCGCUUGAAAUAAAAAAAAAAUAUCACUUAUCGGUUUGAUCAACGGUUGUAAUAACUUGCAAAAAGAAAAAAUAGUUUAGAUAAUAAUAAUAAUAAUAAUAAUAAUAAUAUUAUUAUUAUUAUUAUUAUAUAUGUAUUGAUACAUAAAUUUGAAGUGUUUUUAUAUUUAUGUUGUAGUUAUCACACUUUUUUUUUUGUCAUAGUAUGGUAUUUUGAUUAUUAGGUUCAAAAUUAAGAAUGAUGCUAGUCAUUUAAGUGGUGGAAAACUAAAAAUUCCUAGUGGAGUGGUAAACCUUCCGUGCCAAAAACUUGAAACGAGAUUUUUGGAGUGAAGAUGAUUUGUCCAUGAAAAAUAAGCCACUAAAUGGCAUUACGUCAUUCAACCACAUGUGAAGUACCUUUCCACAAGUCAAGGUCAGCACCCUUGUAUCUCUUGGAAAUUUUGUAACCCCCCUCCUUCCUCUUCUGUUAAAUUUCCAACCCAACCCCAUUUUUUGUCUCCCCAAUCUAUCUGACCUUCUCACUCUGUUUUUAUAUGUACAUAUAAACCCUUUUUCACUUUAAACCAACUAUUCACUCAUUCUUCCAUGGAUGCCUUCUUCCUUUCACCAUCUUCCUUCUCCAUCUUAUUCCUUUUAACUAUUUUCCAGCUGUCUUACGCCCGAGAUGAUUUCCACUUUACUUCAUGCGCUCCAUUUGAUUGUGGAAACCUUGUUAAUAUUUCAUAUCCUUUCUGGACCCAUCAAUAUAAUCGACCUUCAUAUUGCGGUUACGGUGAUGAAGGGUAUAAGCUGAAGUGCAGGCAGAAUCAGCCCCCUGUUAUGACGCUCAGUUCCCAAGAAUUCUAUGUGCUGCAUCUCAAUCGGUCUCAUAGUUUGUUGACAAUCAGACGAGUGGAAUUAAACAACACCUGUCCUCAGCCGAUUUUGAUGAACAAUGCUUUUAAUUAUACUGAAACUGCUGAAAACAUUACGCUGUUCUACGACUGCCGAAGCAGGGGAGGUCCGAAUCAUCGUUUCAGCUGCAGAAAGGGUGGAAAAGAAACUUCCCUCAUGUUCUUUAAGGAGGAUGAAAAUGAAUGUAUUGGAAACAGUGAACAAGUUGAAAUUCCUAUUGGGAAAAAGGCCUUUGAUGAUCUGAUUGGCGGAAUCAGCACUGUUAAUGAAAGUUUAGUCCAACCCUUUGAUAUUAGAUACUUUGCAUACGAUCCUUAUUGCAAACACUGCAAGGAUUCUGGCGGAAGAUGUGGACACAACCAAACUGAAACCUCUGCAUUUGUCUGCAAUUGUCGUGAUAAGCCUCUUUUACUUAAAUGCAACCAAGGUACGGUAUACCUGCUUCUUUUAACUCUUCCUGAAUCGUUAAAACACUCCGUUGAAUCAUUGUUCAGAAACAUGGAAUCCAGUUAAUAUCCAUUCGUCUUUUUCUGCUGUUUAUGGCCCAGAAUUAACCCCAGCUUUCGGUUCUUAAUUAUCCAAACCUUUAUAUCAUUUUCUCUUCUCUGUAUUAUUGCCCUCUUUUAUACAACCUUAUUAUGCAAACUGGCACUAUAACCCGACCUAUCGAGCCAUGUCGUGAUACAUGAUCUGAAAUUGUUCUGUUUGGAUAUGAAAUAGGGUAGCAUUACAUUAUAGGCAAGUUUAGGAUACCAUUAAUCAACUUCAAGUGUGUGAAGAAAAUAAUAAUAUCUUUAUCUUUUCUUUGGAUUGUUACAUGUUUCGCUUCUGUUUCUUUUCAUGGUUGAAACUGGGACUAUAAAAUGUGAUAUAGAUCGUUGGUAAUUGAGGAAUUAGUAUUCCAUGUAUUUAGAAAUGUUGAGAGUUUGAUGGAUUUUUCAUGGGUAAAAAUAUCAUGAAAGCUCAAGUACUAUUAAUUAGGUUGUAUUUUAUCUCUUUCUAUUAAAAAAUAUAGAUACAUUAGUCUAUUUACGUUAAAUUACGUUAAAUCAAAUAGUAAAAUAAUAUUUUCUGUUAAAAUUCAUCCAUUUGUACUAAUAAAAAUUAACGUGAUUAAUGAAAUAACGAGACAGUAACACGUAACUAGCCACAUGUACCUUAUGUUAAUAUAUAAGAACCGGUUUUAAACAAUAUAAAUGAAUGAAAUUAUUAAUUUGAUUAAUUUACGCAAUAAAAUCUAACUUCUCCAUGAUACAUUUAUUAUUAUUUAUCCCAUUUUCCAUAUAAUAUUCAUUUAAUUUCUCUAAAAAAGACAAUUUUUUUUUCUAUUUCAGGCCGGAGUGGUUCUAACUCGGGAAGGAAGCUUGCAAUUGGUAAUAUACUCCCCUGAUUCUUUUAAUUAGUUUAUAUUGUUACAUGUCUUUUAUAUGAUUUUACGCAUUUAUUUUUAAUUAUUUUUUAAAUAAUAUUACAAUUAGUUGUUACUUAUUGUUUUAAUUCAUUAUUCGAAUUAUUCAACAUAAUUAAAAUAUUUUAACUUAUUUAAGAAUUGAAAUAUAAUGAAAAAAUUUGGAAUCAUAAUUAAAACAUUUGUACCAUAUACAAUUUACAAUAUAGUUUAAUUUCAUUUAAUUGAUGCAAAGUAAUAUUAUUCAAAAAUAUAACUAAUAAACAUAUUAAAAUUAUUUUGAUAAUUCAAAUAUAGUGCUAAUAAAAAAUUUUCUAAUCAUCAUUAAAGCAGUUGUAUAAACUAUUAAAAAUAAAAAAAUAUUUGAUACCAGUGUAGUUUUUAGACUAUAUAAAUAGGGCUAAGGGUUGACAAUUCUCCUACAAGGAUAUAAUAAAAUAUUAAAAAAUUAAUUUAAAAAAGAGAUGAAAAUUUAUUAAUUUUUUUUGAAUAAAGAAAACGCAUUGCCAAUAUACUAAAUACUAACCCUAAAAAUUUUGACAUAUUAUAAAUUAAACUAUUCACUUUUUAACUUUUCAAAUUUUUUAAUAGUCAAUAAAGUUAAUAUAAAUAUAAACAUAUUAGAUUAUAUAAAUGUAUUAUAAAAAUUAUAUGAAAAAUAAACUUACUUAUUAUGUAAAUAAUUAAAAUUUACUAUUUAAAAUUAAAUUUUGUUCUUUUUUACAUUUUUGAUGAAUACAAACAUAGUAAUUUAAAUAUAAAGUGUAUAAAUAACAAAAAAUUUAAAAUUACUAAUUAAGUAACCUAAUCAACAACAAAAACUAUAUUGAUUGGUUCAAAACCUAUUUUUGUUGCUUCUAUGAGCAUGAAAUCUAUGCUAUUAAUAAUCGGUGUGAGCAGCUUUUUAUUUUUGGCAGUUUUUUUUUUUGGUGAGAAGUUUUUUAUAUUGGUUAAGUUUCAAAAUUUUUUAAAGUUAUUAUAAUGAAAUAAUUUUUUUUAAAGUGAUGCAUGUGAUAUUAAAAUAAGUUAAAAAUGUAAAAAUAAAUAUCAUUACAAGUAUUUAAAAAUUUUAAAAAAUAUUAUUUAUUAAAAAUAAUUGUUCAAUUCAAAAAAAUUUUAUAAUUCAAUUUAUAUAUUAAAAAGUUUAUUUUCCACCUACAAAGUGGGUGUGAUUAGAGCUAGUAAAUGGGCCGGCUCGAAUCGAGUUUACUUCGAAUUCAAAUUUUCUCUAGCUUGGAUCAGUUCCGGCUUGAAUUUUUUUGGGUUCGGAUUUUCUUGGGCUCAGGCCCUUUUAGACUUGAAUUUUCUUGAGCUCAAAUCGAGCCGGGCAAGAUUUGACAAAUUCAAAUUAUUUUGCAUUUUAUAUGUUAUAAAUAUUUUAAUUUCGAAUGUAAUAAUUCAUUUUACUUUCAUAUGAUGAUAACACAAUUAAAUUUUAGCUUAUAAAAAGAAGUACAAUGUAAGAAAACUAUUAUCAAUACUAAAAGAUAAGAAUCAAUAAAAAUAAUUAAAAUGACUAGUAAAUUACCUGAAAACAAACUCAUCAAAUAUUCGAGUGAGCCUAAUUUAACAUAUCAAAUUACGACAUAUCAAUAACAAAUAAUAAUCAUUAUAUAGUAAGCAUAGUUAACUUCACUAAAAAUAAAAUAACUUAAAUUGAAUAAGACUUGUUAAAAUAAUCUUACAUAAAAAAUUAUAAAUGAUUAACUUUCUCUUGGUCUAAUUAGGUUACUAUUUAAGCCAGGUAAAUAACCUUAUAUUCACUUUGUAGGGAAGUUGUGAAUGAACUCUUUUAUGUUAUGCCAUGGAUAAAUAACAAAUUUCUCAAUCGCAUUUCGUUAAUCACCCUUGAUUUUCCCUUGGGAUUCUGCUUAUAUGACAGCUUUUGGUGGCGGAUCAAUUAGUUUACUAGUCACCUGCAUCAUCGCAUUCUAUUUCAGAAGAAGGAUCCCAUUCAUUAUCGCAAGAAAUUCUUUUUGGAAGUUCACAAAAAGUGAUACAAAUAUAGAGGCUUUCAUAAGAAAUAAUGGAACUUUAUCUCCCAAAAGAUAUAGUUACUCAGAUGUCAAGAAAAUAACAAAAUCAUUUAAAGAAAAACUUGGUAAAGGGGGUUAUGGAACUGUGUACAAAGGAAAGCUACUAGAUGGCCAUCUUGUUGCUGUUAAACUUCUCAAUACAACCAAAGGAAACGGUGAAGAAUUUAUAAAUGAGGUUGCAAGUAUUAGUCGAACUUCUCACGUUAACAUUGUCUCUCUCUUAGGAUUUUGUUCAGAGGGUCGAAAAAGAGCUCUUAUUUAUGAGUUCAUGCCCAACGGGUCUUUAGAACUAUUCAUUCACAAAAAGGAUAUCAUGAAUGAUCGUCCACAUUUGUCAUCAGAAGAAUUGUUCAAAAUUGCAAUUGGAAUAGCUCGAGGGCUUGAAUACUUGCAUCGUGGCUGCAACACUAGGAUAUUGCAUUUUGACAUAAAACCUCAUAAUAUACUUCUAGAUGAAAAUUUUCUCCCUAAAAUCGCUGAUUUUGGGCUUUCAAAACUAUGCACCACAAAGGAUAGUAUUGUAUCAAUGUUGGAAGCUAGAGGGACAAUUGGUUACAUAGCUCCAGAAGUGUUCUGCAGAAAUGUUGGAGGUGUUUCACAUAAAUCCGAUGUCUAUAGCUAUGGAAUGAUGAUUCUAGAGAUGGUUGGAGGAAGAAAGAACAUUGAUGUUGGAGUAAGCCGAAAUAGUGAGGUAUAUUUUCCUCAUUGGAUCUAUGGGUAUGUUGUGCAAGACAAUAUAGAACCACAAUUGCUAGAUCUCAGGACUAGAGAUGAAACUAAGAUUGCAAGGAAGAUGAUAUUAGUGGGAUUGUGGUGCAUACAAAUGAACCCAUUGGACAGGCCUUCGAUGAGCAAGGUGAUAGAGAUGCUGGAAGGAAGCUUGGAAGUUUUGCAAAUUCCACCUAAGCCUUACAUGUCUUCUCCUUCAAGAUCACCGGUGGAUUCUACCUUCUUAACAUUAUCCUGAUAUAUUAUGCAUCCUUAGAGCAAUCUAUGUACUUAUAUUUAUGUUGUUGAGAAGAAAAUUACUUUUCCUCUAAAAUAUUAAAACCUUUCUAGUUUAAUGUAAGUUCAGAUCAUAAAAUAGUUUAAGAGAUAACUACACUUUUGAGUAUAUAUACUUUUGAGUUUAUACGUUUUUUUUCCUUUUUUAGUCUUGAACAUUUGAAACAUUUUUUUUAUUUUAAUCCUAAUUAUUAUUAAAAUUUGGAUUACUAUCUAAUACAGUAACAAUGUAACAUGGUCAAUUAAUUAUAAUGUAACCUAUCGUUAAUUAGCUAAUUAGAAACUUUUGAUGAGUAAAUAACAAUGUUUAAAGGGCUUAAAAUAAAUAUAAUAAUUUUGUUAAAAUUUUAAAAAUUAAUACAUUAAAAAUUAAUGCAUUUCAUUAAUGAAAUAUCAUGUUAUAACUAACUAGUACAUAUCAAUGUUUUGAAUAUGAACACUUAUUUUUUUUUUCUAACAAUAGUCCUAAUACUAAUUGCCUAAAGACAUCGGUUGGCAUCAACAUUGUUUCUAGAGUAGAAGGUGAUGGAUCUGGUGGCCUAAGCGUAGUAUUUUCGUCUAGGUACACUUGUAAUUUUUCGAACAGAUUGGUUAAUAAAACUAUUCAUGAAUUACAUUAAUACUUUGUAUAUUGUCCUUACGUGGUUUUUGCAUGCAAAGCAAAAUGGAAGCAAAUGUUGCUCACUAGUUUUCUAUUGUUUAACUAAUAUUUAGCAGUAUUACUUGGUCGGAUCGUAAUACAAAAAGACAACUUAUAUUAGUAGUGAACCUAAACAUGUCCUUAGACUAAUUAGAAAUGAGCAAAACGAUUGAAAGACUAAUAUGUCGUCUAUCAAGUCCAAUUAGGGAGAUGUUUGUCUUGGACAUCGGAGCGGAUGACUCCCAAAAGAUAGAGACAUAGAUGUGACUGACUGUAUUGACAGUACAUCGGAUUUGACCCAAAUAAAAUAGAUCUUGAAUUCUCUUAUAGAUCUAUUCUCUUGUGACGUUCAUAGUGUGACAUACCUAAAUCCUGAGUGGAUGGUGGACUAUGUAUGUGUGACUUGUGCAAUUUGAUGUAAGUAAAAGUCUGAGUUCAAAUCAAUAAGGAAUCCAAAACUGGUGCGUUGGGUGUACGACUUUUGCAAUAUGUAGUGUGAUUCACAACAGUGGAAUUCAUAGCCCGAGACACGGGUAAAUGAUAUCUUCUCAUAGGCAUUACAUGGUUGAUGAAAAGUAAACGUGGUCACAGGUCGUUUGUCUUUGUAUUGGAUGACUUGAUCAUUAUUUGAUAGUGAUUGACUUUUCAUGAAGGAAGAUGUAAUGGUUACCAUGAGAUAAGAUAAUAUCAUAUUGGGAGAAUGAAUAUUAUUCUAAAGAGAUCAAGGAUACACUAUUAGGGUAGCACACUUAUGAAAAUGUCAUUGGACGAGCCCUGAAUAGUUGCUUUCAUAAUGGUAUGUCGUUAGGGAGAGCUCAGUCACAAUACUAUAGUGGAAUGACUUCGUGACAAAUGAGCUUAUAAUUAAUAGGUGAAAAUUCAGAACUUAAUUAUAAAAUCACUUGAGCCUAGUUAUAUAUUUCCAAUCGGUCCCUUCACUAGCUCGUUGAAACCAUAAAUGAUUUGUGUGUUUGAAUCAAACUGAAAAGAAUGAAUAGAAAAAAAUAAAUGAAAAACAUUCAGAAAUGAUUAUGGUUUUAUCUGAAAUGGAGAAAUGAAAUCAUUAAGAAAUGAAUGUGGGUUUCUCAAAAAAUGGAAACGAAAGUGAGAAAUGAUUCAUUUGAAAAUAUAUAUGGAUUACUCAAAAAAUGGUCGGAAGAAUGAAUUUAUCUUUUUUAGUAGUUUUGAAGCCCAAAAAUGAAAAUAAAUCAUUCAGUCAUAGUAAAAAAGUUGAGUUUUGAAAUAUUGAAUAUAUUUUCAUGAAAAUUUUACUAGGGGUAAAAUCGUCAUAAUUUUACUCGGAGUAAAAUUGGGAUGAGAAAUUUAUUUAAUUGAAAAAUUAAUGUUUAUUUUGAAAAAUAGAAAAAUAUGUAUUACGUUAUAUUAAAUUAUAAAAUGAUGAGUUCAAACUAUAGAAUGCAUUUAUAACUGGGCCCAAUAUAACUUUCUAGGAAUUACAAUUUUAUAAUUACAAAUAAAUUACAAAUAAAUUUCUAGGAAUCACAACUUUGGCAAAAUUACUUUAUCAUUCAUAACAAUAAAAUAAUUAUAUUUAUUAUUUGCAUGUUUAGGGGAAUGUCAAUGAAUGAAUGCAUAUAAUUAUUUUAUUAUUAUGAAUGAUAAAGUAAUUUUGCCAAGAUGUGAUUCCUAGAAAUUUAUUUGUAAUUUAAUUUAUUUUUCGAGCAUGUACUUUUUAGACCGUGGACUAUCAUCUCCACGUAGGAUUUUAAUUUUAUUCAUUUAGAAUAAAGCAUGUGAGCCCAAAACGAACGUAGAACUUUUGUAACCUAAUUCUUCUCAACAAAACCUGAGAAAUUGAAACUACAGUGGUCCAACGAUGGUGGUCGACAGUGGCUAGUAGUGGCGGUGACACGAAAAUGACAAUAAAAAGACCGUGGUGGCAAAAUUGAUGACCCAAAGUAUGCUUUGGGAUAAAUUUUGUAAUUCUAUAAUUUUAUUACUUUUCUAGGAUGGAAUCAUGAAAACUUUGGCUUGUCAAAGUCAUUUAAAUUUUAUGCUUUUAUAUUUAUGAGAUAAGCAUGAUGGUAUUUAUAUGACUACGAAUGUAUAUUCAUACUCAUAUGAGAUAAGCAUGCCAUAUAGAUUAGGAAAGAAUGCCACAUGUACUUAUCAUGCAUAUAUUGAUCAUCCAUGAUUGAAACUAGAAAUUAAAAACCUUGAAUUUUUUUAAAAUAUUGAGUGGGAGAAGGUCCCUAAACAAGACCUAUGGCCUCCAUCAAUGGUCUUUUGUGAUGACAUGAAAUAGACUCGCCCCAAGGUAGACGUCAUGUGGAUCUCAUUGAUGAGAUUUCCUGAAAGUAAGAAAUUUUUUUUUAUGAUCGUAUGAUAGUUGGAUUGACAUCUGUGGUAGGUAUUAUCAUACAAUACAAUAAGAAAUUUUGUCUUUAAAGAGGACAAAUAGUCAGAGUAUACUACUUGUUGAGAUUGUCCCAAGAUGACUCAUUUGUGGUGCAUGAUGCGAUAGGUGUUGAGCUGAUGGAUAUACACUUAAGAUCAUCUAGUAAAGUAACUCCCCAAAGAGCUAUGCUUAAGUUAGAAUGAUGGUUAAACGUUACAUGAUUAUUAGUAUGUGCAAAUGCCUAAGGAAUUAGGUUCAUGUACUAAUUGGAUGGAAAUCUAUGUUCUUACUAGUUGAGCAUGAUCACCCAAGGUGGCUUGAUUCAAUGGGUGCGGGAAUUAUAGUUGUAAUGACUUACAAAUGUUUUCAAGUUUUAAUGUAAGACAUAUGCAUCAUCUUAAUGUAUAUUGUAAUAUUGUAAAACAUUUUCAAACAUUUGUUUAAUACAAAGAUAUUAAUAUCUGAAUAUUUUAUUUUCAGUUCAAAAAUGACACAAACUCCUUAAUUUGAACAUACUUACUGAAAACAAAUUGAACAAAAAUAACUAUAAUGAAUGAAAAAGGAACCUGAUAAUUGGUUUGAGCCGUGAGAAAAUUAAAAUAGUUCUUGAUAAUAAGUGCCCACGAGCCAUAUAAGUUGAGGCUAGAAACACUGGGAAGAGUCUAAUGAGAUAACUCAUUACUAUAUGCUGGCAAGCAUGGCCAACACUCUGUAUAAGUAACUAGAUAGUUGUAAGACUGCUAAAGGGAUUCUAGAUAAGCUAGAAGAUAAGUUCGGAGGCUAAACUAACUUGGUUCGACAGUCUACCAUAACUAGCUUGAUGAAUGCCUAGAAAAGGCCCGACACUUUGAUUAAAGACUAGAAUACUCAAAUUGAGAUGGUGUUCAAAAGCUUGUCAAAGAAUUUUGUUGGUUUUCGGGCUGCAUAUAAACUUCAAAACAAAACUUGACGCUUACACAACUCAUGAAGGAGUUACAAUCCUAUGAGUUGAUGUUGAACGAUGGUCAGCUGGUCCGAAGAGCAGAAGCAAAUAUAGUCGUCACUUCUUCCUCAAAAGAGAAGGGAAAGCGCACUAAGAAAGGCAAUGCUAAGGUCUUUGGGCCACCACAAAUGGAAAGAAAGAGAACCAGAGAGCCUAAAGACUUAUCUAAGUAUAAAUGUUUCUUCUGCAACAAGAAAUGACACUUUAAGGAAAAGGCAUACCUUUGGUGAAAGAUCCAAUAGACCAUUGGGUCUUUGAUUUGAGAGCCAUUAAUCAUGUUUGUGUUUCUCUAUAGGGGUUAGAGAAGACGAAAAAUCUUAGAGAUAAGAGCUUAUUGUUGUAAACCGAGAAUGGGACAAGUGUGGCAGUUGACGCAGUGAGAGAUGUAGUGGUAGUUGACGCAGUGAGAGAUGUACAUAUUUAUUUUGAUAAUUUUAGGAAGAUUAUUUAAAAAAAAACAUUUUCUAUGUACCAAGUUUAAAAAGAAACUAAUUUCCAUUGAAUGUUUAUAUAAAGACGGCUUGACCGUAACUUUUAAUGGAAUUGCAAUAUUUAGAAAUUACAAUCUUAUCUGUAAUGGGUGGAUGUCAAAUAAUCUCUAUUUUAUCAAACAAAAGAUGUACACACUGCUUGAGACUAAAAUAUUGAAACAAGACUUAAAACUUCUCACUCUAAUAAGAUGUAGCUUUGGCAUUUGAGACUUGAUCAUAUUAACCGAGAAAGAAUCACUAGACUUGUGAAAGACAAUAUCUUAAGUUCACUUAAAGAAGUUGAUCUUCCAUAAUGUGAAUCUUGCUUAGAAGGUAAGAUGACGAAACGAUCUUUUAUUGCAAAAGGAGCGAGGACUGGAAAAUUCCUAGAACUUAUGUAAACUAACGUAUGUGGACCCAUGAGCGUUAGUGCAAGAGAUGGUUACAAGUAUUAUGUAACCUUUAUUAAUAACUAUUCCAUAUAUGAGCAUGUAUACCUGAUGCACCGUAAGAGUGAAACCUUUGAUAAACUCAAAAACUUUCGUACAGAAGUGGAGAAAAAAGUAGGUUUACCUAGAAAUGCACUUCGGUCUGAUUGAAGUAAUGCCUGUGAAAUGAUAUCAUUUACCCAUGUCUUGAGCUAUGAAUUCCACUGUUGUAAACGACGCUAAAUACUGCAGAUAAAGUACAUCUAAUACACUAGCUUUCAGUUCCUUGUCUAUUUGAACUCAAGCUUUUACUUACAUCAAAGUGUACUAGUUACACAUACAUAGUCCGCUAUCCACUCAAGAUUUAGGUAUGUUACACUAUGAACGUCACAAGUGAAUAGAUUCAUGAAAAAAUUCAGGAUCUAUUCUACUUGGGUCUAGUCUGAUAUACUGUCAGUCCAGUCAGCCACAUCUAUGUCUCUAUCUUUUGGGAGUCAUCCACUCCGAUGCCCAAGACAAAUCAUCUUCUCAAUUGGACUUGGUAGAUGACAUAUUAGUCUUUCAAUCAGUUUUCUCGUUUUGAUUAAACUAAGGACAUGUAGGUUCAUCUACUAAUACAAGUUGUCUUUCUUUAUUACGAUCCAACCAUGUAAUACCACUAAAUAUUAGUUAAAUAAUAGAAAAAUAGUGAGCAACAUUUGCUUCCUUUUUGCUUUGAAUGUCAAAAACCAUGUGGGGACAAUAUACAAAGUAUUAAUGUAAUUCAUGAAUAAUUUUAUUAACCAAUCUUUUCAAAAAAUUAUAAGUGUAUUUAGAAGUAAAUAUUACACUUAGUGCAUCAAAUCCAACAGUCUCCCACUUGCCCUAAUGAAGUAGAUGAGUCAUGUUUCACAUUCUUGUGCUGCUCCAUAUGUUUUUCAAAGAUCUUUCUAGAUAAUAGAGUCUUGGCAAAACAAAUCUCCAAGGUUUGUCCUCAUAUGUGAUUUUUGACUAUAUCCACUAUUCCGCCAAACACUACUGUCUCCUUUAUGAUACUUUGUAUCAAUUUGUUUUGUUCUUUUGUAGUUUCUUUGAGCCUUAGCUAUAUUCGCACUGUUACAGUGCCAUAGAUUUUCCAUAGCUCACAUUCGGCCCUCCAUAAUGAAGUUAGCAGUGCAACCUUGCUUGACACUUAUUCAUAAUAUAGACCUCGCCGUCUAGGAUAAAAACAUAACUCGAUAUCGAUUUCAUUGAAUGUCGACACGUUUGAAGUAAGAAUCAGUAUAUCCGAUAGGAGUAAGAUCUCUUCCAAAAUUCUCAAGCAUAUAAUCUCUUAUUCUCCGUAAAUACUUGAGUAUAUGCUUAUCUACUUGCCAAUGUCUUGUUCGGAAAUGUGCUCAUAUUGUAGUAAACAUGUAAUUUUUUUCUAUUUAUUUGAAUGAUUAAUAAAUACAUAAUGUUAAUUUCACAUUUCACUAUUAUGUCUUUUGUAUUUCUAUCUUUCAUAUUUUACAUACAUAGCGAAAUUGUGAUAAGUAAAUAUUAGCUCAUUGAUUGUCUAAGUUCAAACUGAAUAUAAGUGGCAUUGUAAGAACGUUUACAUUGAGAGAAAGAUAAUUUAGUAGAUAAUCUAAACGAGUCGAUAAUCCCGUAAAAGAAUCAAAGUGAGCAUUUGAUUCAAAUACUUAGAAGGAUUAUUAUGUCAUCUAAAAUUCUAAUUGAGGAGAUGACUAGUCUUGGCUACUGGAGCAGUUGACUCCACAAGUAGAGACAUAAAUGUAUUUAUUGGAAGAAUGAUACAUUGGACCGGACCCAAGAUGAAUUAAUUUUGAAUCCAUUUGUGAAUUAAUUCACUUGUGACAUUCAUGGUUAGAUUUACAUAAAUCCCGAGUUAGUCACUGACCAUGCAUAUGUAACUCAUGUGCUUUGAUAUAAGUGGAGGCUUAUGCUCUAAAGAUAAUCGAGCCCAUAGCCGGUAUGUUGGGUACAUGACUUGUGUAUGACAUGGCUUUACUAGCAACAAUGAAAUUCAUAGCUCAAUUAAAGAGUUAAUGAUAUCCUCUCAUUGGCAUUGUGUGGAUUGAUAAAUAUGUAAUGUGGCCAUGGAUUGCUUGUUCUCUAAAAAGCAAUUUAUCAUAAUCAUUUGUUGACAGUGGUUAUAUUAAUCAUUAAGAAGACACAAUGGUGACAAUGAGAUAAAAUAAGAUUGUAUGAGUGAAUUGAUUUAACUCAAAGGAAUUAAAGAUAUCAUAUGAAGGUAACACACACAUGACGAGGUCAUUGGACAAAGCAGUUGGAUGAAUUGUUUUCGUAAAGAGUAUACAAUAAUAAGUUUUCAAUCAUGGUACUUCUUAUGGACUGACUCCAUGAUUAAGUAGUUGCGAAUUAUUGGAACGAUGAUUCUGGAUAUAAUUGAAAUUACUAGUCAAAUUGUAUGUGUCCGAGUGGUCCCUCUGCUAGCUCAACAAAAACUCAAUUGAGUCGAUUUAUUCGAUGUGGAAUUAAAUUGGGCGGUGGAAGAAUUGUUCAACUAGAGAAUUUGAUUAAAGACUUUUCUUGAAAAAUUAAUUUGGAAAAUCUAAGUGAUUUUUAGGAAAAUUAUUUUUUAUCAAGUAAAAUUAAAUUGAUUAAAUUAAUUAAAAUUAAUAUAAUAUUUUUGAAAAUAAAUUUUCAAGUCAGAUAACUGACCUAAUGGGUAAUUGAACUAUAAAAUUGGACAUAAUAUCAUAAAUUGGGUUUGGGAGCCCAAAACCAAGACCAAGACCCAAAAAUUGGUCGAACCGAGCUUGGUAUGUAAAAUUGUGCCAAUGGUCCAAUCGACAACUGGAUCAGAUCGGUUGGGUCGUCACUGGCCUGGACCGAACCGAAAGUAACUAAACUAACUUAGGGUGCCGACGGCUGCGACAACGGCAUUCCGAUGACCGAAAAAUGGUUGGCGGCGGUGUGUCGUCAGUGGUUGAGCGGUGAAAUGAUUACACUCUUACUGGGACUCUAUUAGGGAAUUUAAUUUCAAAUUAACUAUUUUAAAAAUAAUAUUAUUUUAAUAGAUUUAAUAUUAAAUUAAAUUUAAUACUUAUUUUAAUAAUAUUUUAAUAAUUUAAUAUUAAAGCGAUUAUCUUAAUAUUAAAUUUAAUUUAAUGUUUAUCUACAAGAUAAACAAUCUUUUAACUUAAUAAAAUUUAAUUUUAAAAUUAAUCUAAUAUUUAUGUUGAUAAAUAUUAUAUUAAUUUAAUAUUAAAGUGAUUAAGUUUAGUCAUAGUUUAACUCUCUAAACUCUCCCUAUAUAAAGAGAGGUCUGGGUCAUUAUUAUUUUUACACACACUUGAAUUCAAGAGAAAUUUGUAAAGUGAAAAUUUUUUGAAGAAAUUAUUUUAGAGAAUUUCUAGAGAUAUUUUUUUAUUUACAACUUGACCUACAAGUUUAAAGGAAUUAUAAAAUUACCCCACUAGUAAUUUUUGUGAAAGAUUUUCUAAUUCGAAGUGAGCCAACACUUGACUGACGUGAGCUUGAGGAUAACAAAGAAGAUUACUUGGUCAAAACGUUCAUCCUAGAUGAAUCGAAAAUGUACAAUUUUGAUUAAGUGUUUAUUACUUUAGAUAUCACAACCAAGGUCUUGUUUUGGAAUUUUUUAAAACUCUGUUUUUCCCUAAAUUUAUUUUCUGGUGCAUUUUCCAAACCCAAUUUUCCAACUUGCCUUGGUCCUAGAUUCGCUUGAUAUCGGCUUACCUACCCAAUUGCAAAACAAAUAUCUGGGUGUGUGCAUAGCAUAACAUACAUGAUACUUCCUAUUGCUAAAGCAUAAGAAAACUUUCUCAUGUUCUCACUUUCUUCCGCUGUCUUAGGACAGUCCUCUAAAGAGAGAUGAAAUCUUGAUACGGAGGGUUGAUUUUCCUUCUUUGAAUCAGUCAUUGCAUAACGCUCCAAUAUCUUGUCUAUGUAUAAAGCACGAGACAGUGCUAUCACUUUUUUCUUUCGAUCCCUUAGGAUUCGAGUACCUAGAACAAAAUUAGCUUCUCCUAAGUCCUUCAUGUUAAACUGUUGGGUUAACCACAACUUAAUUGAUGAUAAUGUCCCUACAUCAUUCCUAAUGAGUAGAAUAUCAUUGACAUAUAGAACGAGAAAGACUACCUUUCCAUCCCCUAAAAGUUUAUAAACAUAAGGUUCAUCCAUGUUUUGAUCAAGUCCAAAAGUCUUGACCGAAUAUUUGAUUUCAUGAAUGGGACAUUUGCUUAAGUCCAUAUAUGGAUCUAAGCAAAUUGCAAACUUUAUGUUUGUUUCCUUUAGCUAUAUAUUUAGUGGCUUGUAUCAUGUAGAUGCUCUUUUUAAGAUAGUCGUUCAAAAGUGUUGUCUUGACAUCCAUUUUCCAGAUCGUAAUCAAGAGCCACCGCAAUGGAUACUAAUAUACAGAUUGGCUUGAGCAUGGUAGCCAGAGAGAAGAUUUCUUCGUAAUUGAUACCUUUUUUAUUAGUAUAAACUUUUGCUACAAGUCUGGCCUUAUAAGUUUCUACUUUUGUAACACCCUAAACUUGAUUCAGUUAACCGGAUCCAGAUCUUGGGUAUUACCACAAAAUUCAAAUAGAACUUGAUUUACUUAUACAAUUGAAAUCAGUUGCAACUUAAUUAUAAAACUUCAAACUAAAAUAUGUGAUUAUAGUAAAUACAACUACAACCCAUGGUAAUUACAAGAUAUUGAUUUUUAAUUUGAAACCCUAUUCUAUUACAAAUACCUAAAUGUAUGUAAUUCAAUGCAACACUUCAGACUUGACUAUGCCGCCAACUCGCUCUGUAUGCAUAAAUACAUGAUACAUCGUUCCUCUAGAGCAGACCUAUAUUGACUCACCAAUAACAUAGUGCACACCGAUAAGUUCAGAAGAACUUAGUGAGAAAAUAUUACUUACCCGAGUCAUAUUUGCACAUUGCAACUAAUGAUUUGAAUUGAUGAUUCCAUCAUUUGAAACCUUUAACCUUUUCUGUGACAAAUAUUUCCCUUAGUCCUAUUCUUUUAUUCUCAUUUAUUACUAUACCUUACUCUGACCUAUUUCUUUCUAUUUAAUGUCCUUGAUACAUUACAUACAUCCAUCAAUCUCUGAGCCAUCACCCCUCACGAUUAAAGAAGAAACACAUACACAUAUGACAUAUCCUUUUCGAACAUUCAACUUUGCAUCUUCAUUCAGAAUACAUUUCCAAUACUAGCUUAUUACUUUUCUAUAUUUCUUCAAUUCAUUAUUCCCAAUUGAUUCAUAGCCUUAAGUGAUGCCUUACCGUACAAUCAAUAGAUGACUUAUGCCUUGAUAAUUUUCUUUGGAUUACUUUUAAAAGUCAGAUUGAAUACGCCAAUUAACUUAGCUCAAAAUCGCCAGAAAUGUUGUUCUUUAAAGUUCUUCUCUAAAAACCUUCUUAUGACACACUACAAAGGCAGUUCAUCCUAAGUAUGCCACAAAGGCUAUCCUUACAGGGUUCGCCACAGAGACUAUACCUUCGUGACUCGCCACAAAGGCUACUCUUUCAUAUUUCACCACAAAGGCUACUCUUUGCUGGUGUGUUUACGAUAUGAAUUUACCUAAACUCACAUUACGUGAGGUUUUCCCAUCAUUGUCUUGGGACAUAGAGGGAACCCCCUUUGGUUAAGCACUAUCCUUUAGUUCCUUUCGAAAGAUGCCAUGACCAUAGACUUUUCCUUUCAAAAUUUGUGUUUAAAGUUUCGACAGAUCCCUUUUUGGCAAUAACAUGGAGAUAGACACAAACUCUGAAUAGAACAUAUCACUUAGCAUACAUAUAAGACACACUUGCAUGAUCCUACUUGACAUCACUUUACUUGAACUCAUCAAAUCUAUACUAGGUGUAUGUACCAUCCUCAACAAAAAUACAAUCAUAGACAUUCUUAAAUAGUCUCUUUUAUAAUCACCAACAUAUCAUAUUAUAUCUUUCACGAUCUUAACUUUACCUUUUUAACCAAUUUUCCAUAGAUUUUAUGGUAUGAUUAGCGCACAUAUAAGAGUCAAUAUAAAGAGACUCACCUGACAACUACAGAUAGUAGCUUGGACUCUAGAUCUAACAAGAAACUACAACAACCACUAAUUACAAAAUAGAAGAACACCAUUAAUACUCAUUCAUAACCUUUACCAUCAUCUUAGACCUAGAUACCCCUCAUAUAAAGCCUUAAUUCUUCAUCUUACUGUUCAUAUGCUCUUACAGACCUAAUGUUUCAUAACAUAACAUGUGAAGCCAUAAAACUUACCUUGACAUGGAGUAACCACCGACAAAGAUCUAGGUUUACAACUUUAGCUGAAGGAAGAAAGAAAUACUUUAGGUUUCUUAAGAUUUAGACUGAAGUCUACCUAAAGAAGGAAGAAGUAAAACUCUCUAUUUUUUAACCUAAAUGUCUAUAUAAAUUACCUAAGUCCCUAUUGGAACUUGACAUGUUUCACAAGCUUCAAGAACUGCCUAUAAAAAAUGGUUUACAGCUAUAAAAAUCUAAUAUUUUAUAUUUUUCUGGUUCGUCGGUCUAAAUAGAUCCUGACCAAAUCAUCCACAACAUAACUAGCACAACAGCUCAAUGAACUAGUCGUAAAAUACAUUUGGUGAUACCCCAUUUUUACAAGGUUCUUAACACUUACCAAUCUCUUCUUCAUUAAGACUUAAUACAUUUUGAGAACAAUCCUUACAUGAUAUUCAAAUAUUUGCUAUGUGUCUGAUCUAUACACCAAGACAACGAUUGGGCGGAUAAGUUGCAUCUGACAAAUUACUCUCAGCUACUCGACAGAACUUAAAACCCGUCAAAGUUGAGUGUUCAACUUUUCAAUCUGCAUUUAUUUUCCUCUUGUAGAUUCAUUUACACCCUAUGGGUUUUAUCCCUUCUGAUAAGUCUACAAGUUUCCACAUUCAGUUGGAAUAUGUAGAGUCCAUCUGAGCUUUCAUUUCAAUUUUUCAAAGCUUGGAAUCAACACUCUACAUCGCUUUGUCAUAUGUGAGUGGAUCAUCAUCUUUCUGUUUGGUAGACUUAGUGUUAAAAACACUUCUUCUAGAUUGGAAUAACUCAAGCUUGUGAAAGACCCACUCACUACGACCAGGCUCCUUAUGCUGCUGAUCAUUUGCAGGACUACUAUUAGGAGUUGGUUCUAAAACCAUUUUCAUAGGGUUUUGUAUAUUUUCUGAAGGCUUCUCGAGUACCUCUUUACUCCGAGGUUUAAAGUCAUUCAUGUAACUUUCUCUAAGGAAAGUAGUAUGAGUUGAGACUAUAAUAGUUUGCUCUUUCGGGUUAUAAAACAAGUUACCCUUUGUUCCUUUUGAAUAUACUAGAAACAUGCACAAUUUUGUCUGUAAGUCCAACUUCCUCGCAUCUUUAUCAAAUACGUGGGCAUCCCCAAAUCCUUAAAUGUUUUAGACUUGAAUUAUUGCCAUGCCACAUUUUGUGUGGAGUUUUUGGUGUUUUCUUAGCUGACACAUCAUUCAAAAUAUAACAAGUCAUUUGUUCCACAUACCCUAGAAUGAAAAAUGGCAGCUUCAAAUAACUUAAUGUAUAAUGUCUAACAACGUUUGAUUCCUUCUCCCUACCAUGCCAUUCUAUUGUGGAGUGCCUGGCGUAGUUAACUGGAAUAGAAUCUUAUUCUCUAUAAGGUACCCUAAGAACUCAUUAGAUAAAUAUUCUCUAUCUCGAACAAACUGAAGUGUCUUUAUGGGUAAACCUAGUUGUUUCUCCACUUCCGCAUGAAACUCUUUGAAUUUAUCAAAGUUGUCACUUUUGCCGUGCAUUAGGUAUACAUACCCAUAUCUCGAUUAGUCAUCAAUAAAGGUUACAUAUUACUCGUAACCACCUCUUGCACUAACGCUCAUGGGGCCACAUACAUUAGUGUGUACAAGUUCUAGGGCUUUUCAGGCCCUCGUUCCUUUUGCAUUAAAAGAUCACUUCGUCAUCUUACUUUCGAAGCAAGAUUCACAUUAUGGAAGAUCAACUUCUUUAAGUGAACUUACAAUUACGUCGUUUACAAUUCUAGUGAUUCUUUCUUGGUUAAUAUGACCAAGUCUCAAAUGUCAAAGGUAAGCAUCAUUAGAGUAAGAAGUUUUAAGUCUUUUAUUCGAUAUUUUAGUCUCAAGUAGUGUGUACAUCUUUGGUUUGAUAAAAUAGAUAUUAUUUGAAUCCAUUCAUUACAGAUAAGAUUACGGUUUUUAAAUAUUAAACUUUCAUUAAAAGUCAUGGUCAAGCCGUCUUUAUAUAAACAAGCAACAAAAAUUAAGUUUCUUUUGAAAUUUGGUACAUAGAAAACAUAUUUUAACAUAAUCUUCCUAAAAUUAUCAAAAUAAAGAUAUACAUCUCCCACUGUUUUAGCUGCCACACUUGUCUCAUUCCUAGUUCACAACGAUAAACUCUUAUCUCUCUAAGAUCUUUCGUCUCCUCGAACCCCUGUAGAGAAACACAAACAUAAUUAGUGACUCCCAAAUCAAUGACUCAUUGGUCUAUUGAAUCUUCCACUAAACAAGACACUAUUAUCAAGAGUUCCACACUUUCGCCUUCGGUAGCUAGGUAUUUUUUCCAUUCUUUACAAUUUGCCUUGAAGUUCCUUUUUCUUGCUGCAGAAGAAACAUUUAGACUUAGAUAAGUUUUUCGGCUUUCUGGGUCAAUUCCUUUCCACUUGUGGUGGCCAGAGACCUUAGCCUUGCCUUUCGUAGCGCACUUUUCCUUCCCUUUUGAGGAAGAAGUGAUGGCUAUAUUUGCUUCUACUCUUUAGACUAACUGACCUCCAUUUAACACCAACUUAUAGGAUUUUAAGUCCUUCAUGAGUUGUGUAAGUGUCAGGUUUUUGUUGUUAGGGUUAUAUGCAACCCAAAAACUAGUAAAAUCCUGUACAAGCUUUUGAAAUUUUUCUCAAUUUAAGUGCUUUGGUCUAGAUUGGUCUCAUUGUCCAUGACCUCGGCAAAGUAGCCCAUGAAAGUGAUCAUAUGGUCUUUGACCAAAGUGCCGGGCUUUUGCUAGCCAUUCAUCAAGCUAAUUAUGUCAGAAUGUCGAGCCAAGGUAGCAUGGCCUCCGAACAUGCCUUGAGCUUAUCUAGAAUCACUUUAGUAGUCUUAUAGAUCUCUAGUUGCUUACACAGAGUGUUGGUCAUGCUUGCCAGAAUAUUGUAACCUAGUUGUUGAGCCCGAAUAUUAGGAUGCCACACCAUCGUAUCACAACAUACACGAUACAAAUGAGCUCAUUAUUAAAGAAACAUCUUCCAUUUUAACAUAUGCACAAUUUAUGAGUCAAACUUACUGUAAUCAUCAUUAAUACAUACUAAACAUACAUCAAAUAGUCUUACAAAUAUAAUUAAACAUGCAUAGGGUUCAUUUACCAAAAUUUCAAAACAAACUACAUAGAUAUUGAUAUUGAAACAAAAGUAUCAAAAUUUUCUUUAAAUGAUAUCGAUACCUGUAACACGCCAAAAAAGGGCCUAGGAGUUUUAGGGGUAUUUUAGGAAUUCUAGCUCGAGAGUGGUCAGAAUUUUGUAGCAUGGUAAAUCGAGAUUAUAUUCGAUUAUGGCAUCUUAGCUAUUUAAUCAAUUUUUAAAAAAAGUGUUCUAGAAACCCUUAAUUUUAGUAAAAUGAUUGAAUCACAACAGAGUCGAAAUAGUAAGCAUUUAUGAUGCAGUUUUAUCGAUUUCUAAAAUUGAACUUAAAAACCCUGUUCCUAGGUUUGUUUUCACUAUAGGUUUUGUCCAAACACCAAGUUUGUCGUCCCUUGCUUUUCCCUUGUUAUUUCAGUUAGAUUUUUUAUUCCCAAACCAUAGCACUUUGAUUUCCUAACAUUCCCAAGCCAAUUACCUUCAUAAAUCUCUAAGAAAACACUCAAAAUAUACAUAUAUUUAAUCAUCUUCUCUAAACGCGAGUUUUCUAGUUUUGUGUCAAAACUCAUCUAAUCUUCCAUCAAAGGUAAUAUUUUGAAUUCUUAUGAGUUUUUCAUGAUAUCUGGUGCUUAAAAUUGAAGUAUCAGCUAUUGAAUCAUACGUUUUUAAAAAGCUGAAAAUGGAGUCAUUAAUGGUGGAUUUUGAGAUUUUAGGUAAAAAUGUGAUUUUAAAGUGUUAUUAUAUUAGUUUCAAUGUGGUUAAGAGUUUUUGAAACUUACGUUGAAGUUUCGUUAAUGAUUUCUCAUGUUUUAAUGAAUUUUGUGAAAAUUGCCUAAAAGAUGUUGAAAAAUGUUGAUACCAUGGACUGGGCAUUUUAGUGUAAUUUAAAGGUUGGGAAUUAAGCGUAGAUGAUUAGUAGGAUGAACGGAAUUCAUUUUAUGCAAAAAGGUUAAGCGUAAACUGAGUUAUGAGCAUUUUAAGUUUGUUAUGUUAAUGGUUUUGAGUUACUUGGGAACUCAACUUAGGCUUGUGUUUUGGUUGGUUUGAGUGAAUCAUUGGUCGUUAUUUGACUGUAUAUAUUGUAUGAUUGUUGGGUGUGAAGCCUUAGGUUCAUUAGGGCCUUCAACCAGUUAAAGAAAGAGCUAGAUUGAGCUUUCUGCUUCUCAGCAAAAGCAUUAGUGGUGAGUGUUUGGAACCACUACUCAUAGGCAUGAGUCAUGCGUAUUUGGGAAUUUAGUUGUAGCCUAAACCCCUACUCUAUAUUUGUGUGAGGUUUAUGUGCUUGCAUGAUUAUGAACUUGUGCAUAGUGAUGAGGAACUCAGAUAUGCGGUAUGUGGAUGUGAUAAUUUUCGUGAGAAGUGCAAAUGUAUACAUAAUUUAUAUAUGUUAUAUGAAAGUGAUAGUGUUCUGAAAAAGAUGCUAACAUGUAGUGAUAGUGUUCGGAUAAUCAAUAAGUAAUAUGUGUGUUAAUUUGAUACUUUUGCCUUGUGAUUAUUGAAACUGUUAGAUACAGUUGGCAUGCCAUAGGAUUGUGAGUACUCACCUAUAUGUUCAGUGAUUUUGAGUGUUGAUGCCUUAGGACAUGUUCAGAGGGAUAAGGUAAUGUGAGCUAAGCUCCAUUCAACGAGACAUGUGAGGGGAAAUAAGAAGAGUGUUAGCGAUACGCUUCACUUCUAGGAAAUAUUUGACUCUAUGAGUCUAUAUUUGGUGUGUUGGAGAUCCGUGUACCUGAUGAGUGAUGAUAGAGCUCACUAUAAAUUUCAUAACUCAAGUGCCAAACUAUCUUGUAUUAUAUCUAUAUAUGUGUGCUGUGUGAUGUAUGCCUCAAUAAAUAUGUGAUUGCUAUGCAAGCUAUCCUUAUAAAUGUUAUGCAAAUGAACCGUUAGACGAUGCAUGUUAAAGUGUUACUCGUUACUAAACAUAAAAAUUUAGUAUCGUAUAUGUAUGUGGUUAUUGUGGAUGCAUGACGGAAUGUUUGCAUUGUGGUUGUUUCACUCAUUCACUGAGCUUGUUAAGCUCACCCACUAUUUUCAACAUUUGUAGAUUAGUAACGUUUCAGUGUGGACGGUGUGGUUGUCCUAAGGAGUGAGCCAAGGAAGACCCGUUUAUUCUCGUAGGUGUUCUUUCAGUUAUUUUCGUAUUGAGAAACAAGGCAAUGUGGUAGAAUUGGUUAGUCUCAUGAUAAGUUGGAUUAUUUAUUGACCUUGUUUUAUUUCGGUUUUGGAAGUUUGUGAGUUUAUAUGUUUGCUUAUGUUCAUGAACUUUAAAUAUGGCUUGAUGUAUCUUUCUUGGUCACGUUUUGACGACUUGAACUAUUAAAUUUAGCCGUUGGAUGAUUAUUUAUCGAAGUAAUUGAUGCAUGAUGCUUAGAAACUAUUUUGGAGUGAGUUAAUUUCAUUUUUAUGUACUGAUACCUACGAACAUAUUUUGAGAAUUUUGCUAAAUGGACCUUAUGCAUGUUAACGCUCGUUUUUAGGAUUAUUUAUGGUAUAACUUGCAUGUAACAUGGAUAACUAACAAGUAUAAUUGACUUAAAACCUUUACGAAUGCUAAAAUAAAAUACGCUUCAUUUAGAAUGAAUUUUUACUUUUUGUAUAUGACAUGAGUCAGUGGUGUGGCAUUCUGUAUUCGAGCUUGACGACCAGGCUAGGUAUAGGCUAUUACAAUAUCGAUUGGAAAAUCGAUACCCAAACAACAUUUUAUUUCUCGUCUAAAACUCAAAUCCCAGAAAAUACUGGUACAUUUAUUAAAGUAUCGUUUAUUUUACCCCGGGUAUUGAUACUCGUGAUAAGGUAUCAAUAACAAAUUACAAUACUGACUUCCUGCACAAGAAAAUAUCACAGAGGUAUCGUUUUUAAAACCCAAAUAUCGAUAUCUCUGCCCCAAACACCAAAAAUACAACAUAACAAGGCAGAUAAUCCAUCCUAAUCAUAAACCAUUCAACAUGUAACUAAUACAUCGUCAAAUAAACAUCAAAAUGACCAUAAUAAUAAUUCACUCAUCGAAAAUAUGUCCGAGUAACCAAGCGAUAUAACAAGAACAAUGUCCAUAAAUCCUAAGAAUUAAUAAGCUACGAAAAUAACCAAAAUGUCAUGGCAACAUUUAUGCAAUAGUUCUACCACAUUGCCUUUAUUUCCCAAACCAUAAACGGAUAAUAAAUCAUCUAUGAAGUGUUACUAGAGACUCGCUUGGAUCAAUCCCUUGGAACCACAUCACUCACAAUGGAAUACUACUAAUCUGCAAUGGAUUAGAAGGAGUGGGUGAGCUUAACAAGUUGAAUGAAUGUCUAGAACAACUACCAUGCAAACAGUUUAUCAAGCAUUAACGAACAUCCAUUUAGCAUAAUUACAACAUCUCAACUUUAUUUUCAUAUUAAUAGUUCAUGCAUCUUUCAAUGAUUCAUUUACUUAAUAAUCACAUAUCAUUUAAGCAUACACCACAAUACUCAUAAACAAAUUCAUUGAUAAAUUGAUACUUGUGCUAUGAAACGUAAAAUUGGGCUCUAUCACUACUCAUCAGAUAUACGGAUCUUUAACACACCAAAAGACUCAGAGUCGAACAUAUCCCAAAAAGUGAAGCAUAUAGCUAACACUCUCCAUCACACCAAACAUGUCCCGCUGAAUAGAGCUUAGCUCAUAUUCCCUUAUCUCUCUAACAUGUCUCUGGGCCUCACCACCCAAAUCACAUAACACAUAUAGGUGAGCACUCACAAUCCUAUGGCAUGCCAACUAUAUCCAAUGCUCUGAAGGUUCACAAGGCCAAAAUAUCCAUUAUUAACACACAUAUUUACUUACCGUUCACUGCACUUCAUCAUUGCAUAAUCACAUUAUAAGAACAACACAUUCACUGUCAUAUGACACGUAUAUCAUGCCCACAAUUAACUCUUUUACAAUAGCCAUCAUAAGCUUAUUAAGCAAAUCACUAUGUCACAUUAUAAUCCACAAAUCCACAACACAUUUUCACAUAUAAAUUCAUGAGUAUGAGAAUGCUUACACUCGGAAUUUAGAGUAGGGGUUUAGGCUAUUUCUAAAUUCCCAAUUAACGCAUUGAAUUGUGUCCACAAGCAUUGAUUCCAAACACUCAGCAAUUACACUUUCACCAAAAUGCCAAAAGCUCAAACUAGCCUUUCCAAACUCGUAGAUGCUCUUAGCGAAUCUGAAGCUUCAACACAACAAUACAAUCAACAAUCAGCUAAGGACUCACCUCAAGCAAUCAAAAUACAACCCCAAGCCAAGUUCUCAAGUAACCGAAACCUCCAACAUAGCAAACUCGAAUUCCAAUUAUCUCAAUCUACACUUAAUCUUUUUACCUAAAAUGUAAUCCAUUCAUCUAGUUAUCACCUAUGACUAAUUCUCAACCUGUGAGCUAUGCAAAACUACUCGAUUCAUGGUAUCAAAAUUUUCGACAUGUUUAUAGAAAUUUUCAUGAAAAUUCAUUAAACUGUUAGAAAUCCUUAAUAAAACUUCAAACUAAGUUUAGAAACCUUCUAAUCACAUCAAAACUAUUUGAAAGACACUUUGAAACCAAAUUUUUAUGUAAAAUCUCGAAACCCACCAUUAACGAACCAAUUUUCGACUUUUAAUUAAAACAUGCGAUUCAAUAGCUAAAAAUUCAGUUUUAAAGACUAGAUAACAUUUAAAACUAAUAGAAAGACGAAUGGUCACCUUCGAUGGAAUAACAAUGAUGCUUUUGUUGAAAAUCUGAAAACCCCACAAACUUGACAAUGGAGAAAUCUAUGGUGUUUUAGAUGUUUAUUUCUUGAAAUUUUAUGGAGGUUUAAGUCUUGGGUGAUGAUAGAAAUCAAAAGAUUAGAGUUUGGAAAUCAAAAAUCGAUUAGAAGAGGUUAGAGAGAACAAGGGAUGACAAAUCAAUGUUUUGGGGAAAAAUUAUCGUGACUUGCUGUUGAUGGGGAAAGCUAUUAGGUUGGUUUUUAAGAUUUGGCUUAAUUGUUUCAUAAAUACACAAAAUUUUGACCAUUUUACAAAUCAAUCCUUAUUUCAAAAUUGAAAGCCUUUUUAGUAUCUUUUUUAAAAAUUGAUUUAACUUUCAAAAUGGCAAAGACAAAAUUGUUUUCGAAUACCGUGCUUAUGAAAGUCCUGAGCUCACUACAGCUAAAAUCCCUAAAAUACCCAUAAAACUCCUAGGCUCAAUUUUGGAGUGUUACAACUUUCCCCCUCUAAAAAUGAAUUUUUUCCUCCAAAUUUACUUGAGCUAAGCAAAUAAGGAUAUUGUUGUUUCAUCGAAUCUUUGACUACCCAAGUAUUCUCUUCUGUCUUGUGCUUGUGCCACAAAACCUUAACCAAUGAAACCCUCUUAUUUUGCUAAAUAUUCUCUUCACGAGCUAGAAUCUCAAUUGACUCUUCCUCAAAAGUGAGAUCAGUUAUAACUUCAAUCUCCUCUACUGGCACAAUAUACGAUGGAUUUGAACAAUUCUUCCGUAACAUAGACACAUGGAAAACAUCAUGAAUCCGCUCAAGUUUUGGUGGCAACUUGAGACGAUAAUCUACCGAACCAAUCGCCUUAACAACUUUAUAAGGUCCAACAUACAUUGGACUCAAUUUACCCUUCCUUCCAAACCCCAAAUUCUUUUUCAAAGGUGAAACUUUCAAGAAUACCUUAUCGUUAAGUUGAAACUCAAUAUCUCGAUGUUUCAAAUCCACAUAAGAUUUCUGCCUAUCCAACACUGCUUUCAAACGAUCACAAAUCAAUUUCACUUUCUCUUCAGUCUCACGAACUAAAUCUGGUCCAACAACACGCUUCUCAUCCAAUUUUAUCCAACACAAAGGAUUUCUACACUUCCAUCCAGUGCUUCAAACGGUGCCAUAUGAAUACUCGCUUGAAAAUUGUUGCUAUAAGCAAAAUCCCCUAACGACAAAUAUCACUCCCAACUACCAUUGAACUCAACCACAUAGCUUUGCAGCAUAUCCUCUAAAACUUCAAUUACUCUCCCUAACUGAGCAUUAGUUUGGGGGUGAUAAGUCAAUCGUACUAAAACUAAGCUUCGACCCCAAAACCUCUUGCAAACUCUUCAAAAACCUCGAUGUAAAACGCGGAUCUCUAUCUAAGAUAAUCAAAACUAGAACCCCAUGAAGACGUACAAAUUCAGCAAUGUACAACUCUACUAAAUUCUGCAAAGAACAAUUGAUACGGAUAGCCAAGAAAUGCGCACUCUUCGAGAUUCGAUCAAUAAUUACCCACAUUGAAUCGUUCUUUGAUGGAGUCAAAGGAAAACUCAAAACAAAGACCAUGGUGAUCAUUUCUCACUUCCAUUCAAGAAUAGCAAUCGGUUGUAACAAACCUGAAGGAAACUAAUGCUCUGCCUUUACCUUCUAACAAACCAAACAUCGAGAUAGAAAAUCUGUGACAUCACGCUUCAACCCAGGCCACCAAUAAAUCUCCUGAAGAUCACGAUACAUCUUACCACUACCGGGAUGCAUAGUGUAAGGGCUACUAUGGACCUCAGUAAAGAUCAGUUGCCUCAAAUAUACAUCAUGUGUCACACACAACCUACCUCAAAAGUUCAAUAUACCAUCACUCUUAACCUCAAAAUCUCCCUUAACACCUUACUCACCCUGUCAAAUUCUCUUUAACAAUUCUCCAUCUAGUGGUUGGUUCUCUUUAAUUUAUUAUUACAAAGUCGGCCUCACUUGAAGUUCAGCUAACAAACCACCAUCACUAGCCAAACUCAAGCCUACAAACAUAGCUCUCAACUCCACCAUUGACUUUCUACUUAAAGCAUUAGCAAUAACAUUCACCUUGCCAGGAUGAUACUCUGUCACACAAUCAAAUCCUUUAAAAGUUCAAUCAAAUGUCUUUGCCAUAAUCUUUUUGGGUGAUGAGGUAUUAAGGCUCUUAUGAUAUGUGUAAAUAACACACUUUUCACCAUACAAAUAAUGGCGCCAAAUCUUAAGCACGAAUACCACAACAACUAAUUCCAAAUCAUGAGUAGGAUAAUUAUAAUCAUGAGUCUUCAACUGUCUUAAAGCAUAAGCCACAACCUUACCCUCUUGCAUCAACACACAACCAAGUCCCAAAUACGAAGCAUCACUACAAACCACAAAAUUGUUUCCAGGCUCUGGUUGAAUCAAUACUAAUGUCUCAGUCAAAACUGCCUUGAGUCAUUCAAAACUUUUCUGCCUUUCAUCUGUCCAUUCAAACACCAUAUCUUUCUAAAGUAGUUUCAUAAAGGGUGUAGCAAUAAGGGAAAACCCUUCAACUAAUCUACGAUAAUAGCAAGCCAAACCCGAGAAACUCAGAACUUCAGUAACACUCCUAGGCGGCUUCCACUCUAAGAUCGCCUCAAUCUUCUUUGGAUCCACUCGAAUCCCUUUUGCUGACACAACAUGACCUAAAAAUGCAACUUUCUUAGUCCAAAAUUCAUACUUACUCAACUUUGCAUACAACUACUUAUCUCAUAGACAACAAAACCCUUAAAUGCGUAUCGUGUUCCUCCUCUAAAUGAGAAUGCACAAAGAUAUCAUUUACAAAGACAACCACAAACUGAUCCAAGUACGAAUGGAAUACUCGAUUCAUCAAAUCCAUGAACACAGUAGGGGCAUUAGUUAAACCAAAUGGCAUGACCAAAAACUCAUGAUGCCUAUACCGAGUCCUAAAAAUAGUUUUCAACACAUCAAAAUCCUUCACCUUCAACUAAUAAUAUCCAGAUCUUAAUUCAAUCUUUGAAAACACCAUUGCACCUCGGAACUGAUCAAACAAGUCAUCAAUUCGAGGAAAAUGAUACUUAUUCUUGAGGGUCAACUUGUUCAACUGCCUAUAAUCAAUACACAUCCUUAUCGUACCAUCCUUCUUCUUUACAAACUAAACUGGUGCACCCCACAGAGAUACACUCGAUCGAAUGAAACCUCUAUCAACCAACUCGUGCAACUAAAUCUUUAACUCAUUGAGCUCUAUUGGUGCCAUGCGAUAGGGUGCUAUAGACACUAGUGUAGUACCAAGAUAGAGCUCAAUACCAAAAUCCACUUCACAUUUCGGUGGCAAACUAGACAACUCUUCAAGAAACAUGCUAGGAAAAUCCUUAACAGUAUAAAUAUCUUUAACUCUUAUUUCCUUACUAAUUGAAUUCAUCACAUAGGCUAAGUAAGCUUCAAAACCUAUUCCCAUCAUCUUCUCAGUCUUUCAACGACAACAACAAUUUCCAACCCAUCACUAUUCUUCUGAGUAAUUCAUUUCGUCUAAAAUUCUACCUUAGCCUUAAGUUCAGUCAACCAGUCCAUAUCAAGAAUAACAUCAAACCCGUAGAAAGACAAUUCCAUAAGAUCAACAGGGAAAACAUGCCCUUAUAUCAUAAGGGCACCCCACGGAGAUACACUAGGUCGAAUGAACCCUCUGUCAAGCAACUCUUGCAACUAAAUCUUUAACUCUUUGAGCUCUUUUGGUGCCAUACGAUAGGAUGCUAUAGACACUAGUGCAAUACCAGGAUAGAGCUCAAUACCAAAAUCAACUUCACAUUCUGGUGGCAAACCAGACAACUCUUCAGGAAACAUGUUAGGAAAAUUCUUAACAGUGCAAAUAUCCUGAACUCUCAGCUCCUUACUAACUGAAUUCAUCACAGAGGCUAAGUAAGCUUCACAAACUCUUACCAUCAUCUUCUCAGACUUCAUAAUGGAAACCACAUUAGACAUAAAUCUCAGUCUUUAAACAAUAUCAACAAUUUCCAACCCAUCACUAUUACCUCUAAGUAAAUUAGUUUCGUCUUAAAUUCUACCUUAGCCUUAUGUUCAGUCAACCAGUCCAUAUCAAGAAUAACAUCAAACCCAUAGAAAGGCAAUCCAAUAAGAUCAACAGGGAAAACAUGCCCUUGUAUCUUAAGGGCACCCCACGGAGAUACACUCGAUCGAAUAAUCCAUUUGUCAAGCAACUCUUACAACUAAAUCUUUAACUCUUUGAGCUCUUUUGGUGCCAUAUGAUAAGGCAAUAUAGACACUGGUGCAGUAUCAGGAUAAAGCUCAAUGCCAAAAUCCACUUUACAUUCUGGUGGCAAACUAGACAACUCUUCAGGAAACAUGUUAGGAAAAUCUUUAAGAGAGCAAAUAUCCUGAACUCUCAGCUCCUUACUAACUGAAUUCAUCAAAAGUGCUAAGUAAGCUUCACAACCUCUUCUCACCAUCUUCUCAGCCUUCAUAGUCAAAACCACAUUAGACAUAAAUCUCUGUCUUUCAACGACAACAACAAUUUCCAACCCAUCACUAUUCCUCUAAGUAAUUUGUUUCGUCUUAAAUUCUACCUUAGCCUUAUGUUCAGUCAACCAGUCCAUGCCAAGAAUAACAUCAAACCCAUAGAAAGGCAAUUCCAUAAGAUCAAAAGGUAAAACAUGCCCUUGUAUCAUAAGGGCACCCUACGGAGAUAAACUCAGUCAGAUGAACCCUCUGUCAAGCAACUCUUGCAACUAAAUCUGUAAUUCUUUGAGUUCUUUUGGUGGCAUACGAUAGGGUGCUAUAGACACUGGUGCAGUACCAAGAUAGAGCUCAAUACCAAAAUCCACUUCACAUUUUGGUGGCAAACCAGAAAACUCUUUAGGAAACACAUUAGGAAUAUCCUUAAAAAUUGGAAUAUCCUGAACUCUCAGCUCCUUACUAACUGAAUUCAUCACUGAGGCUAAGCUUCACAACCUGUUCCCAUCAUCUUCUCAGCCUUCAUAGUUGAAACCACAUUAGACAUAAAUCACAGUAUUUGAACGACAACAACAAUUUCCAACACAUCACUAUUCUUCUAAGUAAUUCUUUUCGUCUUAAAUUCUACCUUAGCCUUGUGUUUAGUCAACCGGUCCAUACCAAGAAUAACAUCAAACCCGUAGAAAGGCAAUUCUAUAAGAUCAAUUGGGGACAACAUGCCUUUGUAUCAUAAGGGGGUAUCUACGAUAAACUUUACUCACCAUCACACUAUAUCUAAAGGAACUAAUUACAGUCAUACCCAAAUCAAAAGUCUCUAUAGGGAUUCCUAACUUAAAAGCCAAUUCACUCAAGAUAUACGAAUAUGUAGAACCAGAAUCAACAAAAAUAAGUAAUGAAGUAGACUGCAAAGUGAAAGUUCCUACGAUGACAUCAAUAAGAUCCUGAUCCUCUAGUUCCCUAACAGCAUAAACCCGAGCUGGACCUCAAGAAUCAACCUAUGAAGAAAUAGUAUGAGCAAUAAUCCACUACCCAACCACUCUCCUAUUACCUUUACCGCGACCACGGCUUCUAGUAGGUGCAAAAGUAGGUCUCGAACUCUGAGUCUGUAAAACCUCUACACUACACGACACUUACCUGAAUGCCUAUGAUCACAAUGUGCAUAAAGUUGCCAUCUAGAACCACCUGUCGAACCCCCAGUAUUAACCACAACACUACUUUACUACCUAGACUGACUCGGUCAAGACCCACUUGCACCCCUACCGAAACUAUGAUUAUCACAUCUUCUCUUAGGUUCUCGAUCAGAUGCACCAUCGCAAGUCCUUUUACCAAAUUCAGUAACCACAGAGUGAGGCAGCUUAGCUAAAGUAUCAUCAACUGCUUUAGCUCUCUCAAUUAACUCAUCAAACAUAUCCACGUUCUGAGCUACCAAGUAAACCUGAUUCUCAUGAUUAAGCCUAAAUCGAAUCCUCUUACAAUAGUCCUUCUCAAAAAGAAUCAUCUCAUGAGUGUACUGACUAAGUCGCACAAACUCCGCUUCAUAGUCAGCCACUGAAAAAUCUCCUUAAACCACAUAAAAAACUCCUGUUUACGAGCCUCCAUAUACUGCUUGCCCAUAAACUUCCUCUUAAAAACCUCAAGAAAAUACCCCAAGUUAACCAAUCAGUGGUAGUAACUCCCUAAUCGCAUUCCACCAACGAUGAUCCUCACCGUCAAAUAAGGACACAACACAACUCAACUUCUCUUCAUCAGAACAGGACACCUGCUGGAGGAUGCUUUCAACUCCCUCCAACCAGUACCCAGCUACAGUCAGAUAAGUACAUUUCACUCCAGAAAACUUUUUACCACCUAACGCCUGAAUACGUUCAAGCGGCAACCUAGAUUAAUAGGUGCAAGAUUGACAGGUGCAGGAGCAUGGUUAGCACCAAUAAUCUGUUAAAACGUUCCAAUCAUAGCUUCUGUAAGAGGGCCAACACCCUCAUCAGGUAUAUUCACUCUAUGCAGUGGCACAGGAGUUGCAAAGGAUGUACCGUCCUAUUGAGCACUAGCUUUCACAUUAACACAUCUAUGAGGCAUAUCGUAUCUACUAGUCUAACAAACAAACAAACAAACAAACAAAUAGAGGUGUGAGUGGCGGGAAAAUAAUCCAAGCUACAUUCCUGUAAACAAACUUUGGAAUUAAAGACAAUAAGUUCUCAUUCCUACCCCACAUACAAUAAAAUAAGAAAUAUUUCAAGCAAUUUAGGCAAUCAAAGUAACUUAAACACUUGGUUUUCUAGAUCCAUGGGUUGUGAAACCCCAAAUAGUACAUCAACAACUAUUACCUAGGUUCGAGUGUUAGUGAACCUAGGCUCCAAUACUACCAAAUGUAAUACCCUAUACCCAGCCUAAUCAUCAAGCCCGAAUAUUAGGAUGCCGCACCACCGUCUCACAACAUACAUAGUACAAAUGAGCUCAUUAUUAAAGAAAUGUCUUACAUUUUAACAUACGCACAAGUUAUGAGUCAAACUUACUCUAAUCAUAAUUAAUACAUACUAAACACACAUCAAAUAGUCUUACAAAUAUAAUCAAACAUGUAUAGGGUUCAUUUAGAAAAAAUUUCAAAACUGACUGCUUAGUUAUUGAUAUUGAAACAAAAGUAUCAAUAUUUUCUUUAAAUGGUAUCGGUAUUGAUUGGAAAAUCGGUACCAAAACAACAUUUUCUUUCUCGCCUAAAAAUCAAAUCCUAGAAAAUAAUAGUGUAUUUAUUAAAGUAAUGAUUAUUUUACAUCAGGUAUCGAUACUCGUGAUAAGGUAUCAAUAAAAAAUUAUAAUACUAACUUCCUGUACAACGAAAUAACACAGAUGUAUUAUUUUUAAAACCUGAAUAUCGAUACCUUUACUCUAGACAACAAAAUACAGCAUAAUAAGGCAAAUAAUCCAUCCUAAUCAUAAACCAUUCAACAUGUAACUAAUACCUCGUCAAAUAAACAUCAAAAUGACCACAAUUACAGUUCAAUCAUUGAAAACAUGUUUGAGUAACCUAGUAAUAAAACAAGAGUAGUAUCCAUAAAUCUUAAAAAUUAGUAAGCUAUGAAAAUAACCAAAAUGUGAUGGCUACAUUUAUGCAAUAGUUCGACCACAUUUCCUUUAUUUCCCAAAUCAUAAACAGAUAAUGACUCACCUAUAAAGUGUUACUAGAGACUCGCCUGGAUCAAUCCCUUAGAACCACACAGCUUAUACUGGAACACUACUAAUCUGUAAUGGAUUAAAAGGAGUGGGUGAGCUUAACAAGCUUAGUGAAUUUCUAGAAGAACUGCCAUGCAAACAGUUCAUCAAGCAUUAACGAACAUCCAUUUAGCAUAAUUACAACAUCUCAACCUUAUUUUCAUAUUACUAGUUCAUGCAUCUUUCAAUGAUUCAUUUAAAUAAUAAUCACAUAUCAUUUAAGCAUAUACCACAAUACUCAUAAAUAUAUUCAUUGAUAAUUUGACACUUGAGCUAUGAAACGUAAAAGUGGGCUCUAUCACCACUCAUCGAGUAAACGGAUCUCCAACACACCAAAGGACUAAUAGAGUCGAACAUAUCCCAAAAAGUGAAGCAUAUAGCUAACACUCUCCAUCACACCAAACAUGUUCUGUUGAAUGAAGCUUAGCUUACAUUCCUUUAUCUAUCCAACAUGUCAAGGCCACAACGCCGAAAUCACGUAACACAUAUAGGUAAGUACUCACAAUCCUAUGGUAUGCCAACUAUAUCCAACGGUCUCAAGGUUCACAAGGCCAAAAUAUUCAUUAUUAACACACAUAUUCACUUACUAUUCACUGCACUUUAUCUCUGUAUAAUCAUAUUAUAAGCACAACAUAUUCACUAUCAGCACAUAUAUCACGCCCACAAUUAACUUUUUCACAAUAGCCAUCAUAAGUUUAUUACACAUAUCACAAUGUCAUAUUAUAAUCAACAAAUUCACAACAGAUUUCAACAUAUAAAUUCAUGAGUAUGAGAAAUCUUACACUUGGAAUUUAAAGUAAGGUUUUAGGCUACUUCUAAAUUCCCAAUUAAUGCAUCGAGUCAUGUCCAGAAGCAUUUAUACCAAACACACACCAAUUACAUUUUCGUCGACAGCUCAAAUUAGCAUUUCCUAACUCAUAGAUGUUCCUAGCGAAUCCGAAGCUUCAACAUAACAAUACAAUAAAUAAUCAACUAAAGGCUCACCUGGAACAAUCAAAAUACAAGCCCAAGCCAAGUUCUCAAGUAACCAAAACCUUCGACAUAGCAAACUCAAAUUCUAAUUAUCUCGGUCUACACGUAAUCUUUUUUUCCUAAAAUAAAUUGCAUUAAUCUAGUUCACCUAUGACUAAUUCUCAACCUUUAAGCUAUGUAAAACUAAUAAAUUCAUCAUAUCAAAAUUUUUGACAUAUUUAUGGUAGUUUUCACGAAAAUUCACUAAAUCCUUAGAAAUACUUAACGAAACUUCAAAUUAUGUUUAGAAAUCUUCUAAUUACAUCAAAACUAAGGAAAAUGACACUUUGACUGUCACAAAAUACUGUAUUGAUUUGAAGGUCUUCAUUGAGUUCACUAAAGAGUCCCUUUAACCAAAUGGUUUCUUUACAAGCCUCUGUAAUCGCCAUAUACUCAGCUUUGGUGGUAGACAAAGCGAAUUUAGUUUGCAAAGUGGCUUUCCAACUGAUUGUACAACCUCCAAUUGUAAAGACAUAACUUGUGAGAGAUCUUCUUUUGUCAAGGUCUCCAGAAAAAUCAACAUAAACAGACCCAAUGACUCCAUCUCUAGUUCUUCCAAACUGUAAGCAAACAUCAGUAGUACCUCAUAAGUAUAUUAAAAUCCACUGAACUAUUUUCCAAAGUUAUUUUUCAGGAUUCGCCAUGUAUAUUCUAACUGCACUAACUACAUAUGAUAAAUCUGGACGUGAACACACCACAACAUACAUGAGAUAUCCCACUACACUAGAAUAUGGAACAUGUGACAUGUACUCAAUCUCAUCAUCUGAUUGUGGAGACAAAGCUGAUGAAAGUCUGAAAUAGGCUGCUAAAAGGAGUACUAACAAGCUUAGCACUCUGUAUAUUGAACUUGCAAAGAACUUUCUCAAUGUACCCCUUCUAACUUUACGUUUUUUCUGUCCUUGAGAAUCUCCAUACCAAGUAUUUCUUUACUGGUCUCAAAUCUUUCAUCUCAAAUUCUUUACUAAGUUGGGCUUUAACAUUUCUUAUCCCGCCUUUAUCUUUCGCUGCUAUCAACAUGUCAUCAACAUAGAGGAGUAGAUACACAAAAGAAUCAUCACUGUUUUUCUCAAAGUAAACACAACUGUCAAAGCUACUUCUUUUGAAAUCAUGAGAAGUCAAAAAGGAAUCAAACCUUUUGUACCACUGUUUGGUGACUGUUUCAAAUAGUAAAUGAACUUUUUUAGCAAACAAAUAUAGUCCUCUUUUUCUGAGAUUGUAAAACCCUCUAGUUGUUACAUGUAAAUGUCCUUCUCAAGAUCUCCAUGUAAAAAUACAAUUUUACAUCUAACUGCUCAAGCUUGAAAUCAUGCAUAGCUAUAAUACCAAGCAAAGCACAAAUCGAACUAUGCUUCACAACUUGGGAGAACACAUCUGUGAAGUUCACUCCUGAAAUUUGACUAUAACCCUUUGCAACAAGCUUUAAGUUAUAUCUGGGUUCUUCAACUCCUGGAGUCCCUUCUAUUUUUUUAAACACCCAUUUACAACGAACAACCUUUUUUCCAUUAGGAAGUUUUAGAAGAUCCCAUGUUCUAUUUUUGUGUAGUGAUUUCAUCUCUUGUUGCAUAACAAACAUCCACUUUUUUUAGUCUUCACAGCUAAUCGCCUCAGACUAAUUUGAUGGCUUUUGGAUUACAUCUAUAUCUUCAGCCACAUUUAAAGUAUAAACAAGUAGAUCAAACUCGGCAUACUUCUUUGGAGAUUUAAUCUCUCUUCUAGUUCUAUUUUUGGCGAUAGAGUAUUAUGGUGAAGAAGCAACUCUAGCCCUAAAUUUUUGUAGAUUCUGAUUUAAUCUGAUGCUUUACCUACUUUUGUUGUUCUUUAUUCAAAGAGUAUUUAAGAGAUAAGUUAGGUAGCAAAACAGUUUUAUCAAAAACAACAUCUCUGCUAAUCACAACUUUUCUAGAUUCAGGAAACCAUAACUUAUACCCAUUUACACCAGCUUUAAAACCAAGAAAAACACAUUUAAUGGAUCUUGGUUCCAAUUUUCCAUUAUCAACAUAAGCAUAUGCAAGACACCCAAAGAUCUUUAAAUCAGAAUAAUCAACAGGACUACCAGACCAUACCUCUUGUGGAGUCUUUUUCUCAAUGGAAACGGAUGGAGAUCGGUUGAUCAAAAAACAUGUAGUAGAAGUUGCUUUGGCCCAAAAUGACUUUGGUAAGUUGGAAUUUGACAACAUACAUCGAACCUUCUCCAUGAUUAUUUUGUACAUUCGUUCUGUAAUGUCAUUUUGCUGUGGAGUAUGAUGAACUAUCAAGUGUCUCACGAUCUCUUCUAACUUGCAUAUUUCAUUAAACUCAUCAAAACAAAACUCUAAACCAUUGUCUGUGCAUGGGUAUUUUAUUUGUGUACCCAUUUUUUUCAAUCAUAGCUUUCCAAGACUUAAAUGCAGAAAAAAUAUCACUUUCUGCUUUAGGAAACACAUUCAAAAUUUUCUGGAAAAAUCAUCAAUAAGUAUUAGUAUAUAAUUAGCUCCACCUCUCAAAGGCACUCUGAUGACCACACAGAUUAGAAUGAAUAUACUCCAACGUUCCCUUCGUGUUAUGGAUUCUUAUAGUGAAUCAAACUCUCUUUUGCUUCCCAAAAAUACAAUGCUUACAAAACUUCAGUUUGUAAAUUCCUUGCCCAUCAAGAUGUCCUCUUUUGCUUAAUUUUUCCAUGUUAUUCCACACAUAUGCCCAAGGCACAUAUGUCAAAUUCUAGUAACAUUAUCAUCUGAUAAGGAAGAGGAAGUGACAGUUGCAUCACUAGUAACUAUAGAACCCUGCAAAAUAUAUAACUUGGUAGUCUUUCUCUACCCUUUCAUCACAACAAGAGAACCUUUGGAAAUCUUCAAAACCCCACUUUCAGAUGUGUAUUUCUACCCUUUUGAAUAAAAAAUACUCAAUGAAAUAAAAUUUCUCUUCAAUUCUGAAAUAUGUCGUACGUUAGUAAGUGGUCUGACAACUUCGUUACACACCUUAACUUUAAUCGUUCCAACACCUGCGGUUUUAUAUGAAGCAUUAUUUCCUAUCAAAACAACACCUUCACACACUAUUUUGUAAGUUGUAAACCAUCCCGAUUGAGACUCGUGUAGAAGUUGCAUCCCGAAUCAAAAUCCACUCUUUGUUCACUUUAGAAUUGUUGACAGAAGUGACUAGAAGUUCACCAUCGCUGUAGUCUUCUACAACAUCAGCUUUCCUAGAUUUUUCUAAUUGUUUUCCUUUUUGAUUCACAGCCUUCCUUUUGAUCUUAUUCUGCAGCUUAUAACUCUUCGAUUUAUUGUGCCCUUUCUUCUUGUAGAAGUUACAAGUUUUACCUCUAUUUGAAGACUUCGACCUACUUUUAGAUUUACCGCGAGGAUAUUGUUCCUAUGUCCUUCCACGAUCAUCAUUAGCAUUGUGAUCUUACCUCUCAUGAACAAUGAGACCCUAUUCCUGAGAGUCGAUUUUAACUAUAAGAUGUUUCAUCUUAUCAUACAAGGUCAAAGAAUCAUAAACCUCAUCAAAUAAAAGAGAUUCGUGACUAUAUAAAAUCGUGUCUCCAAAGGUUAAAUAAGAUAGGGGCAACGAAUAAGGUAGAAUCAACUUUAGAUCUUCCUUAUCAUACUAAACCUCCAUGGCCUCCAAGCUUGAGAGGAUUUCUUUAAACACUAUUACGUGUUCGUGCACAGAUGCGUCUUCUUCCAAACGAUGAGCAUUAAGACGCUUCUUCAUAUGUAGCCUGCCGGUUAGAGUUUUUAACGUACAUAUUUGUUUCAACCUCUUCCAUAAUUUAGCGGCGAUCUUCUCCUUCAUCACAUCUUAUAAAAUUUUGUUAGACAAAUUUAAAUGUAAUUGUGUUAAUACCUUUCUAUCUUUACGCCUCUUUUCUUCCUCCGUCAAUGUCGAAAGAAUCUUAUCUAUCCUUAGCAGGGCAUCUUCUAAGUCCAUCUGCGCAAGAACUGCCUGCAUCUUUCUCUGCCACAACGCGACUCUGGGUUGUGAUCCAACAGCGAAAUUUCAUACUUCAAAGACAUCAUUACCGUGAUUGAGAUGAACAACCCGAAAGAUCGGAUACCAAUUUGUGAAAAAGUAGAAUGUCGAUAAUGAUAAUGUAUCGCAAAGAAAAGAGAAAGAAAAAUAAAGAACACACAGAUUUUUACAUGGAAACCCUUUCGAAAAAAACCACGGGUAGAGGAAAAGAUAAUUCACUAACCAUGGGUAGAGGAAAAGAUAAUGCACCAUGUCAAAUUUGAUGACUACAAAAAGAGUAGACUAUUUAUAGGCUUGUAAAACCAUAUUCUAAUAGAAUGAGUGUAGUAAGGUUGAAACACCUUAUUAUAAUCAAUAUCAAAUAGAUAAAGUAUAAUAAGGUUGAAAAGCCUUAUUCUAAAAUAAAAUAAAAGAAGUGUAGUUCUAUAUGGAUUUUUCUUUUAUUUUAUUUUAACAAGGAUCCAGGUCACUCAAUUCUAGCAAAAAGUACAAUGCAUAGUAAAAUAAAAUAAUAAAAAGAACAAGAAUAAUAACAAGAACAAAAACAAAAACUAAAUAAUAAAAAACUAAAUGAAAUUACCUAGGGUAAGAAGGAAACAAAAGAGAGAAAAAACUAGCUUUAAAAAGGAAAAAAAAGUACAUGGCCAUGUGCCAAGCCAUGUGAGCCAUACGACUGUAUGGCCAGGCCGUGUAUGCCACAUCGUUGUGUUGUCGGGCUGUCUGUGACACGGGCCUGUGGACCGGUUGUAUGCGUCACAUGGUUGUGGACAAGCUGUGUGAAAUCACCCAAACCGUGUGUGAUAAAAAUUAGGUAAAAAUAAGCCCAACAACAGCACGACCGUGUAACUCUGUAUACCCGUGUGGGUCAAAUUAAAAUUGAAAAAAUUAGCUCCAGUAUGCACAUAGUCUGAGAUAUGCUUGUGUGUCCAGGCUGUGUGAAACACAGUCAUGUGCCCAAAAUUUGUGGAUCGACCCAGACUAUGUGGACCACUUUUCCUUUUAAAAAAUUAUAUUUUUUGAAUUUUUUUUUCAUUUCUUUAUUUUUUUCAUCAAAUUUUUGUUUCAAAAUUUUUUUCUUUUUUUCACAUUUUUUAAGGUAAAAAAAAUAAAUGUACUAAUUUUUUCAAUUUUUUUAUUUAAAAAAAAACAUGUAAGUAUAAUAAAAUGUAACAUACAUACUCCCUAAAUCGAGAUUGAGGCCUAAAAAUAUCUUAAUAAAAAGUUACAAAAAUUUGGUAACAGAGGUCACAUGGUUGUGUGCCCCACACGGCUGAGGCACAUGCCCGUGUCUUAGGCCGUGUACCUCACACGACUGAGGCACACGCCCAUGUCUCAGGCCGUGUAACCUUCGAACUAGGGACACAUAGCCUUGUCUCAGCCCAUGUCCUCACUUGUGUAACUCUAUGAGUAGUGUCACAUGGUCGUGUCACACGGCCGUGUGCCAGGCCGUGUGCUAGGCUGUGUAACUCACUGAUUUGAAUACAAAGGAACCAAUAGGGGACAGACUACCGUGUCGCCACGCCAUGUGCCACACACGGCUGAGUUACACGCCUGUGUCUCAGGCCGUGUGAACUAAAAUUUACCUAAAAUUAAACCAUUUCAAAUCCAUUACAUCCAUAAUCCUUCAACCUAUUUAAGCACACUUUAAAGGGACCUUAACCAACAUCAAAACACAAUUAAACAUGCUAAAAAACAUACCAAAAUGAACAUCUUAAGUGUCUAACCAAUGUGCCCUCAUUAACACCACAUUUAAUUCAUCUAUCAACAACUAAUAUACAAUUCAUAGGUACCUCAAAUAAAGCUCAAACGUUCAAAUAAUUGGGUAUGGUAAAUGCAUAAUUUAUACUAAUCAUUCCCAAAAAAGUAUCAAUCAAAAAGGUUCAAUGAAUAAACUUUCUUCACAUACUAAACAAGCACUUCAAGCAUCGCACCAAAAUGACCAAAUCAUUAAGGCUAACAUUGAAUGGAAGCAUUUAUAUAACAAAUCCAAACAUUUAUUUACAAUCAUUUAGAACUUAUAAGACUACUUUCUCUAGGAUUUACUAAACAAAGGGACAUUAACUUAAUAUUGACAUCCUGGUACACGCCAAGACUAAAAAAAAAUAUAUCACCAACUUUGAGUAUGGUAUUUAUCAUGGAUGCUGAGACGUAGAACAACAGUAAUACCUAACCUACAAACAAGUAAAAAUUCAAGUAGUAAGCAACUCAUGAUCUCAAUGGAUCCCAUUUUCAAAUAUCAACCAAACAUUUACAUUUCAAAACAUAUAAAUCAUCUCAUGAACUAUUAUACCUUACCAAAAUAUAUAAUCCAAUAAAUGACACCCGAUGCCUAACGGUUAGAUCGUGAAUAAGGUUUUGCGCCCAACGCUAGUCAUUUAACUUGACAAAAUCAUUGGUGUGUCAAGCACAAUUCAAACGAGUCAAGAAAUUAUUGCGCCCAGCUAGUCGGAUAACCGACGAUAGUUGUGCUCAGCAUUAGUCAAAUAAACUAAUAGAAGAUUUGCGUUUAGCACUAGUCGGAUAACCGACGGCAGUUGUGGCCAGCACUAGUCAGAUAAACUGACAGAAGAUUUGCACCAAGUGCUAGUCGGAUAACCGACGACAAUUACUCAAUCGAAAUUCCAUAAUAUUACUUUCAUCACUCGAUAUCAUGUUUUAUAUAAAUCCAUAUACUUCCAUUCACUUGAAUUAGCAAUUAUAUUAGGGAUAUAAUAAACAUCGAGUAGUAACUAGAUUAAUUAAAUCAAUUUAUAAAGUUUGAGUUCAGGGAAUAUGACCUUACCAAAAUACGAUGGAUGCUACAAAUCAAAGACGUCUACUAAGUGAUCUUUUCCUUCCCAUGCUUGAUACCUAAUCUAUUCUUCUCUUCAUUUAAGUUUAACAAAUUAGUUCAAUUACUUAAUUUGAAUACCAUACUUGUUUUUAAUUAAAUCAGUUAACCUUAGAUCAUAAUUUAUACUUUUACAAAACAACAAUCGACAUUUACUCAACUCAAUCAUUAACAUCAAAAUUAAGUUGAACACAUUUUCUUCUAAUCUCCAUAUCUAACUAAAUAUACAAAUAAUUUAUUAACAAUCCCUAAAUUAUUGAAUUUUCUAAUUUAACACCAUGCUAGUUUAAUUUAUAGUAUUUAACUCAUUGAAAGUUAAUACUAACAAAACUCAUAGCACAAAAUACUUUACUUGCUCAAAGAAAUUAGUAAUUCAACCCAAAUUUCCAGCACAAAGAACAAUCCACCAAAAACAAUCCCUAUACUUCACAAAAUUAAGAAUUUUACUCCCACAUUUCAAAGUCUGCUACAAUUUAAAAUCUCAAUGCACAAAUUCUUGAAUUAGCUUACAAUUCUUCCCACUUCUAUUUCAACUUCAAAAAUCUACCCCAAUAACAUUAAGAACUUAGAUUUUUCUACCAUACUAACUUGUUUUAACAUCAACAACUGUAAAAUUUCAACAUGGGUAAUUUAACUCAUGAUCUUAGUAUUCCAGAAAUAUAAAAUCCAUGAAUAAAGAACCAAAAAUUACUAAUCAAAUUGAGCUCUAAAGCAUGAAACAAAGUAACUGACUGUUCUUUUCCCCUUUUCGGCAUGCAAGAGAAAAUGAAACUUCCAAUUUUUUUCUUCUUUUUCCCCCCACUAAUCUAUUUGUUUCCUUAUUAAACAAUUUCCUUUCAUUUUAUAUUUUAUUUAUUUUAACCAAUUUACUAAGUGUCUACGUAUACAAUAUAUAUUUAUAUAUUUAACACAUAAAUUGAUCAUAAACAUCCACUAUCAAAAGUCUAUAUAUAUGUAAUGGUCUAUUCAUUGAAUAGGUCCUUAAUCUAAUCCCACUUUGCAAUUAAAUAUCAAUACAAUUUUAUCACCCAUUUAAUUUAAUCCUUGUUCUUAAUUUUAAAUUAAAAAAGUUUAACUAUCAUUUAAUUCACUUCUAAGGUAACUCUAAAAUUAUUAUAAAUAAAUAUUUAUAAGCCUAAUUCACAAAGGCGGGGUCCCGAAAGUAUGUCUACCGACACCCCUGACUUAUGGAUCGUAACAUAAAAACACUCGGGUUACCUCCCGAUAAAUGUUUAUUUAGAGUCUAAGCUCGACUUCCCAUUUUUAAACUCACGGUUAAGACAGUUCUUAGAGCUGAAGCUCAUCUUUCUCGUUAUCAGUUUUACCAUCAAACUAAGGUUUGAUACGAGUACUAUUUACCUUGAACAUGCUAAAUUCAAAAUGUGUUACCCCAACUGUACCGUAUAGAAAAAUGAUUUUUACCAAAAAUGGGUUAGACCCUCUCGACUUAAAUUUUGAAGGAAAAAUUUGUGGAUCUGAUUUGUCUAAUAGUACUUUGUCCCUAACUUUGAAUUGUUUCAUCACUUUCACAUGCAUAUCAUAGUGAUGCUUUGUUUCUUCUUUUUGCUUUCUUAGUUUCUUGUCAACCUUCGUUCGUCAUUCAUUUAGUUCGUUGAGGUACGCCAUUCGCUCUUCACUUGUUCCCCGAGUUCUGUCACUUUGAAUAAAAUAUGGCUCCAACACAUUUUCAUGAAGAGUUUCCUACCAAAAAUGUUGAGCCACAUGAUUACUAACAUUAAUAGAACAAUUAGUAUCAUCUUGUUCACUAGGGACUUUCACAAAAUCAUGUGUUUGAAGAGUAAUUUUUUCAUCACCUAUACGAAGCACAAGUUCACCACUACCGACAUCAAUAUAGUUCUAGUUGUGGCUAAAAAUGGUCGACCUAAGAUCCUAGGCACCUCAAUAUUCUCAUCCAUGUCUACUACAACAAAAUCAACAGGGAAUAUAAAUUUAUCGAUUUUCACAAGUACAUCCUUAAUAAUACCCCUAGGAUAUCUAAUUGAUUUAUCCGCUAUUUGAAUACUCAUCCUGGUGGGUUUGGGUACCCCAAGACCAAUUUGUUUGAACAUCUUAUAAGGCAUGACAUUUAUACUAUCUCCCAAAUCAACCAAAGCACUUUCACCAUUUAAACUACCAUUUAAAUUACCGACUUAUGCUCUUUCUUACCUUCCUCAACCUCAUCACUUUUCACAAUAGCUUCUAACUCUUCUAUGUUUCAAAUAGUGGUUGUGUGGAUUUCCUCCCUUGGGUUAGUUUCAGUGUUGCUAGGUAAACUCCCUUGUGGUCUUUCCUAAAUAAGUUUGGCAAGCUGUCCAAUUUGAUUUUUAAGCCCUUGAAUCGAUGCUUGUUAAUUUUUUUAGAGUUUCCUUAGUGUUUUGAAAUCGAGUUUUUGACAUUGAAAUAAAUUUAGCCAACAUCUCCUCAAGGUUCGGCUUCUUUUCUUGCUGAUAAGGCUGUUGAAAACCCAGAGGGGUUGUGACCUUUGAUUUUCUUGACCACUCGAAGAGAAAUUUGAAUGGUUCCUCCAACCUGCAUUAUAAGUAUUACUAUAAGGGUUAUUUUGAGGUCUAGAAUUAUUACCCAAAAAGUUGACUUGCUCAUGCUUCAUGUUAAGCUUAAAGGAUGAAUAUUUUGGAUAAAUCAUCUCCACUCCAUUUGCAUCGUAUUGCAUUAUUGGAUUUACCUGCUUAGAAAAAUUCAAACCAUCAAAUUUUUUAUUCAGUGCUUCGAUUUAGCUUGCCAACAUAGUAACUGCAUUUAUAUUAAAUACACCGGCUGCAUUCAUCAAUUUUGUUCUCAUGACUUACCACUAAUAGCUAUUCAGUGUUACUUCUUCAAUAAACUUUUGAGCUUCCUCUAGUGUUUUAUUAUUCAGUGUUCCACCAACUACUACAUCAAUUAAUUGCCUGGUUGAGGGAUUCAAACCAUUGUAAAAUUUUUGAACUUGUAGCCACAAAGGUAAUCCAAGGUGAAGACACCUUUUCAACAAAUCAUUAAAUCUAUCUCAUGUAUCAUAAAGAGUUUCAAUAUCAAAUUAAACAAAAGAAGAGAUAUCAUUCCUCAACUUAGCUGUUUUUGCUGGUGGAAAAUAUUUUAACAAAAAAUUUUCAGUCAUUUGCGCCCAAGUAUGGAUAGAACCUUGUGGCAAUGAAUUUAACCACUGUUUUUUCUUGCUCCUCAAUGAGAAUGGGAACAACCGUAAGCGUAUGACAUCAUCAAUAACGCCAUUGAUCUUGAAAGCGUCGCAAAUCUCUAGAAAGUUGGCCAAAUGAGCAUUUGGAUCUUCAUCUUGCAAAUCAUCAAACUGAAUAUAUUGUUGCACCAUUUGAAUUGUGUUCGACUUGAUCUCAAAAUUGUUUUCAUUAACAGUCGAUCUGACAAUACUCGAUUCAGCCCCAAUCAGAGUGGGUUUAGCAUAGAAAAAUAUGGAUUACUUAUUACCACGAAUAUUUUUUUUAAAGAAAAAAAUUAAUGGACAUAGAAAAUUUUUCUUUAAACGUAGAAAAUAAGAAUUCAGUAAGGUCAAAUACGUUUAACUGUAAAACUAAAAUAGUUGCUAAUGUCAUAAUUUAAACAUUUUUUAAGAAGGUUUUUAUUUUUCUACAAGUUCUUUUUUUUUAUUUUUUUGGGUAGAAAAUAACAACACUAAGCGAAUACAUUAAUCAAUCAACCCCUUGUAUAGAUAUUUCUAUCUUCACGCAGAACUUCUUGUACUGAAUUUGGUGGAUCCAUAAAUACUAAUAGACUUGGUGUACCAUUAUUUGUGCAUUUAACCAUUUGAUCAGCAGCCAUAUUUUGAGCCCUUUAGAUAUGUCGAAUCCUUAUUUUCCAAUUUCAUUGGAGUAAGUGUUAGAAUUGAGUGACCCGAAUCCUUGUUAAAAUAAAAUAAAGUGGUAAAAUAAAAUAAAAGUAAAAUCCAUAUAGAAUUACACUUCUUUUAUUUUAUUUUAGAAUAAGGUUUUUGAACCUUAUUACACUUCAUCUAUUUGAUACUGAUUAGAAUAAGGUGUUUCAACCUUACUACAGUCCUAUUAGAAUAUGGUUUUACAAGCCUAUAAAUAGAUAUAGCCUACUCCUCUUGUAAUUAUUCGAAUUCGACAUAGUAGGUUAUCUUCUCCUUUGCCCGUGGUUUUUUUCUCGAAAGGGUUUCCAUGUAAAAUUUGUGUUCUUUAUUUUUCUUUCUCUUUUCUUUGCCAUUAUCGACGUUCUAUUUUUUAACAGAUUGGUAUCCGAGCUUCUAGGUUGUUCAUCUCAAUCAUAGUAAUGGCGUCUUUGAAGUAUGAAAUUUUGCUAUUAGAUCGCAACACUAGAUUUGCAUUGUGGCAAAUAAAGAUGCAGGCAGUCCUUGCGCAGAUAGACUUAGAGGAUGCCUUGCUAGGGAUAGAUAAGAUUCAUUUGACAUUAACAGAGGAAGAGAAGAGGCAUAAAGAUCGAAAGGCAUGAUGUGAUGAAGGUGUGAUGAAGGAGAAGACUACUGCUGCAUUAUGGAAGAGGUUGGAACAAAUAUAUAUGUCAAAAACUCUAACUAGUAAGCUGCAUAGCAGCGUCUUUAUACACAUCGUUUGAAGGAAGGUGCGUGUGUGCACGGACACUUAACAACGUUUAAAAAAAAUUCUUUCAAACAUAGAGGCCAUGGAGGUUUAGUAUGAUAAGGAAGAUCUAGGGUUGAUUCGAAAUGUAUAAAAUGUAAACAAUAAUUUUAAUCGAUUAAUUUAAAUUUUAAAACUUUUCAUUAUUCUCAAAUUUUUCACUCAUUUUUUUUAUUUCAUGAAUUUUUUUUAAAAGAAAUUCAAUAGCUCCAUGUUAAUUGCAAAAACAUGAGUGAUAUCCAUAACUCUUACAUUUGAAGAAGAUAGAACCCAAAAGAGAAAAAUUAACAUUAAUUUUUGUUGUUUUACUCUUUUUUUAUUGAGUUUGUAAUAUGUUGCUUUUCAUUAGAUUUGGUAGUUUUUCAUAAAAACAUUUUUCUUAAUCCAUGAUUUCUUAUAAUAUUGAAAAAAAACUGAUUAGAAUGCAGGAAAAAUGUAAACAUAUUAGAAACAUGUAACAAAAUAAUUUAAAGAGAAAUAAAACAAAAUAAAUCUUAAAUUUAAGUUAUAAAAAAUUACAUAAAUAAGAUUUGGUAGUUUUUCAUAAAAACGUUUUUCUUAAUCCAUGAUUUCUUAUAAUAUUGAAAAAAAACUGAUUAGAAUGCAGGAAAAAUGUAAACAUAUUAGAAACAUCUAACAAAAUAAUUUAAAGAGAAAUAAAACAAAAUAAAUCUUAAAUUUAAGUUAUAAAAAAUUACAUAAAUAUUUAUAUAGAUAAUGUAAAAAUUGGAUUCAAUAAAUAGUGUACAUGUCAGAUUUUGCCCGAGUCUAAAAGACCCGCAUUACACACAGGCCUAUAUGGCCCAAUUAAUAAAACAAAUAGUGGCCCAAACCCAAUUACAACGAAAUAGGCCCAAAUACAAUGGCCCGAAAAAAUAUCAGAAACCCUAGGGUUUCUAAGCCAUCUACGCCGCAACCACCUAGCCCGUUUGUGCCGCAGCUGAAUAUUCACCUGCAAGGAAUGAACACAGAGAAGGAAACAAAAUCAAAAGAUUUGCGGAUCAAGAGAUAUCAAGCAUGAUUUGUUUCUUUAUUUUUUUUAAUAUUAUGGCUAUAAGAAAGCCAUUAAACAUACUGUAAAAGGGGGAUUCAAAAAAUCAAUAAAAAACCAUUGAUAUCACAGCAAAGAGCUAGUUAGUUCAAUACCAAAAGAGCAGAAAUCAGUCCAAGGUUGAUACAUUUUUAGUUUUGUUUUAUGUUGUAUUUUUUUUCUAUUUUUCUUUUGACUGAAACAAAAAUAAAAUUAAAGAUAAAAACACUUAUCUGCUCGUUUCUGAAACGCUGUUGGAGUGGCUGGGGUUCGUCUCCGGGGAUAAAUGACCGAAAGUCGAGGGGUUCCAAGGGAUUUUGGGGUGUUUUUGUUGUUUUUUCGAAGGGUUUGAACACAGACUUGGGCUUGGAAGGGCCGAAAGGUUUAAAUAGGAGAUUUUCUCCUUUUCCGGCCACCGCAAAUGGCAGUGCCGUCGCCGGAGGCCGGUGGCUGGCACAGUGGCCAAUGACUGGCCAAAGCCCGGACCCUGGGUGGCCGAUGAGGGAGGGGAGAGCAUUUGAAAGUUUUUUUAAAUUUUUUUUAAGAAAAGGCUUAAAAUGAAAUUUUUUGGGGGAGUUUUUGGCUUAAAUAGCCAAAUAAAAGGACGUCGUUUUGGGCAUGGGUCGACCCGACUCCGACCCGACCCGGCCUAGGAUCCGUGAGUUUUUGAGCGGAGGGGUAAAUUGCGCUUUUAGCCCCUCUGCCUUUUGAAGUUUUGCAAUUAAGUUUUUUUAAUUUUAUUUAUUUACCCUCUAAUUUUUAUUCAAUUUCAAUUUAAUCCUACUUGUACGACGCCGUUUUGAGGAGAAGGGGAAAUUGCCCUCCAAGCCCCUCUGAAUUAUUAGCGCGUUCAAUAGGGUCCUCCGGUCUUCAAUUAUUUGCAGAUUUGCCCCAGAUUUUUUAUUUACAGUUCAAAUUAGUCCUUUUUUAUUUUCUUUAUUUUUUAUUAAUUAAUUUUUUACUUUUAUUUUUCAUAUUUAAUUAUUUUUUUCAAUAUAUGUAUAUAUGUAUUUUUUACACAUAUUUAUAUAUACAUAUGCAUAUUUAUUUUUUUAAUAUAAUGUAAUUAUUUUUAUUUUAUUUUAUUUAUAUGUAAUUAUUUUUUAUAAUCUAUAUAUGUAUAUAUUUAUCUUUGUAUAUAUAUGUAUGUAUAAAUAUUAAUAUUUUUAACUAAUUUUUUUAUUUGUAUAUAUAUAUGAAUAUAUUUAUUUUUUAAAUGCUCAAAUAUAUGUAUUUUUUAACACCUACUUUAUAUUUUAUAUUUUAUUUUCACAAAUGCAUUAUAUAUUUUGCUUUUAUAAAUUUUAAUCCAAAGUUACAUAUGUAAAUUAUGUGAAUGUCAUUUAAUUUCAAUGCAUAUAUUAUGUACCUUUUUAUUUUUAUAUAUUUUUUUAUUCUUCAUUUGAUUAUUGAUUUAUGUUUUCGUUCAUAUUAAAAAAGAAUUUUUUUAUUUUGCCCAUUCAUUUGAUACUUUACACUUUUCCUAUUUUAUGUUAAUUUUGUUUAUUUAUCGUUUAUAUUAUUUCUAUACAAUUGUUGUACUUGUUAUGGUGACAUUUAAACAUACAUUCAAUAUAACAUUACAUCAUCUUUUUACUCGAAUUUAAAAAUAGGAUUUUUCAAAAUAGAGAUAAUACUAGCAUUUGGGAUUUUCAAGAAAAUUGAGCCCUAACGUAUUGGGUUCCGAUUUUCUUCGUUAAAUCUAAUAAUCGAGAAUUGCUCUUUGAUCAAAAUAAAAAUUAAAAAGCUUGUUGUUGGGGACUUAAUAUGUUGCGUCCUAACGCAUUGGAUGUGAUGUAUUGAUUUCUCAAGACAAAAUUUUUUAAAAAUAUAUAUAUAAAAAAUAAAGGAAAUAUUGAAUGUUUGGGAUUUUAAGAAAUCGUGCCCUAACGUAUUGGGUUGCAUUUUCCUCAUAAAUUUUCAACAAUUAAGUAUUUUCUUAAAUUUUAUCACACGAGUUUUUUUGGGAUAAACUCAUUUUGAAGAAAUAAAAUAUUGUGCCCUAACGUAUUGGGUGUGAUGUUUUCUGUUCCAAAAUGAGGGCGUCUUAAUAAUUAAUUUAAUUAAGGAUCGCAUUUUUUUAACUCUCGACCUUAAGACAUUUAUUAAUCAACUUGGUACCAAUUUUUGGGCGUACGGGGUGCUAAUCCUUCCUCGUACGUAACUGACUCCCGAACCCGUUUUUCUAAAACUCGUAGACCAAAGUCAUUUUUAGGUGGUCCAAUCACACCUUAAUAAAAGAUUAGUGGCGAUUCCAAAUUUUCAUCGACAACUAAUUUUUGUUAUUUUCUCAAAAAUAAAAAAUGGUUUCAACAGCUUGGCGACUCCACUUGGGACUUUUUAAAAAAAUAAGAGAGUCGAGCCACAAAGUUGAUUAAUUUUUGUCUUAUGGUCGAGAAAAUAUUUUUUUUAAAAUUCAUGAGAUCCUUUUGCAUUCAUUAUUUUCUUGCUUAAUUGAUCUUUGCAUUAUACAUUACAUGAGUUGAAUAAUUUUACCCUUUUAAGUGGGAGUGAGAAACUAUUCCUUCGUGAGGUUUUCACCUCCGUAUAGGAUAGUGGAUCGCUUUCGGAAUACAUCGGUACCUAUGGCUUCGUGAGAUUAUCAUCUCCGUAUAGUCAUAGGGAAAAUGUGUUCCCCUGAACAGAACUUGAUCUAUAUGAGCCUAUAAUGGGUGAAGAUUGAGGAAUCUGCUGGUUCGGGUACCCUUAGUUUAGAACCGAACCGCAUAAAAUGAGCCUUAGGAGCCUACCCUAGGUAGAACUAUGCCAAACCCCUAGAGGUCAUCCGAGUAGGUACUUUAUUCAUUUACUUUUACUUUGUACUAACUUGUUUUUUAUGUUGUUUUUAUUAUGAUUGCAUUGUAUUUGCAUCUUAAAAAAGAGGUGUUGAUUCACGUUCAGUUGCUAAAUAGAGAGCUUGUCAUAAGAAAAUGGGUUUCUUGAUAAAAUGGAUGACAAUAUGGUUGUCUGAAUAUGGUCCAAGAACACAUGAUAAGAGAAGGAUGAUAAUUUAAUGGAGGACUACAUGACUAUGGCUCCGUUGCCCAAGGAUUCAAGAUGGCAAAGAUUAUUCGAGAGCUGCUGAACCUUCUUAAAGAGAAGCCAACGAGCAUCACGAGGAUGAGUGAGCAACAAGAUACGGCCUGGAUCGAGCAAAAAGGAGAUAGAAGAGACAUUUUUUUGAAGAGUUCGUGAUAUUUAUCUUAGCUCUCGAAUGAAGAAGAGGAUCGAAUGUCUCCGCCUAUGAGGACAAGGCCGUAUAAAUAUCCAUUUUAUGUAAAGAGAUUUGUUUUCUAGUAAAGUUCUUUAAAUGGAAUUGAAUCAGAAUCAACGUCUCUUUAUGCACUCAUUGCAUGCAUUCGCAUCACAUGACAUCAUACGCAUUAAAGUCCACUAAAAGAGCCUAAUCGAUUAAAAUCAUUCCUCAAUUAAUCUGGAAACUAACUAACAAACGAAACACCGUUACAGAACCUAAGCAAAGUCAGGAGGCAUGGAUCAAAGAUUGGAGAGAAUAGAGCAGAUGCAAGUAUAGAUGCUAGAGCAAUUGACCAAAUUUCAACAAAAUAUGAAGGAUCAAAUGCUAGAAUUCCAAAGCAAUGUGAUAAACCAGUUAACCCAGUUAUUGGCUAGAGGGUUAGAAAGAGAGGAAAGCCCAGUGGUCCAUUUUGGGGAGGAUAAUGAAGACCCUAAUUAUCCCUCAAAUUUUAUCCCUAAGAGUGUCCAGCCAGAUAUGCACCCACAAGGGGCAUCCCUUACUAUCAAAUCCCAGCAAUAUCAGACCAAUACCUUAACACCAAUGAAUCGCCCGACAGGCUCAAGAUCCAAUCUGAGGAACAAUUUAGUCAAUCUUAUUGCUCUUGAUAAUCCAGCAGAAAUAAAACAAUAAAAUAGGUGAGGGUAGAAUACUCAGAUACUAUAAAGGCCCCAAAGAGAAAGGGGAAUAAGGGGGAUAAUGCAGGCAGAUAUAAUAAGGGCCACUCAAAACCAAUCGCUGUGGACCAGCCAAAGACAGAAACCACCAGCCAUCAAAGUCUUUUAAAGCGAGAAUUUUACACGAAGGCAAAUACAAAAAAGCCUCAGUUCACACCUAUACUGAUGUCAUAUAGCGAGCUAUAUCAAAGCCUAUUUAAUGCGCAUGUGGUGUCCCCUUUCUACCAGAAACCAAUGUUGCCUCCAUUUCCUAAAUGGUAUAACACGAAUGCUCAGUGUGAAUACCACGCAGGAAUUACGGGGCACUCAAUAGAGAAUUGCACCGGCUUCAAGAAACUGGUUGAAAGACUCAUUAACAUGGGUGUUGUUAGAUUUGAUGACUUAUCUAGCGCAGAAAAUCCACUACCCAAUCAUAUUGAUAAGGGGGUAGACGUGAGGGCAGGAAUGGGAUUAGUUAUUUCUGAUUCAGGAGGAAACCAUGGAAAGACAAGGAACCAUUGUGAGUUCCAUCACGAGAAGGGGUACGAGACCCAAGAGAGUGUGAAAUUCAAGGCCUUGAUUCAGGGCAUGAUGGACGGAAAGGAGAUGAAGCUUUGUGAGGAAAUUAAAGAGGAUAAAAACAUACACGUAAUGUUUACAUCAAUGACAUAUAUGAGGACACAAAUGAAAAGGGACCUUGUUAGAUAUCCGCCUUUAUAAACUGGAGUGUUCUAAGCAAUUGGACUGCGAAAGAAAUUUCUGUAGUUUUUAGAGCUUAUUUUGAGUAAUGUUCAGAAUAUUUUUAUUGUUUUUAGCCUAAAAAUGAUAGAAAUUCCUUUGUGAAAAAAGGCUCAUGUCUGAACGUCAUUAUUCUAAUAAAAUAUAUAUUUGCAUAUAUUUUUGAGCCAAUAUUUUUCAUUCUUUUUGAAUAAUUAUUCUUUCAUUCUUUUGUAUUUUCUUUCACAAUCAUUCUUUUAUUCAUUCAUGAUCAUAUUGUAUAAAUAAUUAUUCAUAAAUUCAUAUAUUCCUGUGUAAAGUCUUUGGUAUUUACUAUGGGUCCCCAGAUAUCAAUGACUUGAGUGACAUUACUACAGAUUUCGAACCUUCUUUUGAGCGAGAUAUGUGUUUAGAGGGAUCUCAUGACUUUGAAGAUGACAUAGAUUGUAGCCUAUUUCUGGACUUGUUAAGGGUGGUAGAACAAGUCGAGAGACGGAUCUUACCCUACAAAGAGUCAUUGUUGCAGUCUGUUCACGAUUAAUGUCAUAUUGCCCAACAAAAAAAAAGAUGGCACAAAAAAAAACUCUACUGGGGCAAUGCCUUUCUCUUGGUCACAUCGCGGUUUUACCUAUUGAAGACAAGAUUCAUUCUGUCUGAGUUUUUGGAUCCAAUUUUGAUUGAAGAGGUAUGUUCAAAGUUAUCCAUCAUACUCAAAUGCGCCAAAAGCAAAUGAUGCGAGCUCACAAAAAAAAGGAUCCGCCCUAGAGAACUCCUUAAAAGGGACCUGGUAUUGAAGAAGAUCCUUCCCAUACAAAAAGAACUUUAUCCCAAGUUGGGAAAGGACCUUAUGUUGAAGGCCUUAUCUGGAAAAGCGUCGAUCAGAAGGGAUAACAAGGACAUGUGACAGCCCAAAAUUGACCCUAGUCGGGAAGUGGUUUCGGGACCACAAAACCGAGUCUUAUAAAUAAUUAAAGAUUAUAUUAUGUGUUUAUGAUGUGCGUAAAUGCUUGUGUGAUAGUUCCAUACUUUAAUUUGGUCAGUGUAUGUGGAAUUUAUUAGUAGGGACUUAUGUGAGACAAUUUAGAAAUAUGCUAGGCAAGUGUUCAAGUGGCCCAUUAAUAUAUGUGGGAAAGUGUUUGUCCUUGCAUGUCAAAUUAGCCAAAUUAAAGCAUAGUGGCUGGCCAUGCUAUGGGUGGAAACAUGUCACCAACAUGUUAUGCUAGUGAUGUAUGCUAAGAAAAAUAAAAUAAAGAGCAUGGUAAUUAAACAAUGAAAAGGAAGGGUGAUGAAAAAAAAAUGGUCUCAUCCAUACCCCCCCCUUGUUGCCGUGAGUUGAGGAAAGAAAACAAAAAAAAAAUGUGUUCAUUCUUGAACACCUUUGGCCGAAUAGAGGAAAGAAAGGAAGGGGAAGAGCUUGAGAAAAUCGGCUAUGGUGGGUUGCUAGACUAAGGUAUGUUUGAUGUUGUUCUUGAGAUGCAUGCAUGUUUUAGUAGUUGACUUGAGUUCUAAAAACCCAUGGUUCAAUUUUGUGGAUUGAUGAUGAUUUUGUGUUUUGCCAUUGAUGAGUGCUUGAGCUUUUUGAUAGUUGUUGAUGAAAAGUGAAAGAUAUGUUAAAGAUUAAUAUGUUAAAUUAAGGCUUGGUAAGCUAGCUAUUAAGGUGAAAUGCUAAUGUUAGUAUUUGAUUUGGUAAUAAUCUGUUUGGGGACAGCAGCAGUAAGGUGAUUUUGGAAAAUCGCCAUAAUUUGUAGGAGUUGAAUUAGAAGCUGAGUGAAUUAUGCCAUUAAAGCUUGAAGAGUAUAUUUUCUUACAAAAGAAACUAUAAAAACAAAAGAGUUACCGAUCUUGAGAUAUUUGAAGUAUUGUGGGGCUGAGUCAAAAUGACUACUAGAUUCCCUGUUCUGUUUUUAGGAAAUCAUUAUAAAUUGUACAAAAAUGAUUAUAAGAUAAAAUUUAUAUGCUUAGACUCCUUAAUGAGUCUAGUUUCAAAUGAGAUCAAAUACAACACAUUUUGAAUUCUGUAAAAUGAGAAAUUUGAUUCGUAGUGAAGAGUGGUCAGAAUAGUCAAACAGUGAAACAGGGGAAACUUUAAGAAAAAUCUGGUAUUGAUUGGCCAAGCCAAAAAUUCUGAAAAUUUUAUGGAUGGAAGAUAUACGAGUCUAUAUUCAGGGAAAAUUAACGGCUAGUGAUUUGGAGUUUUGUAGCUCCAGUUAUAAACAAUUUAGCGACUGCUGCUCAGGAAAACAGCUCGUAGUGAAUAUGUGAUUUUGUUGUAAACAUUAAUGAAAAUUUGCCAAUGAGUUAUUUAUUGACUAUUAUAAAGCUUACUAUAAUCUAUGUGUGUGAAGGUCAAAUCAAUAUAUAUAUUAUUCUGAAAGUAAUACUUGAAUAGUCGAUUAAUGACUAUUUUAAAUUUUGUUGAACUUAAGCUCAAGAGCAAAAGGGAACUAGAUCCGAUAAAGGCAAAGAAAAGAUCACUGAGUAGUCGAGUUGGAACCGUCUUACCCAACACAAGGUAAGUCAUUAAGCAUGUAGUGGGUAUUAUUUCAAAUGGUCAUAAUGUGUAUGUAUUGAUGCUGAUUGGAAUGAAUAAAUAUACAUAUAUAUAUAUAUGCAUGUACGUAUGUGAUGAUGAAAUUGUUGAAUGAAUGAAAAGAGGUAAGAUGUACUGAGUUGUUGAUCUCGGCACUAAACGUGCGGGAUAACCAUUUAUGACCAUGAGAUUGGCGCUAAGUGCGCGGGAUUAAAUUGUACAGCACUAAGUGUGCGAUUCGACUAUGUUGCACUAAGUGUGCGAAAUGAAUAUGAUGCACUAAGUGUGCGAAUUGACCAUGCGGCACUAAGUGUGCGAGUUUGACUAUGUAGCACUAAGUGUGCGAUUUGAUUACGUAGCACUAAGUGUGCGAGUUGAUUAUAUAGCACUGAGUGUGCGGACUCAAUAUACAUUCGUGAAUCAUUAUGGACACUAUGUGUGCGACACUAUUGAGUCGAUUGCGGUCAGCGGAUCGGGUAAGUGUCUUGAGUACAUGGCUAAUAGGUGCUAUGCUUAUACUUGGUGUUGAGCUCGGUAAGUUUGAACCUAUGUGACAAAUAUACUUGAAGUCACGUACAUAAAAUUUAUCGUAGGAUGGGUGAAAGGCCGUUUAGUCGUUUGAUUGUAACGAAAAUAAAUUGAUUUAUGAAAAUGCUUCAAUGUCCUAUUGAUGAGUAUAUGGAAUGUGAAUGCAUGAAUUGAUAUGAAAUUGAAUCGAUAGGUUGGAGGAACUAUGGUAUGGUUCGGAAUGGAUGGAGUAAUUAGCCUCGUUCCAUUUUGUUUUCUCUUGUGAUAAUGUUAUUGAUGGAUGGUAGUGCAUAGCUUAUGACUUACUGAGUUAUAAACUCACUCGGUGUUUCCUUGUCACCUAUUCUAGGUUCCUUGGACACAUCUCUUUUUGCGUGAUCGGGCCGUCAUCGAAGUCAUCACACCGGAUAGCAAGUUUUGGUACUUUCUUCUUAGUUGGCUUAGAAGAACAUUUUGGCAUGUAUAAGCUAUUACGUUGUGUUUGAACUUUGGCAUGUAAACUUUAAGCCAUGCGAAAAUGGCACGAAUGUUCGAUUGAGUUGGAUCAAGGGUAGGCAUGAAAUGGACCUAGUUACUUUCGUAACAGAUGCUGGCAGCAGCAGUGUCAUGAGAUUGAAAAAUCACUAAAAAUAGUAGGAGUGGAAUUAAUUGAUGAAUAAAUUAUGUAAUCGAAGCUCGAUGAGUCUGUUUUCAUGAGGAAGUAACGAAAAGAUCAUAUGGGCAGUAUAUUAAGAGAUAAUCAGAUUUUUGUGGGACAGGGCCAGAACGGUUUCUGGAUUCCCUGCUCCGACUUUGGAAAUUCAUUAUAAAUUAACCAGAGAUAAUUAGGGGUCGUACCAUAUAUGUAUAGAUUCCUCUCUGAGUCUAGUUUUCAUAGAAACAAACGGCAUCAGUAUUGAAGACCUGUGCAGGGAGAUAUCCAAGUCGUAAUGGGCAAAGGUCAGUGUAGUCGACCCCUGCAACAUGGGAGAUUUUGACUAAUAAACUGUACUAAUUGGCCCAACCAAAAAUUCUAGAAAAAAAUAAAUAGAUGGGCACAUGAGUCUAGUUUCUGGGAAAAAUUACGAAACUGAUUUUUGAGUUACGAAACACAAGAUAUGAUUUUUAAAAUGACUAGUACACAGAUUGGGCAGUGUCUGGAAAAUAAAUUUUAUAAGGGGUUAAAGUCAGUUAACACCUCGUGUUCGACUCCGGUGUCGGUUUCGGGUUCGGGGUGUUACAUUUGAUUGGUAUCAGAGCUAUGGUUUAGUCGGUUCUAGGACUACCAUAGCACGUAUGAGUCUAGCUAUACAUGCCUUAAUGUUAAUGUUUAAAAGGGUAAUGACUUCUGACGGUUGAAAUGUUUUUGUUUUGUUUAGUAAAUGGAUCCCGGUGUAGAAAGAACCCUAGCGGAUGACGUUGAGAGAGUAGCGGCUGCUCCUGCACAAGGGACGCCGCCUGUUGAACCUCAGUCAUCUGUGAAUAAUCAAGGUGAGGGGGCUAAACAAGUCUUCUUUACCAUGAUGAAUGAGUGGGUCGCGCAAUAUGCCCGAACCAACCCGGCUGUCCAACAAUUCCCAAAUUUGAAUAAUCCACCCCAAGAGCCUAUAAUGCCAUCAGUCGCUGAUCCUGUGAGGCUGAGUAAGCCACCUGUAGACUUGAUUAGGAAGCGUGGGGCCGAGGAGUUCAAGGCCAUAGUAACUGAUGAUGCCGAAAGGGCCGAGUUCUGGCUUGAUAACACCAUUCGGGUGUUCGAUGAAUUGUCAUGCACACCUGACGAAUGUCUAAAAUGUGCUGUAUCUUUGUUGCGAGACUCAGCCUACUAUUGGUGGAGGACCUUGAUUUCCAUAGUCUCGAACGAGCGAGUAACUUGGGACUUCUUUCAAACGGAAUUCCGAAAGAAAUUUAUUAGCCAACGGUUCAUUAAUCAGAAGCGUAAGGAGUUCUUGGAACUCAAGCAAGGCCGUAUGACUGUAUCUGAAUACGAACAUGAAUUCGUAAGACUCAGUAGGUAUGCCCGGGAGUGUGUAGCUGAUGAGGUUGCUAUGUGCAAAAGAUUCGAGGAAGGAUUGAAUGAAGAUUUAAAGCUACUAAUGGGUAUUUUGGAAAUAAAAGAAUUCGUAACACUAGUCGAACGAGCCUGCAAGGCGGAAGAACUUGGAAAGGAGAAGAGGAAGGCUGAAUUUGAAGCUAGAGAUUAUCGUAAAAGAUCGACGGGUAAAGCUCCGUUCUCAGCUGUAAAGAAGUUCAGGGAGGACAUUAAUAAGUCGAGGGCGACUGCGGGAAUUUCCAUCAGGGCAAGACCAUCGAUGGGCUCCCGAGCUACUUCGGUAGCUAGUGUGGGCAAUAAUCGUCACGAGAAACCUGAAUGUCCCCAAUGUGGAAGACGACACCUAGGUGAAUAUUGGGGCAAGUCUACUAGCAGGGCCUGUUACGGAUGCGGUUCGAAGGACCACUUCAUUAGAGAUUGCACGGAGCUGGAUGAGAAGAAUAAGAUUCAAGGUGCAAGACCUAGUGGAGUGACAUCUAGAGGUAGACCACCGAGAAUUUUAGGAGGCAGGGGUGGUAGUCAGAAGGGGGCCUCUGAUACGGCCGAUCGAGCCGAGAACCGUACUCCUGCUAGAGCAUAUGUCAUCCGCGCACGAGAGGAGGCAUCCUCCCCCGACGUCAUCACUGGUACCUUCACUCUCUUUGAUACUAAUGUGAUUGCAUUGAUUGACCCUGGUUCUACUCAUUCAUAUGUAUGCGAAACCUUAGCAACCAGUAAGACUCUACCUGUUGAGUCUACUGAGCUCGUAAUUCGAGUAUCAAACCCUUUGGGUCAAUGCGUACUUGUUGAUAAAGUGUGUAAGAGAUGCCCUCUAAUAAUCCGAGAAUCCUGUUUUCCGGCCGAUUUGAUGCUUUUGCCGUUCGACGAGUUUGAUGUUAUUCUUGGUUUGGAUUGGUUAACCGCGCAUGAUGCGGUUGUGAAUUGCAAAAGCAAGACUAUCGAUUUGAGGUGCGCAAAUAACGAAAUAAUCCGAGUUGAGUCUGCGGACUUAAGGGGGUUGCCAGCUGUAAUAUCAGCAAUGUUGGCCCAGAAAUAUGUAAGGAAAGGGUGCGAAGCAUACCUCGCGUAUGUACUUGAUGACAAGGAGUUAGAAAAGAAACCCGAAUCGGUGCCGGUGGUUUGUGAAUACCCGGAUGUUUUUCCUGAAGAGUUACCGGGUUUGCCACCUGUUCGGGAGGUAGAGUUUGGUAUUGAGCUUGUACCUGGAACUACGCCAAUUUUGAUCGCUCCGUAUCGUAUGGCACUAACCGAGUUAAAAGAGUUGAAAGCUCAGUUGCAAGAAUUGACGGAUAGAGGUUUCGCUCGACCGAGUUUCUCACCUUGGGGUGCACCAGUAUUGUUCGUGAAAAAGAAGGACGGAACCAUGAGGUUGUGCAUUGACUAUCGUCAACUGAAUAAAGUGACGAUAAAGAAUAAGUAUCCGUUACCGCGUAUUGAUGAUCUGUUCGAUCAAUUAAAGGGAGCAUCGGUGUUUUCAAAGAUAGAUUUGAGAUCGGGUUAUUAUCAGUUGCGGAUUCGAGAUUCGGACGUACCCAAAACUGCUUUCAGAACGAGGUACGGUCACUACGAGUUCUUAGUGAUGCCGUUCGGGCUCACUAAUGCCCCUGCGGUGUUUAUGGAUUUGAUGAAUCGGAUCUUCAGGCCGUAUUUGGAUCGGUUCGUAGUUGUGUUUAUUGAUGACAUUUUGGUCUAUUCAAGAGAUGAGACCGAACAUGCUGAGCAUCUGAGGCAAGUGUUGCAAAUUUUGCGGGAUAAGCAGUUAUAUGCUAAGUUCAGUAAGUGUGAGUUCUGGUUAAGAGAGGUUAGCUUCUUGGGUCAUGUGGUAUCCGCAGCGGGUAUUCGAGUUGACCCGAGCAAAAUUUCAGCCAUACUUAACUAGAAGCCUCCGAGAAAUGUUACCGAAGUCCGGAGCUUUCUAGGGCUCGCCGGUUAUUACCGACGAUUUGUCAAAGGUUUCUCGAUGAUAGCCACACCAAUGACGAAGCUACUUCAAAAGGAUGUUAAGUUCGAAUGGACGGAGAAAUGUCAGAAAAGCUUCGAUCAACUGAAAACUCAUUUGACUGAAGCUCCAAUUUUGGUGCAACCUGAAUCGGGUAAAGAGUUUGUCAUUUAUAGUGACGCAUCCCUACUUGGGUUGGGUUGCGUAUUGAUGCAAGAAGGUCGAGUUGUGGCCUAUGCGUCAAGACAAUUAAAGCCACACGAGAGAAAUUAUCCGACCCAUGAUCUCGAACUAGCCGCCAUUGUGUUUGCAUUGAAAAUAUGGCGACAUUAUUUGUUUGGUGAGAAGUGCCAUGUGUUUUCGGAUCACAAAAGUCUCAAAUAUUUGAUGACUCAACGAGACUUGAAUCUGCGACAAAGACGUUGGCUUGAGUUGUUGAAAGAUUACGAGCUUGUCAUUGAUUACCACCCGGGAAAGGCUAAUGUGGUUGCGGACGCCUUAAGCCGGAAAUCACUGUUUGCUUUGCGAGCGAUGAAUGUACACUUGUCUGUUCUAUCUGACAAUGUGUUAGUAGCUGAAUUAAAAGCCAAACCAUUAUUGACUCAUCAAAUUCUUGAAGCUCAGGAAGUCGAUGAUGAAUUGGUUGCAAAACGAGCUGAGUGUGUUCCGAACAAGGAAUCGGAGUUUCAGAUUGAUGAUGAUGGUUGUUUGAGGUUUAGAAGUCGUUUGUGUGUUCCAAGGAAUUCGGAACUCAUUCCGAUGAUUCUGAACGAAGCCCAUUGUAGCCGAAUGUCAAUUCACCCGGGGAGCACGAAAAUGUACAACGACUUGAAACGUCGGUUUUGGUGGCAUGGUAUGAAACGAGACAUCUCCGACUUUGUUUCGAGAUGUUUAAUAUGUCAACAAGUGAAAGCGGAACAUCAAGUGCCUUCAGGGUUACUUCAGCCGAUCAUGAUACCCGAGUGGAAAUGGGACCGAGUCACAAUGGACUUUGUGUCCGGACUGCCAUUGUCCGCAAGUAAGAAGGAUGCGAUUUGGAUUGUUGUUGAUAGGCUGACUAAGUCGGCUCACUUUAUCCCCGUGCGUACGGAUUUUUCAUUGGAUAAACUAGCCGAAUUGUAUGUUUCUCAGAUUGUGAGGUUACAUGGAGUACCUAUUUCUAUCGUGUCGGAUAGAGAUCCGAGAUUCACCUCGCGAUUUUGGAAGAAAUUGCAAGAAGCUUUGGGUACCAAGCUGCAUUUUAGCACCGCUUUUCAUCCCCAAACCGAUGGUCAAUCCGAGCGGAUAAUUCAGAUACUCGAGGAUAUGUUGAGAUGCUGCAUCCUUGAGUUUAGUGGUUCAUGGGAACGGUAUGUACCUUUGAUUGAAUUCGCUUACAACAAUAGUUUUCAAUCAAGUAUUAAGAUGGCACCUUACGAGGCUUUGUACGAUCGUAAAUGACGUACACCAUUGUUUUGGACCGAGCUCGGUGAAAGUAAAAUUUUCGGAGUUGAUUUGAUUAAAGAUGCCGAACAGAAAGUAAAGGUAAUCCGUGAAAGUCUGAAAGCAGCCACAGAUCGUCAGAAAUCGUAUGCGGAUUUGAAACGAAAAGACAUUGAAUAUCAGGUGAGAGAUAAAGUGUUUCUUAAAGUUUCGCCUUGGAAAAAGGUACUUAGGUUUGGCCGUAAGGGCAAGUUGAGCCCGAGAUUCAUUAGGCCGUACGAAAUCUCCGAACGAGUGGGGCCAGUUGCGUAUAGAUUGAUUUUGCCCCCUGAGCUUGAAAAGAUCCAUGACGUCUUUCAUGUUUCGAUGCUUCGACGCUAUAGAUCUGAUCCAUCGCACAUAAUUAGCCCAUCAGAGGUUGAAAUUCAAGCCGAUAUGAGUUAUGAAGAAGAACCGAUGCGUAUCCUAGCUCGUGAAGUGAAGGAGUUACGAAACAAAAGAGUUCCGCUAGUAAAGGUCUUAUGGCUCAAACACGGGAUCGAGGAAGCUACUUGGGAAACCGAGAGCUCGAUGAAAGAACGAUAUCCAAACCUAUUUACCGGUAAGAUUUUCGGGGACGAAAAUUUCUUAAGUGGGGGAGAGUUGUGACAGCCCAAAAUUGACCCUAGUCGGGAAGUGGUUUCGGGACCACAAAACCGAGUCUUAUAAAUAAUUAAAGAUUAUAUUCUGUGUUUAUGAUGUGCGUAAAUGCUUGUGUGAUAGUUCCAUACUUUAAUUUGGUCAGUGUAUGUGGAAUUUAUUAGUAGGGACUUAUGUGAGACAAUUUAGAAAUAUGCUAGGCAAGUGUUCAAGUGGCCCAUUAAUAUAUGUGGGAAAGUGUUUGUCCUUGCAUGUCAAAUUAGCCAAAUUAAAGCAUAGUGGCUGGCCAUGCUAUGGGUGGAAACAUGUCACCAACAUGUUAUGCUAGUGAUGUAUGCUAAGAAAAAUAAAAUAAAGAGCAUGGUAAUUAAACAAUGAAAAGGAAGGGUGAUGAAAAAAAAAAUGGUCUCAUCCAUACCCCCCCCCCUUGUUGCCGUGAGUUGAGGAAAGAAAACAAAAAAAAAAUGUGUUCAUUCUUGAACACCUUUGGCCGAAUAGAGGAAAGAAAGGAAGGGGAAGAGCUUGAGAAAAUCGGCUAUGGUGGGUUGCUAGACUAAGGUAUGUUUGAUGUUGUUCUUGAGAUGCAUGCAUGUUUUAGUAGUUGACUUGAGUUCUAAAAACCCAUGGUUCAAUUUUGUGGAUUGAUGAUGAUUUUGUGUUUUGCCAUUGAUGAGUGCUUGAGCUUUUUGAUAGUUGUUGAUGAAAAGUGAAAGAUAUGUUAAAGAUUAAUAUGUUAAAUUAAGGCUUGGUAAGCUAGCUAUUAAGGUGAAAUGCUAAUGUUAGUAUUUGAUUUGGUAAUAAUCUGUUUGGGGACAGCAGCAGUAAGGUGAUUUUGGAAAAUCGCCAUAAUUUGUAGGAGUUGAAUUAGAAGCUGAGUGAAUUAUGCCAUUAAAGCUUGAAGAGUCUAUUUUCUUACAAAAGAAACUAUAAAAACAAAAGAGUUACCGAUCUUGAGAUAUUUGAAGUAUUGUGGGGCUGAGUCAAAAUGACUACUAGAUUCCCUGUUCUGUUUUUAGGAAAUCAUUAUAAAUUGUAAAAAAAUGAUUAUAAGAUAAAAUUUAUAUGCUUAGACUCCUUAAUGAGUCUAGUUUCAAAUGAGAUCAAAUACAACACAUUUUGAAUUCUGUAAAAUGAGAAAUUUGAUUCGUAGUGAAGAGUGGUCAGAAUAGUCAAACAGUGAAACAGGGGAAACUUUAAGAAAAAUCUGGUAUUGAUUGGCCAAGCCAAAAAUUCUGAAAAUUUUAUGGAUGGAAGAUAUACGAGUCUAUAUUCAGGGAAAAUUAACGGCUAGUGAUUUGGAGUUUUGUAGCUCCAGUUAUAAACAAUUUAGCGACUGCUGCUCAGGAAAACAGCUCGUAGUGAAUAUGUGAUUUUGUUGUAAACAUUAAUGAAAAUUUGCCAAUGAGUUAUUUAUUGACUAUUAUAAAGCUUACUAUAAUCUAUGUGUGUGAAGGUCAAAUCAAUAUAUAUAUUAUUCUGAAAGUAAUACUUGAAUAGUCGAUUAAUGACUAUUUUAAAUUUUGUUGAACUUAAGCUCAAGAGCAAAAGGGAACUAGAUCCGAUAAAGGCAAAGAAAAGAUCACUGAGUAGUCGAGUUGGAACCGUCUUACCCAACACAAGGUAAGUCAUUAAGCAUGUAGUGGGUAUUAUUUCAAAUGGUCAUAAUGUGUAUGUAUUGAUGCUGAUUGGAAUGAAUAAAUAUACAUAUAUAUAUAUAUGCAUGUACGUAUGUGAUGAUGAAAUUGUUGAAUGAAUGAAAAGAGGUAAGAUGUACUGAGUUGUUGAUCUCGGCACUAAACGUGCGGGAUAACCAUUUAUGACCAUGAGAUUGGCGCUAAGUGCGCGGGAUUAAAUUGUACAGCACUAAGUGUGCGAUUCGACUAUGUUGCACUAAGUGUGCGAAAUGAAUAUGAUGCACUAAGUGUGCGAAUUGACCAUGCGGCACUAAGUGUGCGAGUUUGACUAUGUAGCACUAAGUGUGCGAUUUGAUUACGUAGCACUAAGUGUGCGAGUUGAUUAUAUAGCACUGAGUGUGCGGACUCAAUAUACAUUCGUGAAUCAUUAUGGACACUAUGUGUGCGACACUAUUGAGUCGAUUGCGGUCAGCGGAUCGGGUAAGUGUCUUGAGUACAUGGCUAAUAGGUGCUAUGCUUAUACUUGGUGUUGAGCUCGGUAAGUUUGAACCUAUGUGACAAAUAUACUUGAAGUCACGUACAUAAAAUUUAUCGUAGGAUGGGUGAAAGGCCGUUUAGUCGUUUGAUUGUAACGAAAAUAAAUUGAUUUAUGAAAAUGCUUCAAUGUCCUAUUGAUGAGUAUAUGGAAUGUGAAUGCAUGAAUUGAUAUGAAAUUGAAUCGAUAGGUUGGAGGAACUAUGGUAUGGUUCGGAAUGGAUGGAGUAAUUAGCCUCGUUCCAUUUUGUUUUCUCUUGUGAUAAUGUUAUUGAUGGAUGGUAGUGCAUAGCUUAUGACUUACUGAGUUAUAAACUCACUCGGUGUUUCCUUGUCACCUAUUCUAGGUUCCUUGGACACAUCUCUUUUUGCGUGAUCGGGCCGUCAUCGAAGUCAUCACACCGGAUAGCAAGUUUUGGUACUUUCUUCUUAGUUGGCUUAGAAGAACAUUUUGGCAUGUAUAAGCUAUUACGUUGUGUUUGAACUUUGGCAUGUAAACUUUAAGCCAUGCGAAAAUGGCACGAAUGUUCGAUUGAGUUGGAUCAAGGGUAGGCAUGAAAUGGAGCUAGUUACUUUCGUACAGAUGCUGGCAGCAGCAGUGUCAUGAGAUUGAAAAAUCACUAAAAAUAGUAGGAGUGGAAUUAAUUGAUGAAUAAAUUAUGUAAUCGAAGCUCGAUGAGUCUGUUUUCAUGAGGAAGUAACGAAAAGAUCAUAUGGGCAGUAUAUAAGAGAUAAUCAGAUUUUGUGGGACAGGGCCAGAACGGUUUCUGGAUUCCCUGCUCCGACUUUGGAAAUUCAUUAUAAAUUAACCAGAGAUAAUUAGGGGUCGUACCAUAUAUGUAUAGAUUCCUCUCUGAGUCUAGUUUUUCAUAGAAACAAACGGCAUCAGUAUUGAAGACCUGUGCAGGGAGAUAUCCAAGUCGUAAUGGGAAAAGGUCAGUGUAGUCGACCCCUGCAACAUGGGAGAUUUUGACUAAUAAACUGUACUAAUUGGCCCAACCAAAAAUUCUAGAAAAAAAUACAUAGAUGGGAACAUGAGUCCUAGUUUCUGGGAAAAAUUACGAAACUGAUUUUUGAGUUACGAAACUCAAGAUAUGAUUUUUAAAAACGACUAGUACACAGAUUGGGCAGUGUCUGAAAAUAAAUUUUAUAAGGGGUUNNNNNNNNNNNNNNNNNNNNNNNNNNNNNNNNNNNNNNNNNNNNNNNNNNNNNNNNNNNNNNNNNNNNNNNNNNNNNNNNNNNNNNNNNNNNNNNNNNNNNNNNNNNNNNNNNNNNNNNNNNNNNNNNNNNNNNNNNNNNNNNNNNNNNNNNNNNNNNNNNNNNNNNNNNNNNNNNNNNNNNNNNNNNNNNNNNNNNNNNNNNNNNNNNNNNNNNNNNNNNNNNNNNNNNNNNNNNNNNNNNNNNNNNNNNNNNNNNNNNNNNNNNNNNNNNNNNNNNNNNNNNNNNNNNNNNNNNNNNNNNNNNNNNNNNNNNNNNNNNNNNNNNNNNNNNNNNNNNNNNNNNNNNNNNNNNNNNNNNNNNNNNNNNNNNNNNNNNNNNNNNNNNNNNNNNNNNNNNNNNNNNNNNNNNNNNNNNNNNNNNNNNNNNNNNNNNNNNNNNNNNNNNNNNNNNNNNNNNNNNNNNNNNNNNNNNNNNNNNNNNNNNNNNNNNNNNNNNNNNAAAGUUACCAUCAUACUCAAAUGCGCCAAAAGAUGAUGCGAGCUAAAGAUCUAAGAACUCUUAAAAACCUGGUAUUAUCUUAUACAAAAAGAAUUUACAAGUUGACUUAUGUUGAAGUCUGGAAAAUCAUCAGAAGGGUGGAUGUGACAGCCCAAAAUUGACCCUAGUCGGGAAGUGGUUUUCGGGACCACAAAACCGAGUCUUAUAAAUAAUUUAAAGAUUAUUUGUUUAUGAUGUGCGUAAUGCUUGUGUGAUAGUUCCAUACUUUAAUUUGGUCAGUGUAUGUGGAAUUUUAGUAGGGACUUAUGUGAGACAAUUUAGAAAUAUGCUAGGCAAGUGUUCAAGUGGCCCAUUAUAUGUGGGAAAGUGUUUGUCCUUGCAUGUCAAAUUAGCCAAAUUAAAGCAUAGUGGCUGGCCAUGCUAUGGGUGGAAACAUGUCACCAACAUGUUAUGCUAGUGAUGUAUGCUAAGAAAAUAAUAAAGAGCAUGGUAAUUAAACAAUGAAAAGGAAGGGUGAUGAAAAAAAAUGGUCUCAUCCAUACCCCCCCUUGUUGCCGUGAGUUGAGGAAAGAAAACAAAAAAAAAAUGUGUUCAUUCUUGAACACCUUUGGCCGAAUAGAGGAAAGAAAGGAAGGGGAAGAGCUUGAGAAAAUCGGCUAUGGUGGUUUGCUAGACUAAGGUAUGUUUGAUGUUGUUCUUGAGAGCAUGCAUGUUUUAGUAGUUGACUUGAGUUCUAAAACCCAUGGUUCAAUUUUGUGGAUUGAUGAUGAUUUUGUGUUUUGCCAUUGAUGAGUGCUUGAGCUUUUUGAUAGUUGUUGAUGAAAGUGAAAGAUAUGUUAAAGAUUAAUAUGUUAAAUUAAGGCUUGGUAAGCUAGCUAUUAAGGUGAAAUGCUAAUGUUAUUUGAUUUGGUAAUAAUCUGUUUGGGGACAGCAGCAGUAAGGUGAUUUUGGAAAAUCGCCAUAAUUUGUAGGAGUUGAAUUAGAAGCUGAGUGAAUUAUGCCAUUAAAGCUUGAAGAGUCUAUUUUUUACAAAAGAAACUAUAAAAACAAAAGAGUUACCGAUCUUGAGAUAUUUGAAGUAUUGUGGGGCUGAGUCAAAAUGACUACUAGAUUCCCUGUUCUGGGGUUUUCGGAAAUCAUUAUACAUUGUACAAAAAUGAUUAUAAGAUAAAAUUUAUCUGCUUAGACUCCUUCAUGAGUUCUAGUUUCAAUGAGAUCAAUACAACACAUUUUGAAUUCUGUAAAAUGAGAAAUUUGAUUCGUAGUGAAGAGUGGUCAGAAUAGUCAAACGUGACACAGGGGAAACUUAAGAAAAUCUGGUAUUGAUGGCCCAAGCCAAAAAUUCUGAAAAUUUUAUGGAUGGAAGUAUACGAGUCUAUAUUCAGGGAAAAUUAACGGCUAGUGAUUUGGAGUUUUGUAGCUCCAGUUAUAAACAAUUUAGCCGACUGCUGCUCAGGAAAACAGCUCGUAGUGAAUAUUUGAUUUUGUUUGUAAACAUUAAUGAAAAAUUUGCCAAUGAGUUAUUUAUUGACUAUUAUAAAGCUUACUAUAAUCUAUGUGUGUGAAGGUCAAAUCAAUAUAUAUAUUAUUCUGAAAGUAAUACUUGAAUAGUCGAUUAAUGACUAAUUUAAAUUUUGUUGAACUUAAGCUCAAGAGCAAAGGGAACUAGAUCCGAUAAAGGCAAAGAAAAGAUCACUGAGUAGUCGAGUUGGAACCGUCUUACCCAACACAAGGUAAGUCAUUAAGCAUGUAGUGGGUAUUAUUUCAAAUGGUCAUAAUGUGUAUGUAUUGAUGCUGAUUGGAAUGAAUAAUAUACAUAUAUAUAUAUAUAUGCAUGUACGUAUGUGAUGAUGAUAAAUUGUUGAAUGAAUGAAAGAGGUAAGAUGGUACUGAGUUGUUGAUCUCGGCACUAACGUGCGGGAUAACCAUUUAUGACCAUGAGAUUGGCGCUAAGUGCGCGGGAUUAAAUUGUACAGCACUAAGUGUGCGAUUCGACUAUGUUGCACUAAGUGUGCGAAAUGAAUAUGAUUGCACUAAGUGUGCGAAUUGACCAUGCGGCACUAAGUGUGCGAGUUUGACUAUGUAGCACUAAGUGUGCGAUUUGAUUACGUAGCACUAAGUGUGCGAGUUGAUUAUAUAGCACUGAGUGUGCGGACUCAAUAUACAUUCGUGAAUCAUUAUGGACACUAUGUGUGCGACACUAUUGAGUCGAUUGCGGUCAGCGGAUCGGGUAAGUGUCUUGAGUACAUGGCUAAUAGGUGCUAUGCUUAUACUUGGUGUUGAGCUCGGUAAGUUUGAACCUAUGUGACAAAUAUACUUGAAGUCACGUACAUAAAAUUUAUCGUAGGAUGGGUGAAAGGCCGUUUAGUCGUUUGAUUGUAACGAAAAUAAAUUGAUUUAUGAAAAUGCUUCAAUGUCCUAUUGAUGAGUAUAUGGAAUGUGAAUGCAUGAAUUGAUAUGAAAUUGAAUCGAUAGGUUGGAGGAACUAUGGUAUGGUUCGGAAUGGAUGGAGUAAUUAGCCUCGUUCCAUUUUGUUUUCUCUUGUGAUAAUGUUAUUGAUGGAUGGUAGUGCAUAGCUUAUGACUUACUGAGUUAUAAACUCACUCGGUGUUUCCUUGUCACCUAUUCUAGGUUCCUUGGACACAUCUCUUUUUGCGUGAUCGGGCCGUCAUCGAAGUCAUCACACCGGAUAGCAAGUUUUGGUACUUUCUUCUUAGUUGGCUUAGAAGAACAUUUUGGCAUGUAUAAGCUAUUACGUUGUGUUUGAACUUUGGCAUGUAAACUUUAAGCCAUGCGAAAAUGGCACGAAUGUUCGAUUGAGUUGGAUCAAGGGUAGGCAUGAAAUGGACCUAGUUACUUUCGUAACAGAUGCUGGCAGCAGCAGUGUCAUGAGAUUGAAAAAUCACUAAAAAUAGUAGGAGUGGAAUUAAUUGAUGAAUAAAUUAUGUAAUCGAAGCUCGAUGAGUCUGUUUUCAUGAGGAAGUAACGAAAAGAUCAUAUGGGCAGUAUAUUAAGAGAUAAUCAGAUUUUUGUGGGACAGGGCCAGAACGGUUUCUGGAUUCCCUGCUCCGACUUUGGAAAUUCAUUAUAAAUUAACCAGAGAUAAUUAGGGGUCGUACCAUAUAUGUAUAGAUUCCUCUCUGAGUCUAGUUUUCAUAGAAACAAACGGCAUCAGUAUUGAAGACCUGUGCAGGGAGAUAUCCAAGUCGUAAUGGGCAAAGGUCAGUGUAGUCGACCCCUGCAACAUGGGAGAUUUUGACUAAUAAACUGUACUAAUUGGCCCAACCAAAAAAUUCUAGAAAAAAUAAAUAGAUGGGCACAUGAGUCUAGUUUCUGGGAAAAAUUACGAAACUGAUUUUUGAGUUACGAAACACAAGAUAUGAUUUUUAAAAUGACUAGUACACAGAUUGGGCAGUGUCUGGAAAAUAAAUUUUAUAAGGGGUUAAAGUCAGUUAACACCUCGUGUUCGACUCCGGUGUCGGUUUCGGGUUCGGGGUGUUACAUUUGAUUGGUAUCAGAGCUAUGGUUUAGUCGGUUCUAGGACUACCAUAGCACGUAUGAGUCUAGCUAUACAUGCCUUAAUGUUAAUGUUUAAAAGGGUAAUGACUUCUGACGGUUGAAAUGUUUUUGUUUUGUUUAGUAAAUGGAUCCCGGUGUAGAAAGAACCCUAGCGGAUGACGUUGAGAGAGUAGCGGCUGCUCCUGCACAAGGGACGCCGCCUGUUGAACCUCAGUCAUCUGUGAAUAAUCAAGGUGAGGGGGCUAAACAAGUCUUCUUUACCAUGAUGAAUGAGUGGGUCGCGCAAUAUGCCCGAACCAACCCGGCUGUCCAACAAUUCCCAAAUUUGAAUAAUCCACCCCAAGAGCCUAUAAUGCCAUCAGUCGCUGAUCCUGUGAGGCUGAGUAAGCCACCUGUAGACUUGAUUAGGAAGCGUGGGGCCGAGGAGUUCAAGGCCAUAGUAACUGAUGAUGCCGAAAGGGCCGAGUUCUGGCUUGAUAACACCAUUCGGGUGUUCGAUGAAUUGUCAUGCACACCUGACGAAUGUCUAAAAUGUGCUGUAUCUUUGUUGCGAGACUCAGCCUACUAUUGGUGGAGGACCUUGAUUUCCAUAGUCUCGAACGAGCGAGUAACUUGGGACUUCUUUCAAACGGAAUUCCGAAAGAAUUUAUUAGCCAACGGUUCAUUAAUCAGAAGCGUAAGGAGUUCUUGGAACUCAAGCAAGGCCGUAUGACUGUAUCUGAAUACGAACAUGAAUUCGUAAGACUCAGUAGGUAUGCCCGGGAGUGUGUAGCUGAUGAGGUUGCUAUGUGCAAAGAUUCGAGGAAGGAUUGAAUGAAGAUUUAAAGCUACUAAUGGGUAUUUUGGAAAUAAAAGAAUUCGUAACACUAGUCGAACGAGCCUGCAAGGCGGAAGAACUUGGAAAGGAGAAGAGGAAGGCUGAAUUUGAAGCUAGAGAUUAUCGUAAAAGAUCGACGGGUAAAGCUCCGUUCUCAGCUGUAAAGAAGUUCAGGGAGGACAUUAAUAAGUCGAGGGCGACUGCGGGAAUUUCCAUCAGGGCAAGACCAUCGAUGGGCUCCCGAGCUACUUCGGUAGCUAGUGUGGGCAAUAAUCGUCACGAGAAACCUGAAUGUCCCCAAUGUGGAAGACGACACCUAGGUGAAUAUUGGGGCAAGUCUACUAGCAGGGCCUGUUACGGAUGCGGUUCGAAGGACCACUUCAUUAGAGAUUGCACGGAGCUGGAUGAGAAGAAUAAGAUUCAAGGUGCAAGACCUAGUGGAGUGACAUCUAGAGGUAGACCACCGAGAAUUUUAGGAGGCAGGGGUGGUAGUCAGAAGGGGGCCUCUGAUACGGCCGAUCGAGCCGAGAACCGUACUCCUGCUAGAGCAUAUGUCAUCCGCGCACGAGAGGAGGCAUCCUCCCCCGACGUCAUCACUGGUACCUUCACUCUCUUUGAUACUAAUGUGAUUGCAUUGAUUGACCCUGGUUCUACUCAUUCAUAUGUAUGCGAAACCUUAGCAACCAGUAAGACUCUACCUGUUGAGUCUACUGAGCUCGUAAUUCGAGUAUCAAACCCUUUGGGUCAAUGCGUACUUGUUGAUAAAGUGUGUAAGAGAUGCCCUCUAAUAAUCCGAGAAUCCUGUUUUCCGGCCGAUUUGAUGCUUUUGCCGUUCGACGAGUUUGAUGUUAUUCUUGGUUUGGAUUGGUUAACCGCGCAUGAUGCGGUUGUGAAUUGCAAAAGCAAGACUAUCGAUUUGAGGUGCGCAAAUAACGAAAUAAUCCGAGUUGAGUCUGCGGACUUAAGGGGGUUGCCAGCUGUAAUAUCAGCAAUGUUGGCCCAGAAAUAUGUAAGGAAAGGGUGCGAAGCAUACCUCGCGUAUGUACUUGAUGACAAGGAGUUAGAAAAGAAACCCGAAUCGGUGCCGGUGGUUUGUGAAUACCCGGAUGUUUUUCCUGAAGAGUUACCGGGUUUGCCACCUGUUCGGGAGGUAGAGUUUGGUAUUGAGCUUGUACCUGGAACUACGCCAAUUUUGAUCGCUCCGUAUCGUAUGGCACUAACCGAGUUAAAAGAGUUGAAAGCUCAGUUGCAAGAAUUGACGGAUAGAGGUUUCGCUCGACCGAGUUUCUCACCUUGGGGUGCACCAGUAUUGUUCGUGAAAAAGAAGGACGGAACCAUGAGGUUGUGCAUUGACUAUCGUCAACUGAAUAAAGUGACGAUAAAGAAUAAGUAUCCGUUACCGCGUAUUGAUGAUCUGUUCGAUCAAUUAAAGGGAGCAUCGGUGUUUUCAAAGAUAGAUUUGAGAUCGGGUUAUUAUCAGUUGCGGAUUCGAGAUUCGGACGUACCCAAAACUGCUUUCAGAACGAGGUACGGUCACUACGAGUUCUUAGUGAUGCCGUUCGGGCUCACUAAUGCCCCUGCGGUGUUUAUGGAUUUGAUGAAUCGGAUCUUCAGGCCGUAUUUGGAUCGGUUCGUAGUUGUGUUUAUUGAUGACAUUUUGGUCUAUUCAAGAGAUGAGACCGAACAUGCUGAGCAUCUGAGGCAAGUGUUGCAAAUUUUGCGGGAUAAGCAGUUAUAUGCUAAGUUCAGUAAGUGUGAGUUCUGGUUAAGAGAGGUUAGCUUCUUGGGUCAUGUGGUAUCCGCAGCGGGUAUUCGAGUUGACCCGAGCAAAAUUUCAGCCAUACUUAACUAGAAGCCUCCGAGAAAUGUUACCGAAGUCCGGAGCUUUCUAGGGCUCGCCGGUUAUUACCGACGAUUUGUCAAAGGUUUCUCGAUGAUAGCCACACCAAUGACGAAGCUACUUCAAAAGGAUGUUAAGUUCGAAUGGACGGAGAAAUGUCAGAAAAGCUUCGAUCAACUGAAAACUCAUUUGACUGAAGCUCCAAUUUUGGUGCAACCUGAAUCGGGUAAAGAGUUUGUCAUUUAUAGUGACGCAUCCCUACUUGGGUUGGGUUGCGUAUUGAUGCAAGAAGGUCGAGUUGUGGCCUAUGCGUCAAGACAAUUAAAGCCACACGAGAGAAAUUAUCCGACCCAUGAUCUCGAACUAGCCGCCAUUGUGUUUGCAUUGAAAAUAUGGCGACAUUAUUUGUUUGGUGAGAAGUGCCAUGUGUUUUCGGAUCACAAAAGUCUCAAAUAUUUGAUGACUCAACGAGACUUGAAUCUGCGACAAAGACGUUGGCUUGAGUUGUUGAAAGAUUACGAGCUUGUCAUUGAUUACCACCCGGGAAAGGCUAAUGUGGUUGCGGACGCCUUAAGCCGGAAAUCACUGUUUGCUUUGCGAGCGAUGAAUGUACACUUGUCUGUUCUAUCUGACAAUGUGUUAGUAGCUGAAUUAAAAGCCAAACCAUUAUUGACUCAUCAAAUUCUUGAAGCUCAGGAAGUCGAUGAUGAAUUGGUUGCAAAACGAGCUGAGUGUGUUCCGAACAAGGAAUCGGAGUUUCAGAUUGAUGAUGAUGGUUGUUUGAGGUUUAGAAGUCGUUUGUGUGUUCCAAGGAAUUCGGAACUCAUUCCGAUGAUUCUGAACGAAGCCCAUUGUAGCCGAAUGUCAAUUCACCCGGGGAGCACGAAAAUGUACAACGACUUGAAACGUCGGUUUUGGUGGCAUGGUAUGAAACGAGACAUCUCCGACUUUGUUUCGAGAUGUUUAAUAUGUCAACAAGUGAAAGCGGAACAUCAAGUGCCUUCAGGGUUACUUCAGCCGAUCAUGAUACCCGAGUGGAAAUGGGACCGAGUCACAAUGGACUUUGUGUCCGGACUGCCAUUGUCCGCAAGUAAGAAGGAUGCGAUUUGGAUUGUUGUUGAUAGGCUGACUAAGUCGGCUCACUUUAUCCCCGUGCGUACGGAUUUUUCAUUGGAUAAACUAGCCGAAUUGUAUGUUUCUCAGAUUGUGAGGUUACAUGGAGUACCUAUUUCUAUCGUGUCGGAUAGAGAUCCGAGAUUCACCUCGCGAUUUUGGAAGAAAUUGCAAGAAGCUUUGGGUACCAAGCUGCAUUUUAGCACCGCUUUUCAUCCCCAAACCGAUGGUCAAUCCGAGCGGAUAAUUCAGAUACUCGAGGAUAUGUUGAGAUGCUGCAUCCUUGAGUUUAGUGGUUCAUGGGAACGGUAUGUACCUUUGAUUGAAUUCGCUUACAACAAUAGUUUUCAAUCAAGUAUUAAGAUGGCACCUUACGAGGCUUUGUACGAUCGUAAAUGACGUACACCAUUGUUUUGGACCGAGCUCGGUGAAAGUAAAAUUUUCGGAGUUGAUUUGAUUAAAGAUGCCGAACAGAAAGUAAAGGUAAUCCGUGAAAGUCUGAAAGCAGCCACAGAUCGUCAGAAAUCGUAUGCGGAUUUGAAACGAAAAGACAUUGAAUAUCAGGUGAGAGAUAAAGUGUUUCUUAAAGUUUCGCCUUGGAAAAAGGUACUUAGGUUUGGCCGUAAGGGCAAGUUGAGCCCGAGAUUCAUUAGGCCGUACGAAAUCUCCGAACGAGUGGGGCCAGUUGCGUAUAGAUUGAUUUUGCCCCCUGAGCUUGAAAAGAUCCAUGACGUCUUUCAUGUUUCGAUGCUUCGACGCUAUAGAUCUGAUCCAUCGCACAUAAUUAGCCCAUCAGAGGUUGAAAUUCAAGCCGAUAUGAGUUAUGAAGAAGAACCGAUGCGUAUCCUAGCUCGUGAAGUGAAGGAGUUACGAAACAAAAGAGUUCCGCUAGUAAAGGUCUUAUGGCUCAAACACGGGAUCGAGGAAGCUACUUGGGAAACCGAGAGCUCGAUGAAAGAACGAUAUCCAAACCUAUUUACCGGUAAGAUUUUCGGGGACGAAAAUUUCUUAAGUGGGGGAGAGUUGUGACAGCCCAAAAUUGACCCUAGUCGGGAAGUGGUUUCGGGACCACAAAACCGAGUCUUAUAAAUAAUUAAAGAUUAUAUUCUGUGUUUAUGAUGUGCGUAAAUGCUUGUGUGAUAGUUCCAUACUUUAAUUUGGUCAGUGUAUGUGGAAUUUAUUAGUAGGGACUUAUGUGAGACAAUUUAGAAAUAUGCUAGGCAAGUGUUCAAGUGGCCCAUUAAUAUAUGUGGGAAAGUGUUUGUCCUUGCAUGUCAAAUUAGCCAAAUUAAAGCAUAGUGGCUGGCCAUGCUAUGGGUGGAAACAUGUCACCAACAUGUUAUGCUAGUGAUGUAUGCUAAGAAAAAUAAAAUAAAGAGCAUGGUAAUUAAACAAUGAAAAGGAAGGGUGAUGAAAAAAAAAAUGGUCUCAUCCAUACCCCCCCCCCUUGUUGCCGUGAGUUGAGGAAAGAAAACAAAAAAAAAAUGUGUUCAUUCUUGAACACCUUUGGCCGAAUAGAGGAAAGAAAGGAAGGGGAAGAGCUUGAGAAAAUCGGCUAUGGUGGGUUGCUAGACUAAGGUAUGUUUGAUGUUGUUCUUGAGAUGCAUGCAUGUUUUAGUAGUUGACUUGAGUUCUAAAAACCCAUGGUUCAAUUUUGUGGAUUGAUGAUGAUUUUGUGUUUUGCCAUUGAUGAGUGCUUGAGCUUUUUGAUAGUUGUUGAUGAAAAGUGAAAGAUAUGUUAAAGAUUAAUAUGUUAAAUUAAGGCUUGGUAAGCUAGCUAUUAAGGUGAAAUGCUAAUGUUAGUAUUUGAUUUGGUAAUAAUCUGUUUGGGGACAGCAGCAGUAAGGUGAUUUUGGAAAAUCGCCAUAAUUUGUAGGAGUUGAAUUAGAAGCUGAGUGAAUUAUGCCAUUAAAGCUUGAAGAGUCUAUUUUCUUACAAAAGAAACUAUAAAAACAAAAGAGUUACCGAUCUUGAGAUAUUUGAAGUAUUGUGGGGCUGAGUCAAAAUGACUACUAGAUUCCCUGUUCUGUUUUUAGGAAAUCAUUAUAAAUUGUAAAAAAAUGAUUAUAAGAUAAAAUUUAUAUGCUUAGACUCCUUAAUGAGUCUAGUUUCAAAUGAGAUCAAAUACAACACAUUUUGAAUUCUGUAAAAUGAGAAAUUUGAUUCGUAGUGAAGAGUGGUCAGAAUAGUCAAACAGUGAAACAGGGGAAACUUUAAGAAAAAUCUGGUAUUGAUUGGCCAAGCCAAAAAUUCUGAAAAUUUUAUGGAUGGAAGAUAUACGAGUCUAUAUUCAGGGAAAAUUAACGGCUAGUGAUUUGGAGUUUUGUAGCUCCAGUUAUAAACAAUUUAGCGACUGCUGCUCAGGAAAACAGCUCGUAGUGAAUAUGUGAUUUUGUUGUAAACAUUAAUGAAAAUUUGCCAAUGAGUUAUUUAUUGACUAUUAUAAAGCUUACUAUAAUCUAUGUGUGUGAAGGUCAAAUCAAUAUAUAUAUUAUUCUGAAAGUAAUACUUGAAUAGUCGAUUAAUGACUAUUUUAAAUUUUGUUGAACUUAAGCUCAAGAGCAAAAGGGAACUAGAUCCGAUAAAGGCAAAGAAAAGAUCACUGAGUAGUCGAGUUGGAACCGUCUUACCCAACACAAGGUAAGUCAUUAAGCAUGUAGUGGGUAUUAUUUCAAAUGGUCAUAAUGUGUAUGUAUUGAUGCUGAUUGGAAUGAAUAAAUAUACAUAUAUAUAUAUAUGCAUGUACGUAUGUGAUGAUGAAAUUGUUGAAUGAAUGAAAAGAGGUAAGAUGUACUGAGUUGUUGAUCUCGGCACUAAACGUGCGGGAUAACCAUUUAUGACCAUGAGAUUGGCGCUAAGUGCGCGGGAUUAAAUUGUACAGCACUAAGUGUGCGAUUCGACUAUGUUGCACUAAGUGUGCGAAAUGAAUAUGAUGCACUAAGUGUGCGAAUUGACCAUGCGGCACUAAGUGUGCGAGUUUGACUAUGUAGCACUAAGUGUGCGAUUUGAUUACGUAGCACUAAGUGUGCGAGUUGAUUAUAUAGCACUGAGUGUGCGGACUCAAUAUACAUUCGUGAAUCAUUAUGGACACUAUGUGUGCGACACUAUUGAGUCGAUUGCGGUCAGCGGAUCGGGUAAGUGUCUUGAGUACAUGGCUAAUAGGUGCUAUGCUUAUACUUGGUGUUGAGCUCGGUAAGUUUGAACCUAUGUGACAAAUAUACUUGAAGUCACGUACAUAAAAUUUAUCGUAGGAUGGGUGAAAGGCCGUUUAGUCGUUUGAUUGUAACGAAAAUAAAUUGAUUUAUGAAAAUGCUUCAAUGUCCUAUUGAUGAGUAUAUGGAAUGUGAAUGCAUGAAUUGAUAUGAAAUUGAAUCGAUAGGUUGGAGGAACUAUGGUAUGGUUCGGAAUGGAUGGAGUAAUUAGCCUCGUUCCAUUUUGUUUUCUCUUGUGAUAAUGUUAUUGAUGGAUGGUAGUGCAUAGCUUAUGACUUACUGAGUUAUAAACUCACUCGGUGUUUCCUUGUCACCUAUUCUAGGUUCCUUGGACACAUCUCUUUUUGCGUGAUCGGGCCGUCAUCGAAGUCAUCACACCGGAUAGCAAGUUUUGGUACUUUCUUCUUAGUUGGCUUAGAAGAACAUUUUGGCAUGUAUAAGCUAUUACGUUGUGUUUGAACUUUGGCAUGUAAACUUUAAGCCAUGCGAAAAUGGCACGAAUGUUCGAUUGAGUUGGAUCAAGGGUAGGCAUGAAAUGGAGCUAGUUACUUUCGUAACAGAUGCUGGCAGCAGCAGUGUCAUGAGAUUGAAAAAUCACUAAAAAUAGUAGGAGUGGAAUUAAUUGAUGAAUAAAUUAUGUAAUCGAAGCUCGAUGAGUCUGUUUUCAUGAGGAAGUAACGAAAAGAUCAUAUGGGCAGUAUAUUAAGAGAUAAUCAGAUUUUUGUGGGACAGGGCCAGAACGGUUUCUGGAUUCCCUGCUCCGACUUUGGAAAUUCAUUAUAAAUUAACCAGAGAUAAUUAGGGGUCGUACCAUAUAUGUAUAGAUUCCUCUCUGAGUCUAGUUUUCAUAGAAACAAACGGCAUCAGUAUUGAAGACCUGUGCAGGGAGAUAUCCAAGUCGUAAUGGGAAAAGGUCAGUGUAGUCGACCCCUGCAACAUGGGAGAUUUUGACUAAUAAACUGUACUAAUUGGCCCAACCAAAAAUUCUAGAAAAAAAUACAUAGAUGGGAACAUGAGUCUAGUUUCUGGGAAAAAUUACGAAACUGAUUUUUGAGUUACGAAACUCAAGAUAUGAUUUUUAAAACGACUAGUACACAGAUUGGGCAGUGUCUGGAAAAUAAAUUUUAUAAGGGGUUAAAGUCAGUUAACACCUCGUGUUCGACUCCGGUGUCGGUUUCGGGUUCGGGGUGUUACAGGACAUGCCUAAUCCUAUGAGUUCAGAUUCAAAAAAAAAAGGGUGUCAAAAUCAAAAUAAAAAAUGAAAGUGAUAAAAAUAAAAAGGAAAAGGAAAAGAAAAGAAAAAUGGAGAGGCCAAAGUGAAAACCCGCAAAGGGCACCUUGAUACCAAAAGAGAUUUGAGUUGAAAACCCAAAUAUGACGGCUCAAAUAUUGAUCAGAAUGGGGCACGAGGUGAUCAGAGCAACUCGAAUUCUAACCAGAUUGGGGCAUGUGGUGAUCUUGUUAUACCUGAAUCAUCAGGAAAGGGUAGGCAACAUCUUGGGGCAUUGGCAGAGUACUGUGGAUCUCCUAAACACGUGUCAAACUCAGAAUGGUCUCAAGAAAGUUUGUAUAGAGAAGCUCAAGCUGCGAUAUCUGGGGCAUCCAAUUUUUAUAUUGAAUUUGUUAUUCUUGGAAUACUUCAUUCUUUUCAAAGAUACACAUUCCCAAUAAAUUUCUUUGUUAUCCUUCUUUGCUAUUUUUGAUCAUUUAUUUCUUUCAAGCUAUGCUCAGAACCAACUUUUUCUUAUCUAUUUUUAUGACCUUUUUUGCAAGCAUGUUGCAUUGAAAUAAUGAUUAAUGGACUAAUAAAACUUUCACAAGGGAAGUUUUGCAUAUUACUUUAGAAGUUUCUAAAUAAUACAGGAACCUGAAACAUGACUUUUGUUUAGAACGCACCAAGCUUAAAGGUUGGAAAUUUAAGAAAGAAGGGUCUAAUUAGAACUUUCUGGAUUCUGUUGUCAAAAACAUUGAUUGACCAAAGUGACAGGAUGUCAGGUUGGUGACAAAGCUAAAAUAAAUAAGCGAGCAAUGGUCACCAGGUAAUAGGAAGAGGUUUCCUCGGAGAAGAAAUACUUCAUUUGCACAUGAGCCUUUGGUGCGACACCUUAGGCAUGGUAUAAAGGGCCAAAGAAUUUUACAUUUUGUAUCCUUAAAUUGUGAUAGGAGUGGAUUGAGAAGAAGCUAUAUAUUUCUACCCUCGGGUUGCAGUGGGAGAAUGAUGGUACAAAUUUUACGUCCUAGUAGAUUGAGCUUUGAGGUUUAUAGUGGGGGGAAAUCUGACUAAGUGGAGACACCAGCCGAGCAAGAAAGCAUUGUAGCACGUCAGUGAUAAAGCCUUAAUAAACUUCGAGCAAUGAUAACUUAAGCGAAAAAGGGGAUCAUUCUUAAAAAUAGCAUUCUACAUUCAUGCAAACACCAUUCACACAUGUCUAGUUAGGAGCAUUUGAUUUAUGCCAUCCUAGUAAUUAGGGAUAAUUAGGUUCAUUAUACAGGUCAUGUUCCCCAGAGAGCAGAUCAGUGAAGAUAGCAGAUCUUGCCUUCCUAUACUAACAACGAAGCAGAUCGAAGUCACUAGCCUUGCCUCCCUGGGUUACAGCGGAGAAGGUAAAAAUAGCAGAUCUUACCUUCCUGCACCGACAGCGAAGCAGAUCGAAGACACCAACAUUGCCUCCCUAGGUUGCAGCGGAGCAAGCUAAAAAUAGAAGAUCUUGCCUUCCUGCACCGGUAGCGAAGCAGAUCAAAUACACCAGCCUUGUCUCCCUGGGUUGCAGCGCAGGCUAAAAAUAGCAGAUCUUGCCUUCCUGCACCGACAGUGAAGCAGAUCGAAGAAACCAGCCUUGCCUCCCUGGGUUGCAGCGGAGCAGGUUAAAAAUAGCAGAUCUUGCCUUCCUGUACCGACAGCGAAGCAGAUUGAUGACCCCAGCCCUAUCUCCCUGGUCAGUAGUGGAAUAGGUUAAAGAUUGUGAAUCCUAUCUCCCUGGUCAGCAGUUGAAUAGGUUGAAGAUUGAGAAUUCUAUCUCCCUGGGCGGAAGUGGAAUAGAUUAAAGAGCCCUAUCUCCCUGGUCAGCAGUGAAAUAGGUCAAAGAUUGUGAAUCCUAUCUCCCUAGACAACAGUGGAAUAGGUUAAAGAUUGUGAAUCCUAUCUCCCUAGUCAGCAGUGGAAUAGGUUGAAGAUUGAGAAUUCUAUUUCCUUGGGUAGCAGUGGAAUAGAUUAAAGAAUCCUAUCUCCCUGGACAGUAGUGGAAUAGGUUAAAGAUUGUGAAUCCUAUCUCCCUAGUCAGCAGUGGAAUGGGUUGAAGAUUGAGAAUUCUAUCUCCCUGGGCAGCAGUGGAAUAGAUUGAAGAUUAUACGUCCUAUCUCCCUGGUCAGCAGUGGAAUAGGUUGAAGAUCGUGAACCCUAUCUCCCUGAGCAGCAGUGGAGUAGGUUGAAAAUAGCAGAUCUUGCCUUCAUGUACUGGCAGUGAAGCAGAUCGAAGACAUUAGUCCUAUCGCCUUGAUGUUGCAAUGGAAACGAUUGAAGCCACGACGGCGAAUCUUAUUUCCCUGGCGUUGUAGCAGAGCAGAUUGAAGCCAUAAUGGUGAAUCUUAUCUCCCUGGCGUUGAGGCUUGGAUUAGCUAAAGUGGAGCGGAUUGAAGUUGUGGGCAGCAAAUCCUAUCUCUUUGGCCUUACAGUGGAGCAGAUUGAAGCCGCAACGGUGAAUCUUGUUUCCCUAACAUUGCAGAUGGCAAAUCUUAUCUCCCUGAAGUUGCAGUGGAGCGGUUUGAAGCCAAUAAUCCUAUCUCCCUGAAGUUGCAGUGGAGUGGAUUAAAACCACGGAUCUUAUCUCUCCAAAGGUGCAGUAGAGUAUAUCACAUCGGGUUUUAUCUCCUUGAAGUUGCAGUGGAGUAGACCCAAGAAAGCGAGUCUUAUUUCCCUAAAGUUGUAGUGGAGCAAACUCAAGGAAGCAAGUCUUAUCCCCCUAAAAUUGCAGUGGGGCAGACUAAAUAAACAAAUCCUAUCUCCCUAAAGUUGUAGUGGAGUGGAUUAGAAGUUUGGAUCCUGUCUCUCUGAAAUUACAGUAGAGCAGAUCGCAUCAAAUUCAUCUUUGAGUUGCAGCAGAUCAUGUUGAAGCUACAAAUCUUAUCUCCCUGAAGUUGCAGUGGAGCAGGUUUUGUUCUCUUGAGAAACUACAACGUACGAAUCCUAUCUCCCUAGCAUUACAGUAAAGUAGAUUGAAGUGCUAGUUCCUAUACCUUUGGGGAUGCAGUAGGAAGGAAUGAGGCUACUUGAAGAAGAAGAGUAUCAAGGUCCAGCACGACCGGGCAAAAUUAGGCAUUUUUAAUCUUUGCUCCGUUCCUGUUACACAAUAAUGAGCAAAGAGGGGCAGCUGUACAUACCAGAUUUUGCCCGAGUCUAAAAGACCCGCAUUCAGACAGGCCUAUAUGGCCCAAUUAAUAAAACAAAUAGUGGCCCAAACCCAAUUACAACGAAAUAGGCCCAAAUACAAUGGCCCAAAAAAAUAUUAGAAACCCUAGGGUUUCUAAGUCAUCUACGCCGCAACCACCUAGCCCGUUUGCGCCGCCGAAUCUUCACCUGCAAGGAAUGAACACAGAGAAGGAAACAAAAUCAAAAGAUUUUCGGAUCAAAAGAUAUCAAGCAUGAUUUGUUUCUUUAUUUUUUUAUUACUAUGGCUAUAAGAAAGCCAUUAAACAUACUAUAAAAAGGGGAUUCAAAAAAUCAAUAAAAAACCAUUGAUUUCACAGCAAAGAGCUAGUUAGUUCAAUACCAAAAGAGCAGAAAUCAGUCCAAGGUUGAUACAUUUUUAGUUUUGUUUUAUGUUGUAUUUUUUUUCUAUUUUUAUUUUAACUGAAACAAAAAUAAAAUAAAAGAUAAAAACACUUAUCUGCUCACUUCUGAAAUGCUGUUGGAGCAGCCGGGGUUCGUCUCCGGGGAUAAACGACUGAAAGUCGAGGGGUUCUAAGGGCUUUUGCGGUGUUUUUGUCGUUUUUUCGAAGGGUUUGAACCUAGAUCUGAGCUUGGAAGGGCCGAAAGGUUUAAAUAGGAGAUUUUCUCCUUUUCCGUCCACCGUAGACGGCGGUACCAUCGUCGGAGGCUGGUGGCCGGCGCCGUGGCCGAUGACUGGCCGGAGGCCAGACCCUGGGUGGCCGAUGAGGGAGGGGAGAGCAUUUGAAAGUUUUUUUUUGUUUUUUUUAAGAAAAGGCUUAAAAUGAAAUUUUUUUGGGGAGUUUUUGGCUUAAAUAGCCAAAUAAAACGACGUCGUUUUGGGCAUAGGUCGACCCGACUCCGACCCGACCCAGCCUAGGACCCGCGAGUUUUUGAGCGAAGGGGUAAAUUGCGCUUUUAGCCCCUCUGCCUUUUGAAGUUUUGCAAUUAAGUUUUUUUAAUUUUUUUAAUUUACCCUCUAAUUUUUGUUCGAUUUCAAUUUAAUCCUACUUGAACGACGCCAUUUUGAGGAGAAGGGGAAAUUUCCCUCCCAGCCCCUCUGAAUUAUUAGCGCGUUCAAUAGGGUCCUCCGGUCUUCAAUUAUUUGCAGAUUUGCCCCAGAUUUUUUAUUUACAAUUCAAAUUAGUCCUUUUUUAUUUUCUUUAUUUUUUAUUAAUUAAUUUUUACUUUUAUUUUUCAUUUUUAAUUAGUUUUUUUAAAUAUAUGUAUAUAUGUAUUUUUUACACAUAUUUAUAUAUACAUACGCAUAUUUAUUUUUUUAAUAUAAUGUAAUUAUUUUUAUUUUAUUUUAUUUAUAUGUAUUUAUUUUUUAUAAUCUAUAUAUGUAUAUAUUUAUCUUUGUAUAUAUAUGUAUGUAUACAUAUUAAUAUUUUUAACCAAUUUUUUUAUUUGUAGAUAUAUGAAUAUAUUUAUUUUUUAAAUGCUCAAAUAUAUGUAUUUUUUAACACCUACUUUAUAAUUUAUAUUUUAUUUUCACAAAUGUAUUAUAUAUUUUGCUUUUAUAAAUUUUAAUCCAAAGUUACAUAUGUAAAUUAUGUGAAUGUCAUUUAAUUUCAAUGCAUAUAUUAUGUACCUUUUUAUUUUUAUAUUUUUGUUUAUUCUUCAUUUGAUUAUUGAUUUAUGUUUUCGUUCAUAUUAAAAAAGAAUGUUUUUAUUUUGCCCAUUCAUUUGAUACUUUACACUUUUCCUAUUUUAUGUUAAUUUUAUUUAUUUAUCGUUUAUAUUAUUUCUAUACAAUUGUUGUACUUGUUAUGGUGACAUUUAUACAUACAUUCAAUAUAACAUUACAUCAUCUUUUUACUCAAAUUUAAAAAUAGGAUUUUUCAAAAUAGAGAUAAUACUCGCAUUUGGGAUUUUCAAGAAAAUUGAGUCCUAACGUAUUGAUAGGUGUCGAAUCCACCAAUAUAAACCUACACCUAAUUUUGCAAAUUUAAGCAGUAUAGGGAGUAGGGUCGAUCCCUCAGAGACUGGGUUACUGCAAACUGUUGCUCUCUUGACCAGAUUUAUGUCGGGCAGUUGUCGUGCCCAAGAUAUUAGGGGGGAGAAUAAAAUCGAAAACCUGGAACCUGAAAUAAAUAAAUAAAACUCGUAAAAAGUAAAAGUUGAAAAUGAAAUAAUAAAAAGCAGUUAAAUGAAUUUGAAGAAAAAUUAAUUACAAUAAGCUCAGCCUUAGGCACGGAUUUUUCCUCGUCUUCGAACUGAUCCUCGAAAUUAGAUGAACUCUUCUUUUCCAAUAAGCUAGUUAUAGCUACCAAGGACGCCUCGGACACCAACUCUUCCUUGUGCAAAUUAGUUAUGGAACGUCCAAUAACUAACCCUUAUCGAUUGAACAACCACGAAACGUUCGUGAUUUAGAACUCCGGCAGCUUUGCGUUCUAGAAGAGCCUAGCUCAAACCAAUGCCCUCAACCGCGUGGGACAUUUAAAUCCGGUUACUACUUCCCUUAACGGAACCAAAUAGCAAUCUCCACUUGGCACUCCAAUGUGUUCACAGAAAACCGAUUAGAAACGUUCCUUUCAAAAUUCCAACUGUACGUCUAACCACACUAAAUCAAACGACGUCUUUUUUGACUUAAUGUUGAUCUGACUUUGUGAGUUGACAAAAUCAUACUCUUAAUCCGGAGAAGUAAUAAGUAAUAGAACUUUAGGAGUUAAAUUGCUCGGGUUCGUAACUCACGGGUUUUAACGAGGCUAAUUUUGGCCUAAAGCUAAAAAUGGGUUUAGUUGGCUAAGGUUUGGGGCAUAUUAGUAUUGGAAUAAUUAAAAAAGGUAAAAUGGGUGAAAGGAAUGGAAAACGUGAUUUUAGUUUGGGGGCUGAAAUUUUGGUGCUGAAAUAAAGUAAUAAAGUGAAUUAGCUACUAGAGAUGGAAAGAAAGUUUGAAAAGGAAAUUGAAAAUGGUUUAAGUGGUAACAAGUUGGAAAAUUAGGAAUUGAAAGUAAAUGAAACUAAAGACAACAAAUAAAUCCGUGAGAAAAGAGAGAAUGUAUUGAAAGAUGAAUGCUUGAUUUAUUGCUUGAUGAUUAAAAUGAACAAUGUAGCCUCUAUUUUUACUAGUGGCCUUACUAAAUUAAGAGCCAACUAGUAUAGAAAAUCAAGGAAAAUAUUCCAUAAUAUAAAAAAUAUCCCAAAAUAAUCUCCCACUAAGUCAACAAUUUCAGCUAAUUAUUCUUGGAAAAAUUCUGCUUUGGCCCUCCUUCUUUGCUUCUUUCUUCAAUCUAGCCCAAUUGUUUCCUUUUUCUUCUAUUUAGCCCCAAAUUGUAUUCCUGCACAAAAUUCAAUAAAUAUGGCAAAAUUAGUGGUGCAUUCUCAUAAAUUAACCGAUUUUAAUUACAUAAAAUAUGUAACUUUAGCAUUUAAUCAAAUCCCCCUACUUAGCUUAUGCUAGUCCUCGAGCAUUUUGUAUGUAUCUGCAAAAGGAAAAAUUUCCUCCAAAAUAGGACUUGACCCCCAUGGUUUGAACAAUUCAACAAUUUAAUCCUAGCACAUUAACAUCUCAAAAAACCUAGCCUAAGAAGUAAGUAAAUAUAUUUUAGAAUUUAUUAGAGAUAGACUUACCUUUCAUUUUAUUUAUUUAUUUUUUCCUACUUAGGACAUUUUCAAAUUUUUUGACGCGAGACAUGAUGACAACCCAAGCACCGUGUUCCGGUUACUCAAUUCAAACGUCUCUAAGCGGGUUAUUUCACCCUACUCAUGAUAACUUGUUAGCGGAGUGAGUGCAAAGAAAUUGGACAGCCACACGAACUUUUUUACGCGAGAUGUGAUGACAACCCAAGCACCACGUUCCGGUUACUCAGCCCAAUGUACAACCCUAAUUUUUCACUUUUAACAUUCGUAUCAGAGAAGUUUUAUUAUUUUUUUCUUCCUUUUUUUUUUUGACUUAAUUGAAAGAUGAAAGGUAGGCAGUCAAGCAAACUCAUAAUUCCCAAAAGUUUCUUACCCACUAAGUCUAUGUUAUUGAAAAGUUGUAUGUGUAAAGAACUAAAUAGCUAAAUAGGUCAAACCAUAAGUGUACCAUCCCAACUUAUCAAAAGAAAAAUUUUACCUUUUACCGAAAACAUGCAAAAAUAGCGAUGACAGAUAAGCAAAUUAGAAUCAAUUUAUGUUUCCCUCCCCCUACUUAUUUUACAUUGUCCCAAUGUAAUUUAAAGAAUAAAAGUAAAGAUAAGUAGGAGAAAGAGAGAAAAAGAAACUCUUCAUGUAUUUCAACGUCGUGGAGGGUGGUCUCAUAGGUAGAGUGUGACUUGGCUGAAAUAAAAAGAAUUUUGUGGGUUGACAUGUGGAAUUUAAUUUUUUCUUGAAAUGUUUUCCUGCAAAAAUAGAAAUGAAAAUAAAAUAAAAUGGUAAAAAUAAAUAAUAAUAAUAGGAAAAUUAAAUUUUUCAAAUUUAUUAGCUAAGCUAUAAACUCGAGAAAUAAAUUAUUAAAAACCAAGAUUACGAGAUUUGUAAAACAGUCGUGAUAAAUGCACCAAGUAAGUUCCCAGGAAAGAGAGGUGAGUCACAAUGGACAUACUUAAGUACUAAGUCUUUCCUUAGACAGAACUAAUCCUCGACAUGCAUUUUUAUUUUCCGUUUUACCAAAAAUUUUAUUUGCAUAAAGGAAAAGAAAAUUUGGGUUGCCUCCCCACAGCGCUUUAUUUAACGUCGUUAAGCUCGACGACCUGUUAUUCAAGCUCUAGGCUCCUUGAGAAUAAUCUCCUCAACUGUGUGUGUUUAAAAUUCUCGUAAAAGGGUUUCAGCCGUUGACCAUUCUCCUUGAAGCACUUCCGGGUUUCUUUGCUUUGAAUUUCCACUGCACCAUUCGAGAAUAAAUUUGUAAUAGUAAAUGGACUUAUCCAUUUGGAUCGAAGCUUACCAGCUAAUCGCUCGAGCAUUUGAUCGAUAAAGGGAAGUGGAAAAUGUUUUUUCCAAGUAGUCGCAUUCAAUUUCCUGUAAUCGAUGCAAACCCUCCAUCCAUUCUGGACUUGUGUAGGAACUAGCUCUCCUGAUGAGUUUUUCACCACUGUCACGCCAGUUUUCUUCGGCAUGACAUGAACCAGGCUAACCCAAUCACUGUCAGAGAUCGAGUAUAUCAUUCCAGCAUACAACAGUUUCUGGAUCUCCUUCUUUACUACCUUCAUCAUGUGUGGAUUAAGGCGACUUUGAGCAUCUCUCUUUGGUUUCGUGUUAUCCUCGAUAGAAAUUCUGUGCAUACAGGUGGAUGGACUUAGCCCUUUUAUGUCGGCUAUUGUCCAACCAAUAGCCUCCUUAUAAUCCCUCAGAUCUCGAACUAGACUUUUCUCCUCGUAUUUGGUUAAUUUGUUUGACACUAUCACCGGUAAGGUGUCUUUCUCUCCCAAAAAGACGUACUUGAGAUGGUCUGAUAAUGCUUUAAGCUCCAAGGUUGGUGGCUGCAAAAUCGAAGGCAACAUUUUAAUUUGGGAAGGUAAUAGUUUAAAUUGGUUACGUCAAUUCGUUGACGAUGGUUGUGUCUCCAAGUGUUUGACAAUUUCUCGCAAUGGUUUUUCUAUAAUUGAAAAUUUAUCGAAAUGACUUAAAACAUCCAUGUCAAUGCUUCUGUAAAGGAUAGUUUCUAACUCAUCAAAGUCAUGAUAUUCAGAAUAGGAUUGAGUUAAACAAUCUAUAAUAUCAAUGCUAGAGAUAUUUGAUAGUGAGUUAGGAUGACCCAUAGCUUCGUAGACAUUGAAUUUCACGAUUUCGCCGUCAAACUCCAUUGUCAGUGUUCCACUCCGAACAUCAAUUUUUGCUCUUGCGGUACUUAGGAACGAUCUUCCAAGAAAAAUGUCAGACAAAUUAGUUGAGUUAUCGUCCUCCAUAUUAAUAAUGUAGAAAUCUGCAGGGAAAACUAAUUCAUUAACUUUAACAAGGACAUCUUCAAGCAACCCUUCGGAAUAGAUGACUGACCUGUCCGCCAACUGGAUUAUUACUCUUGUCUUUUUCAAAGGACCCGCGUUAAUCAACUUAUAAAUAGGAUAAGGCAUAACAUUAAUGGAAGCCCCUAAAUCACACAUGGCUUUCUUAAUGCCUACAUUACCUAUCUCACAGGAAAUAGCAAACAUACCUUGGUCCUUGUAUUUAGGCGGAACUUUCUUUUGCAGUACUGCGGAGACAUUUUCUCCUACAUUUACUCUUUCGUUACCUAUUAACCUCCUCUUGCUAGUGCACAAUUCCUUGAGAAAUUUUGCAUAACGAGGGAUUUGUUUGAUAGCGUCGAGCAAAGGGAUAUUUAACUCCACCUUCCUGAACGUUUCGAGGAUUUCUUUUUCCUCCUUCUCUUUCUUAUCCUUUGCGAGCCUCCCUAGAAAAGGAGGUGGCAUCACAACUGGUUUCUGAAUUUCUGAUUCUGGUCUGGCUUUUGGAUCAGAGAUCUGCUUUUCCCGUUCCUUGUCUUGCCCAUGACUUUUUUCUGGAACUGUUUCCAAAACUUUUCCGCUACGAAGAGUUAUUGCACUUACAUUCUGCCUAGGAUUCUGCUCUGUCUAGGAAGGUAAUUUACCUUGAGACUCUAAACGAUUAACUACCAUCGAGAGUUUACUAACUUGAUUAGUUAACUUUUUUAUUGAUGCGUCUGUCCUCUGUUGAUAUUUUGCAGCAUCAACGGCAAGUUUUCCACAAUAGCUUCUAGAGAUGUGCUCGGCUUAAGUGGCAGUUGUGGUGGUUGCAAAGGUCUCGGUUGGUAUGACGGAUUAUAUCGGGGAUUAGCCCCGUAAUUUAAGUUGGGUGAUCCUUCCACCUGGGAUUGUAGGUGUUGGAGAAAGGAUCAUAGUGUCUUUGCGGAGGUCCCGAAAAGCCUCCGACAGUAUCGACAUGUGCCGUUGAAUUUUCGUUAAGGAUUGGGAACAAAUCUGUCGGAUGUUCAGAUGUAGUACAAAUUCCACACAGUUGGAUCAGGUUCUUCUUUUCUGUAAGCAUAGAUUGAACAAUAUAAGUUCUUCUUAUUCAAUUUAUCUUCUAAAGCCCCAUUAACCCGUCUUGUGGGUUCUGAAUUUGGCCGAUAUUGUUGAGAAUUUGCUGCCAUGGUGGAUAUAAGUUCUCUUGCCCUUUGAGGAGUUAUAUUGACAAGCGCCCCUCCACUAGCAGCGUCAAUCAUCUUCAUCUCCAUAGGGAGCAAACCCUCGUAGAAAUAUUGAAGAAGUGAUUGUUCGAUCAAACCGUGUUGAGGACAACUUACACACGGUUUUUUGUAUCGCCCUCAAUAGUCGUAGAGCGAUUCACUCUCCAUUUCGCGAAUUCCCACUAUGUCUCUCCUAAGUUCGGCUGGUCGCGAUGCUGGGAAGAAUGUGUCAAGAAAAACACGAGAUAAGUCAUCCCACGUUGUAAUAGAACCGGGGGGUAAGUAAAAUAACCAUUCUCUUGCUGUAUCAACUAAAGAAAAAGGAAAAGCCUGAAGUUUGAUUUCAUCUUCAGUUACUCCCUGUAGUUUUAUGCUUGAGCAAACCAUGUGGAAUUCUCUCAAAUGAGUGUGUGGAUUUUAUUCUUCAAGCCUCGAAAAGUGGGCAAAAGGUGAAUCAGGCCUGACUUUAACUCGAACGGGGUUUCUUCGGCUGGAUAGUUGAUGCAUAAAGUGUUUGCUCUUUGGGAGCAGCGGCUAGUUGAUGAAUGGUUCAGUUUGCCAUCCUUUCUGGUUCACCAAGAUUGUCUUCUGCUUCUUUCGCUUCAGGAAGUGGUUCGGUCUCAGUUUCAACAACUUCGACUUGUUUCCCACGUCGAAUUUCCUCUGCACGAAUUGCUUGUCUCAACUUUUCGACGUCAGAUUCUAGGAGCCCUUAUCCUAUCUCAACUUCCAUUUUACUUGCACGUUUAAGAGCUUCUGUCUCUUUUCGUCCUGCUUGUGCUAAUUUCUCGAUCUCUGGGUCGUAUUCAAGAUCUCCGGAUGAAGAUCUGGUCAUGAAGAUGUUUUAAACAAUUAUAAGUGUUGCCAAUCCCCGGCAACGGCGCCAAAACUGAUGGGUGUCGAAUCCACCAAUAUAAACCUACACUUAAUUUUGCAAAUUUAAGCAGUAUAGGGAGUAGGGUCGAUCCCUCAGAGACUGGGUUACUGCAAAUUGUUGCUCUCUUGACCAGAUUUAUGUCGGGGCAGUUGUCGUGCCCAAGAUAUUAAGAGGAAAAUAAAAUCGAAAACCUGGAACCUGAAAUAAAUAAAUAAAACUCGUAAAAAGUAAAAGUUGAAAAUGAAAUAAUAAAAAGUAGUUAAAUGAAUUUGAAGAAAAAUUAAUUAGAAUAAGCUCAGCCUUAGGCACAGAUUUUUCUUCGUCUUUGAACCAUCCUCGAACUUAGAUGAACUCUUCUUUUCCAAUAAGCUAGUUAUAGCUACCAAGGACGCCUUCGACACCAACUCUUCCUUGUGUAAAUUAGUUAUAGAACGUCCAAUAACUAACCCUUACCGAUCGUACAACCACGAAAUGUUCGUGAUUUAGAACUCCGGCAGCUUUGCGUUCUAGAAGAGCCUAGCUCGAACCAAUGCCCUCAACCGCGUGGGGCAUUUAAAUCCGGUUACUACUUCCCUUGACGAAACCAAACAGCAAUCUCCACUUGGCACGCCAAUGUGUUCACAGAAAACCGAUUAGAAACGUUCCUUUCGGAAUUCCAACUGUACGUCUAACCACACUAAAUCAAACGACGUCUUUUUUGACUUAAUGUUGAUCUGAAUCUGUGAGUUGACAAAAUCAUACUCUUAAUCUGGAGAAGUAAUAAGUUAAAUUGUGACGAGGCUAAUUCCGGCCUAAAGCUAAAAAUGGGUUUAGUUGGCUAAGGUUUGGGGCAUAUUGGUAUUGGAAUAAUUAAAUAAGGUAAAAUGGGUGAAAGGAAUGGGAAACGUGAUUUUAGUUUGGGGGGUUGAAAUUUUGGUGGUGAAAUAAAGUAAUAAAGUGAAUUAGCUACUAGAGAUGGAAAGAAAGUUUGAAAAGGAAAUUGAAAAUGGUUUAAGUGGUAACAAGCUGGAAAACUAGGAAUUGAAAGUAAAUGAAACUAAAGACAACAAAUAAAUUCGUGAGAAAAGAGAGAAUGUAUUGAAAGAUGAAUGCUUGAUUUAUUGCUUGAUGAUUAAAAUGAACAAUGUAGCCUCUAUUUAUACUAGUAGCCUUACUAAAUUAAGAGCCAACUAGUAUAGAAAAUAAAGGAAAAUAUUCCAUAAUAUAAAAAAUAUCCCAAAAUAACCUCCCACUAAGUCAACAAUUUCAGCUAAUUAUUCUUGGAAAAAUUCUGCUUUGGCCCUCCUUCUUUGCUUCUUUCUUCAAUCUAGCCCAAUUGUUUCCUUUUUCUUUUAUUUAGCCCCAAAUUGCAUUCCUGCACAAAAUUCAAUAAAUAUGGCAAAAUUAGUGGUGCAUUCUCAUAAAUUAACCGAUUUUAAUUACAUAAAAUAUGUAACUUUAGCAUUUAAUCACGUAUUGGGUUCUGAUUUUCUUCGUUAAAUCUAAUAAUCGAAAAUUGCUCUUUGAUCAAAAUAAAAAUCACUACACCAAACAGGCUUUAAAAAGCGCCGCUAAAAGUAUUUGUGGCGCUUUGAGAAGCACCAAAAAAAACGCCGCUAAAGACCAAGACCUUUAGCGGCGCUUUUCUCACAAACGCCGCUAAAGACCACGACCUUUAGCGGCAUUCUUCUCACAAACGCCGCUAAAGACCACGACUUUCAGCGGCGCUUUUCCCAUAAACGUCGCUAAAGACUACGACCUUUAGCGGCGCUUUGCCCACAAACGCCGCUAAAGAACAAACCUUUAGUGGCGCUUCUAGCAAAAACGCCGCUAAAAACAUAAUAUUUAAAAAAAAUUAUUUUAAUCAAAUAAUAUUAUUUUUAUGGUAAAUAUUAUAUUAUGUUUUAUUUUUUAAAUUUAAAAUUUAAAAUUUAAAUAUACUUUUUAAGGAUAAAUAAAAAAUAUUAUUUAGAUUAAAUUUUUUAUAAAAAUUUUAACUUCAAAACCAAAUAUAAAAAUUAAUAAAUUUAGUUUUAGAAUUUAGUUUUAGAAUUUAAAAUAAUAAAUUAAUAACAAUUAAAAUCCAAAAGUUAGAACUCAAGUUGUUGUAAUAUUAAAGUAAAAAUAAAAAUUUAGAAUCAAAACUAAAAUAAACAAUGGAAAGAUAGCUCAAAUGUAGGUUUUUGCUGCAAGUUACACAAAUAAUAACGAAAAAUUAAACACCACACAAAAAAUUUAUUAAACUAGUUAAGAAAUACAUGGUGCAGCCAUGCAGUAUAAAUACAAUAGAAUCAUAGGGUAAUUUUGCAUAAAUAUCUUCAGAGUACCAAGAACAAUUUGCCACAAAAUUAUGAAACAUGAUAAAAAAAAAAACAACAGGUAGCAGACAAGCUAUUUGUUACUUUUUGUUUUGCUUCCAAGGCUUCCUCAGCUGCCUUCAUCUUGGCAACAGAAUCAUCUUCAUCAUCCUUGCUUAAGAAAACAAAGAACCUAUUGUUAAACAAUUUAGAACUUAACAAUUUAACCCAGAUCUCGAAAAACACCACUAAUUUAAAAAUGAAAUCAACAAAACCAAGAAUUAAUAAAGACAUGGAAGAAGCUAGUUCACCAGCUAUAUUCUGGAAACCAGCUUGCUCCAAUUUAUUGGCAGCAGCAGUAGACCUUCACAUUUUAAAAAGUUCAGUUCCAUCAAUGAUUACUCACAUUGAGGCUAAAAUGAAGAUAAGGGCAUCGAAAUAAAUUCAGACCAUUCACCAGUUGAGUAUAUUGAAUGCAGAAUAGCCUUUAAUCAGAUCUAGAAUGAAUCGGAUUCGGAUGUAUACUAAUAAAUCAGAUUGCAAAUCAAGCAUAUCCAGAGCAUGGUAAGAACUAACCUCAGCCCCUCUUGACAUACGAGUAACAAUUUAGAUUCGGACCCAAAAUAAAGCAAACUCAAAUAUCAGAAACCAAAAAUAAAGCAUAUCCAAACUCAAAAUAAAGCUCAAUAUUGGAGCAUUCUAAUUUUCUCAGAAACCAAACAGUAGACCCAAAUAUCAGGUUUCGAAAUUAAGCAAAUUUGAGAAGAAAAGAAGUUUACCUUGUAGAAGAGAGGGUCAAAUAAUAACAAGUAGUAGCAAUUCCAGCCAUUGAAAGAAAUAUCUACUUGGUUCUGUUGCUGUUGCUCCUCUCCGUGUUUUCAGAGUAGUUAAACUGAAGCCAGCUUAGAAUUGGGGAUAGCCACGAGAUUGACCCAAGAAAUUUGGAAGGAGCAAUGGGUUUCUGCCACGUCUUUUAUUAAUAAAGACAUGGAAAUAGCUAGUUCACCAGCACACCUUCACAAAGAAAUAGAACAAACUCAGCACCAUUUAAGGGUUAAAAAGCCAAUAACUGGAAUGUUAUCUACCGAUAAAUUUGACAUACCAAUUACUUAUCUAGCGUAAGUAAUAUUGUAAGUUAAACCAUUUUGUGGGAGGAGAAACCUCUAUUUGUUUUCCAUGGGUUAGUUUUGUGUGUGGGAGAGAUUUAUUAAAAGUAAUUAUAUUGAAUUUUAUUCAUGGUUGGUUAUUGGAGUUGUUGAGUUUGAUGGUUAAGUUCAUGGAACAGCAUGGAUUUAUUUGGUGAAUUUAUGAGAAUCCUCCAAAAUGAUUCCAAUGCCAAAUCCUACUGCUUCAUCCAUCCAAACAAGAUCUCAAAUUCUUUGUCGAUUUCAAUGAAAAACAAGUAUGUUAAGUGUUCAGUGGUUUGUUCUUGUAGAACACAUGAUUAACUAUUUAUUUUUUUAGCAACACCAAUAUCACUAAGUAUUUCAUGCAAUACUAACUCCUUCCAAAACAACCAACAACUCAAAAAUUAAAAAAAAAUAUAUAAUAUUUUGAAAUCUUUAGAACUUUCAAGUUUUUUAUUAUUUUAUAAUUUUUAUAUAUUUUAUUUCUUUUAUAAAAUUUAUGUAUUUUUAAUUUGUUUUAAACUUUUUUAAGUUUUAUUAUUUUAAAUACAAGUAUAAAGAUAGGUUUGAGUAAUCAUAAUGUAAAAUCAAACUAGCUCAAAGAAGAAAUGUGUACUAGUUGAAUUUUUUUGAAUAUAUAUAUAGAACAUUUUUAUAAGAGGGUUAAUAUUUUUUAAUUAAAAUCAAAUAAAUACAACAAUGAAGAAACUGCGGAGAGAAGGAUAGAAAGAGAGCUCGUCACUCACAUAGCCAAGCACUGCUGAGGUAACCAAGAACAUAAAUCCUGUAAGUGUUAUCUUAAGAAACAAAAGCAUACCAAUUUAGUAAUCAAAUAAAUCAGGUGUAAUAGUAAACAUGCAUAUACAUGUAUAAGCAUGUCCGAGUUUGUAUGUUAAUAGAAAAUCACAAUUUAGAAGUAGUAAGCAUUACAUACCAUGUUUGGUCUGGAAAAAAGAACAACCAGCCGAGUAGCAAACACAUAUAGAAACAUAAAUAUGUUAGUGCCGGCAAAUAUCAUUGAAAAACAGGCAAAUACUUGAAGCUCAAAUGAAGCAUGAUAUAGCGUUUAAAACUUAUACUUUCACACAAGGGCGUAACUAAGGGGAAAGGCAGGGGCCUUGGCCCCCCUUGAUUAAAUGGACUAAUAGCAACUUUAGUCCCAUCCAGUUAUAAAAUAUUCAAUUUAAACCCUAUUCAAAUAUAAUGUUUACUUUCAACCCUUCUUCUAAGUUCAGCUCUAUAUCAAAUAUCACAAUCCACUAGCAACACUCAAACAGGUAUAGAUAGGAACCAGUGUUUCAAAAUAAGUAAACAACACUAACAAAAUGAAGCAGCAAAUAAAAACUAUGGUUAUUCAAAGCAUAAAUAGAGAUGACAAAAUUACUUUCACACAAAAGGGGCCUUGGCUCCCCUUGAUUAAAUGGACUAAUACCAACUUUAGUCCCUUCCAGUUAUAAAAUAUUCAAUUUAAACCCUAUUUAAAUAUAAUAUUACUUUCAACCCCCCCUUCCUCAAGGUUCAGCUCUCUAUCAAUAUCACAAUCAACUAGCAACAGUCAAAACAAGUGUAUAUAGGAACCAGUGCUUCAAAACAGAUAAACAACACUAAUAAAAUGAAAACUAUGAUUAUUCAAAGCACUAAAAUAAUAAUAAAAAAUCCAAAGAACUUACGGCAUCCAAAGAGGGAAGAAGUUAACAAAACGGCUCCAAAAGGGUUGUAAUACAUAUUUAGCAAGGUAAGAGUGAUCCACACCGCUGUAUUUGUAUAUUUUCAAAGCUUGUACACCAUGUGAUCCUAUAUACCCUAUUUUUUGCUAAGAACUGCAAUAAUCCAAACUAAUGGGUAUUGAUAAAAAUGAUUCAAAUGUAAGAAAAAAUGAAAAAAACUCAAGGAAAUCAAUUUAAAGAAAUUCCCAUGCUUGUUUUUUGCAUAGAAAAAGAUUAACUUUUGAACUAAUAGUUAAAGUUAAGAGAUUCCAUUAACUUUGGAAACAGAGAAUCAAAGAAAUAGGUUAGCAUAAAUCAUGAAUAAAGGGAUUUUAAAGUGAAAACAAGGAACAAAAUGAUCAAACACUGAAAAAAUAUAGCAGAUCUAAGACUCAAAAGCAAGCAAAAAGUUAAAACCCAGUAAACACAAUAAAACAAUGAGAAAACUGAAGAAAAAAAGUUUUUUUUUUUCAUUUAUACCUGUUUGAAGCAGAGAUCAAAAGCUUAGAAAUUUGAUUUGCAAAGGAAUAAAAAAAUCAGAUCAAGUAAGGCCAAAAGGCAACGAAGAUAUUUUUCUUUCCGUCUCCCGCAUUUCAAACAUAAGAAGCUCAGCUGUAAAAAAGGUGCAAGAGCAGAGCGUAUUAUUACAAAUAAUCAUAAGGGAGUGAGAAGGGAGUGAUACUUAAUUUUUGUACCAAAUUAAAUAUUAGUUAAUUCACGGCGGAGAAGGGAGUGAGAGGCUGUGGAGUGGCCUUUGGGGUCUCAUCAGCCAUGGGAGUGCAGAGUGUUUGUUGGAGAGUGGCAACUGAGAACAUAUUGUCGGCCAUGGGAAAUUAGGGAUUUCAGGGGGAAAUUUUAGGGUAAAAUGGCGCCAUUUUUUUAAAGUCAAAUGAUUUUUGUGGCUUUUUUUAUAAAAACGCCGCUAUUGCUUAACUAAUAUUCAUUUUGGGUAAAAUAGUACCAUUUUUUAAAGUCAAAUAAUUUUGUGGCGUUUUUUAUAAAAAUGUCGAAAAGGUAAGCAAUAGCCGCAAAAAAAUCAUUUCCUUUUGAACAAAAAUUAUUUUAUUUAAACUAAUAUUUAAAUAUAUUUAUUAAUUCUAUUUAAACUAAUAUUUAAAUAUAUUUUAUUUAAACUUAUUUAUUAAUUCUAUUUAAAUUAAUAUUUAAAUAUUUAAAUAUAUUUUAUUUAAACUUAUUUAUUAAUUCUAUUUAAACUAAUAUUUAAAUAUAUUUUAUUUAUACUUAUUUAUUAAUUUUAUUUAAACUAAUAUUUAAAUAUAUCAAAUGGUUUAGAUUAAAUUUUUUUAAAUAUAAAAGCAUUAAUUAAUUGUAUAAAAUUUUAUCAUUUAACAAAUCUCAAAUAAACCUUAACCUUAAACCCUAAAUUAACCAUUCAAUACAUAUAAAGUCUAUCUAUUAUAUAUCUCUUAAAUAAUUUAAACUAUACUCAUAAUUUCAAUAUAUAUAAGAACAUAUUUAAAAUAUAAAUUAAAAAAAUAAUUAAUCUAAACCCAAAACCUUAACUCGACCCCUGAAUCCCUAUACCUUAAAUCCCUAACUCUUAACCCCUAAUGUUUAACCCCUAAACCCUUAAACCCUAAACCUUAAAGCCCAACCCUUAAACUAUAAUUCGUAAUCCAAAAUCCCUAAAUCCAUACUCUCUAAACCUUAAAAUAUGAACUCCUAAACCAGCCUUAAAUCUUAAAUUAAUCAUACACCCUAAACUAAAAACCCUAAACAAAUUUAUUAUUAUCUCUUUUACAUAAGAACAUAUUUAAAAUAUAAAUUAAAAAAUAAUUAAUCUAAACCCAAAAUCCUAAACUGACCCCUGAAUCCCUAAACCCUCAAUCCCUAACUUUUAACCCCUAACUCCUAAACCUUAAAUCCCAACCCUUAAAUCAUAAUCCCUAAUCCAUAAUCCCUAAAUCCAUACUCCCUAAACCUUAAAAUAGUAACUCCUAAACCGGCCUUAAAUCUUAAAUAAAUCAUAUACCCCUAAACCAAAAACCAAAAACCCUAAACUAUAGUGAUAAUUAAUUCAAUAUUUUAAAAUUAAUACUAUCUCUUUUAUGAUUAUAUAAUAAUUUUUUUAAUAUAUAAAUUAAAAAACAAUCAGUAAUCAUGUACCCAAAAAACUUUAAAAUUAUUUUAAAUAAUAGUAUUUUAAUUUUUUCAUGUGUUUUAUUUCAAAUUAUUUUUACGUGUCAUUUUUUUUGAAGAUUUUAAAUAUUCAAUUAGAAAUAAAUUAAAUUUUAUUUAAUUAAUAUAAAUAAACCAAUUAAAGAUAAAAUGCUUUUAGCGGCGCUUUUUCAAAAACGCCGCUAAAGCCCAAAGCAUUAGCGGCGCUUUUUCAAAAACGCCGCUAAAUCCCCAAGCAUUAGUGGCGCUUUUUCAAAAACGCUGCUAAAGCACAGAGCAUUAGCGGCGCUUUUUCAAAAACGCCGCUAAAGCUCCAAAAGUUCAGGAAACAACGCCAUUGGGCUUAGGUGUUUUGCGGUGUUUUUCAAAAAAAUGCCGCUAAUGCUCAAUCUUUAGUGGCGAUUUUCAUUAAGCGCCGCUAAUGCUCUAUUUUUACCGGCAUUUUUUAUCUAAACGCCGCUAAAAGUGCCGCUAAAAGCCUGCUUUGGUGUAGUGAAUGAAAAAGCUUGUUGUUGGGAAUUUAAUAUGUUGCGUCCUAACGCAUUGGCUGUGAUGUAUUGAUUUCUCGAGACAAAGAUUUUUUAAAAAUAUAUAUAAAAAAAAUAAAGGAAAUAUUGGAUGUUUGGGAUUUUAAGAAAUCGUGCCUUAACGUAUUGGGUUGCGUUUUCCUUAUAAAUUUUAAACAAUUAAGUAUUUUCUUAAAUUUUAUCACACGAGUUUUUUUGGGAUAAACUCAUUUUGAAGAAAUGAAAUAUCGUGCCCUAAUGUAUUGGGUGUGAAGUUUUCUGUUCCAAAAUGAGGGCGUUUUAAUAAUUAAUUUAAUUAAGGAUCGCAUUUUUUUUAACUCUCGACCUUAAGACGUUUAUUAAUCAACUUGGUACCAAUUUUUGGGCGUACGGGGGAGCUAAUCCUUCCUCGUAAGUAACUGACUCCCGAACCCGUCUUUCUAAAACUCGUAGACCAAAGUCGUUUUUAGGUGGUCCAAUCACACCUUAAUAAAAGAUUGGUGGCGAUUCCAAAUUUUCAUCGACAACUAAUUUUUAUUUUUUUUCUCAAAAAUAAAAAAUGAUUUCGACAAAUAGUUUAAACAUUUUUUUUUGCAUAACAGAAAAAUCAAGCUGAGAAAAAAAUGUACUCAUUCCAACACAUUUACAUUUGUUUUAUUAUUAUUAUUAUUUGGUUAGCCAAAUAAUACUUUUUAUUCAAAUGGAUAAAAAGAAGAAAAAGAAAAAGAGGCCAAGUAAUGGAAAUACCACACACAGCCUUAACUAAUAGCCUUAUCAUGAACCAUAUAGCACCCACAUCUCAAUACAUAAACAACAGUCGUUAUCAAAUCUAAAAAAAGAAUAACCUCAAAUCAAAUCUCCACUAAAGAUAUUAAGCCUUAUUAUAUUAAAUUAAAUGAAUUUUAAAAUAAAAUGGCCCAUUUAUUAUAUUGAUAAUAAAUAAAUUAUAAAUAAUACAAUAAUACAAUAAAAGUACAAUUUUAAUAUCUUUAAUGGAAUUAGACUGAAUAUUUAAAAUUGUAACUUACUUUUUUUUUCUCGAAAAUAACUUACUUCUUGAUAAAAUGAAAAAUUGAAACUGACAUUGAAUGUAACAAGUAAUUGAAUUUUGUUACAAUUAGAGAUUAAAUAGCAAUUAAUAACUGAAACACUGUAAAAAGUAACUGCGAGCAUUUCCUAAAUGAAAUUCAAAUUAUUAAAAACUAAAAUUGACUCUUGAAUUUAUAAACUAAAUACAAAUUAAAACUGACUUUUGAAUUUAUAAAGUAAAUUUACAUUAAAGCAAUUUCAGUUUUUUUUUUACUUAAAAGUUAAAAACUAAAACAGUAAAAAGCAUUUGAAAGAAUCCUCACCAUUUAUUCCUUAGUUUUCUGUAAAAUCUUUAAUUUUUUAAAAUUUCUUUUUCUCUUUCUUUGACAAAAACUUAAAAAUAAAAAGAAAAUUGUCAAGAUAUUACAUAACAUCCAUUCUAAGCUCAUUUAUAAAAUUGAUAAUGUAAUAUAUAUAAAAAUUAAAAAUGGUAAAAUGAUAGAGAUUGUAUGAAAGGGUUUUUAAAAUUAUUUUGUAAAUAAAUUUAUUUAUUUUUUGUUGAAUAACGUUCUAAGAGAGAAAUAGAAUCGAAGGAAGAAAAGAAGAAGUCGAGAGAGAGAGCUAAAGCAUAGAGAGAACUGGAAAACAAAAUUCAAUGUUCAUACCUUUCUCUUUUCUGUUACACGUAAUAUAAAGGAAAAUAAUAACCGUCAUACCAACAGUUCACUAAACGAACCCGUUUUUGUCCAACCAAAACCCACCGUAUCACUAAUCUACUGAAUAAGAAACGUAGCACUUAACUAAUUAUUUUCAACAGCCCUAACAGAAUUAAAACCCAUAAAAAUUGCCCGCUCUGGAAGAGAUCCUUGACCUCAAGGAUCAAAUGUGGGAAAUCGACGCUGUAGCUCCAACAGCUUCUCCCACGAAGCAUCAUCUGGAAAAAUGUCUGCCCAUUCAACCAAUACCUCCACUGCAGCGUGAUUACCUUGUCUGACCAUCCUCCGAACCAACACUCGAACUGGUGAUUUAAGAAGAGGACCAUCCGAACCAACUGGGGGCAAAGUGGGAGCGCUCACAGUUGAGCCAAUAUUUUUUUAACUGCGAGACAUGGAAAGUAUGAUGAAUUCGAGCUGAUAAAGGUAGAGACAGCUUGUAAGCCACUUGUCCUAUUCGAGCUUCCGCAGGAAAAGGACCAAAAUACCGAGGUGACAGCUUUUGGUUUCUGAAUUUGCGCAAGGAAUGUUGGCGUUAUGGCUGCAGCUUCAAAUAUACUAGAUCACCCACUUGGAACUCCCUUUCAGUUAUUCUUUUGUCAGCCAUUUGCUUCAUUCUAUCCUGAGCCUGAGAAAGGUGAAACUUGAGAACUCUGCGCAUGACCUCUCUUUGCUGCAAGGUGCGAUCCAUUGAUGCCACUGGGGUUGCACCUGCCACAUAAGGUAAAUGGAUAGGUGGGGGCUAUCCAUAAAGGGAUUCAUAAGGAAUUGUCUGAAUCGCUGAAUGAUAGGUUGUGUUAUACCACCAUUCGGCAAAUGGUAACCACGCUAACCAUGCUAAAGGUUUCUCCCCAACCAUGCAUCACAAAUAUCCCUCCAAACAUUUAUUUAAAAUCUUAGUCUGGCCAUCUGUUUGAGGGUGAUAGGCUGUUGACUUCUUCAACUUAGUCCCCAUUUGUUUAAACAGCUCCUGCCAAAAUUGACUUAAAAAAAUUUGUCCUUAUCUGAAAAAAUGGACUGGGGAAUCCCAUGAAGCUUUUAAAUGUGAUGGAAAUACUCCUGAGCCACUGUGAGAGCAGUGAAGGCAUGAGACAAUGUUAAAAAAUGAUUGUACUUUGUCAAACGGUCAACCACUACAAAGAUAGUUGAUUUUUCUUGUGAAAUGGCAAUCCCUCAAUGAAGUCUAUGCUAAUGUCCGACCAGACCCGUUCAGGAAUUGGCAACGGUUGCAAGAGACCAGGUGAUGCUGCAUUGUCUGACUUACACCGUUGACAAGUCACACACUCUCAAACCCACACCUGUAUGUCCUUGGAGAGUCCUUUCCAAUACAACAGGGCUACUAUUCUAUGGGGAGUCGCAUGUACUCCUGAGUGGCCUCCCAAGGGAGUAGUUUGAAAGACAUCAAAAAUCUAUUUUCGAAGUGCUACAUCCUUGCCAACCACCAUCUUAUUCUUCCUGCGCAAGAAAGUGCCAUGCCAUAGAUAUUUAGGGUGUAACUGUGGCUGAGAACACACCUAAUCACAUAGUUGAGACAGCUUCUGAUCGGUUUCAUACGAUCUUAGAAUCCGUUCCCAUAUCUUAGACCAAUCUGAAUCCUGACUUCCUUCGCAUUGAAACAGCUGAUGAGAUGAUGCUGAAGGUUUCUUAAACAGCGCAUCCACCACUGCAUUUUGUGACCCUUUGCGAUACACGAUUGAGUAGUCAUACCCGAGCAUCUUAGCCACCCACUUCUGUUGAUACAGUGUGAUAGCUUGUUGCUCCGAAAGAAACUUCAAGCUCUGAUGGUCCGUCUUGAUAAUAAAAUGCCUACCCACCAGGUAAGAAUGCUACUUCUUAACAACUAAAAGUACUGCCAUCAUCUCCUUAUCACAAAUAGACAAAGCUUGGUAUUUGAUUUCCAAAGCUUUGCUAAAGAAAGCUGUUGGCCUCCCAUUCUGUUGAAGGACUGCUUCAACUCCUUGCCUACUAGCGUCUGUUUCCACACAAAACUGCUCCUUAAAAUUUGGUAAAGUCAGGACUAGAGCUUGACAAAUUGCUAACUUGAGCUGUUCAAAGGCCUGUUGUUCUUGUUUUGUCCACUGCCAUAACACACCCUGUCGUAACAGUGCAGUAAGAGGCUUGGCUAUUAACCCAUACCCUCGUAUAAACCUCCUGUAAUACCUUGAUAGACCAAGAAACCCCCGUAACUCUUUAACUGAUCGUGGAGAGGCCCAAUCCAAAACACUUACUACCUUAGCUUGAUCCAUACCUUUCUCUUUUCUGUUACACGUAAUAUAAAGGAAAAUAACAACCGUCAUACCAACAGUGCACUAAACGCACCUGUUUUUGUCCAACCAAAACUCACUAUAUCACUAAACUACUGAAUAAGAAAUGUAGCACUUAACUAAUUAUUUUCAGCAGCCCUAACAGAAUUAAAACCCAUAGCAAUUUUUAAUCCAAUUUUUAAACACUAAAAUAAGCAAUUUUUAUGCGAGGUGAGAAAGAAAUAAAAUUCAUUUAUAAAAAAAUGAAACUUAUUUAAAAUGUAUCAAAAGUUGUUUAUAAAAAUUAAAUUUACUUAGAUUGUAUCAGAUUGCUUAAUUGCAUGUGUUUCACUUCAUAGAAUGUAAUGGGUUUUUUUUAACUUUGACAAUUGAUUAAGGAUGUGUGGACAACUUAUUAUUUUAACCAUACAAGUACUAGUAACUACCUCUGUUAACUCUUAAUGGCUUUAAACUUCAAAAGGGACUAAAUUGAUAUAAUAUAUAGAUUAAUUAAGUAAAAAAUUCAUAUUAAAAGGAUAUUUUUGUCAAAUUAACUACCUAUCAUUAUCUAAGCAUGGUCACUUGGCUCAAAUGCUUUUCUGUGCAAGUCAUGGUCAAUAGCCAUUAGAGUGAAUGCUACGCUGAAAAGGGUGAAUACUGAAUAGGGAUAUCAAGAAGAAUAGUCUUUUUUAUCACGCGCUUAUGUCACGGGCCAAAGUUCAAAGCCCGUGACCAUCGCACCAAAUACAUCCAAUGGAGGUCUAUUGUUCAGAUGGGGAUCAUUUGGCCCACAAGAACUGGCCCGAUUCAAAGAGCUAUUGGACAAGCCUGUCAGAUUGAAGCCUGGUUGGCCCGGUAAUGAAGAGAUGGCAACUUAGGCUAAAUAUAGUAACUAAUCUUAGAAAAUAGAGGGAAUCUUAUCUUGUAAAGAUUAGAUUAGAUUUGAUAUGGCUUAUCUUGUAAAUCCCUAAAAUACUAAAAUAAAGGGAUAUGGUUAAAUCUCAUCCGUCAAUGUAAAUGUAUCUUGAUCGUCGGUUUUGGGGAAGCUCAACUAUAAAUAGAGAGUCUCCCCCUCAUUUGUACUCAUUCCAUUGUAUUCUGAAUUCUUAAGAGUAAUAGAGUUCUGAGAGCAUUUACUCAAACACCUUGUGUGCAUUCUUUUCUAUGGCUUUCUGUUGUUCUUUGGCUUAGCUUCUUUUGGCUUAAAUCACUUCCGCUCUUUAAUUUGUGCCUUGGAGGAGUUCUUAAAGAAUCCUCACUUUUGGGCGUAAAGGCUGACUUAGGCGAGUUUAGACGAACGGAUUGCCUAAGGCUGUACGGAUUGCGAGACGAAAGGUCUAGCCCCGUGACACUUGGUAUCGGAGCUUUUGGUUCGAAGGCACUGUUGGGAUAUCGAAAGAAGUUAUUGGUCAGAAUGAGCCAAUGGAGACCCGAGGAAGGGCUAGAAAAGCGAGUCGAUCAAGGGACUUAUUGUCGGCUUUGGAAGAUCGAGUCGUCACUCUUGAGGAGUCCAUGAGAGACGUCAAGGAGAGGAUUGACGAUGUCGAUGAUAGACACAAUGAUGGGUUACGAACAUUGCAAGAGCAGCUCAGGGAAUUUGUGUGGGAUACUAUCGUUUCCUCAGAGAGUAAGCUGGCUGAGAAGGACGAUGCUCUCGAGGCUAUAGUGACAGCUUUGAAGGAGGAGAUCAAUGAUCUUAAGGGGGAGCUCAAGAUUUUCAAGGCUGCCAUAGGGAAUGGAAUGUUGGCUUCAAAGCCGAAGCCACAAGUGAUGGAUGUGCCCAAGCUGAAGGCAUUUAAAGGGGCAAGGUCUGCAAGUGAAGUGGACAACUUUCUUUGGGCCAUGGAGUAAUACUUCCGUGCAAUGAACAUCGAGGAUGAUGUCACAAAGGUAAAUACUGUUUCUAUGUAUUUCACUAAUGUUGCUUUGUUAUGGUGGCGACGUAGGUCCACUGACGUGAGACGUGGUGGGACCGAGAUUGGGACUUGGGAGGAGUUCCAAAAGGAAUUUAAAGCACAGUUGUACCCCGAGUAUGCCGAGGAUGAAGCCCGAGCAAAGUUGCGACGGCUAACGCAACGAGGCACGGUUAGGGAGUAUGUGAGGGAGUUCAGUGAACUCAUGCUCCAGAUCUCUAAUUUGAGCGAGAAGGAAGCAUUUUUCUCCUUUACAGAUGAGCUGAAACCAUGGGCGAAGCAAGGAUUGCAACGUCGAGGAGUUAAAGAACUUACCAAGGCCAUGAUGGUAGCGGAGUCUAUAGUGGAACUUGCUCCGAGAAGGGACAGGUUUGAAUCUUCCAAGCCCAAUAAGAGGGGCAAUGGUGGGUACCAUGAGGAGGAUGAAGAGGGACAAAGCUAUGAUGGCAACGGUAGUAGCAGUGAUGGUGAUGAUAGGAAACCACGAAAUGGGAAGUGGAGACCUAAUAGCCCGAAAGAAAAGAGGGGAAGGUUAUGAUACUACUUUUGUAAGGGACCGCACAUGAAGAGGGACUACCCAAAGGUAUCUUCAGUUUCGGCUAUCCAAAGAAAUGAUGAGCCGAAAGAGGCAAAGCCUAUUGAGGAAAAACCAUCGAAGGUCAAUUCGAUGGUGCUCAUUCCUAAUAAGAGGAAUGGUAAAGAAGGGUUGAUGUUUGUAGACAUCAACAUUGCGGGUCGAAAGCGGGGUGCUCUUAUUGAUACGGGAGCAUCAGACUUGUUCAUAUCGGAAAAAGCUGCAGGGAAGCUUGGUCUACCGAUUAGGAAAUCGAAUAAGAAGAUCAAGACAGUAAAUUUUGAGGAGGCCCCAACUAUGGGGGUAGUUCAGAAUGUGGAGUUACAAAUCGGCGAAUGGAAGGGCAAGGAAGACUUUGAGGUAAUCCAAUUAGAUGAUUACGAUUUUGUACUUUGCUUAAACUUUAUUGACAGGAUUCAAGCAGUUCUGUAUCCAUGGGCCGAUCAAAUUCAUGUUAUCACCGGUCCGUUAACAAGAAUUAUUAUGCCGGUGCUUCGAGAUAUGAAGGUGGGAGCAAAGGUGUUAUCAUCAAUCCAACUAGUCGAGAUUGUUUGGUAUGGGAGUAACAUUGACUCGAUAGAACGGAAAGAUACGAAAGCUCCUUCGGAAGUGUUAGUGGCUCAAGAGUUCGAUAUGAAGCCUGCAGAUUCGAUUGUGGAGCCGACACCUUUGAGAAAGGUGGGUUAUGCAUCGGGCUUCAAGGAAAAGGGAGCGAUGCGAAAACAGUCGGGACGAGUAAAUGCUGCGAGUAAGGUACAUUACGAACACUUUGAUAGUGUUUUGAAUUCUGACUUGUUGGUUUGGCAAGGUCGUAGGGGCCCUUUCAAAGUUCAUGAGAAAGGAGGCCAAUAGACUGUGGGCAAUACGAAGCCAAGAUGUGAGAAUCAAGAUGAUUCAAGUGAGAACAAGUCAAAGUUGAGGCAAGUUAAAGCAGAGACUUCUUGCCAACAAGAUGUACCAACGAGUGCAACGGUUCAAGGGAAGAUGCAACGGAAGCUGAGGCAAAGGUUCCGAAGGAAGGGACAACCUGAUCGUAAGGCAAGUCAGGGAGAAGCCAAGGUAACGAGAAAGUUCAAAGAUGAAUCAUGUCAGUGCCAUUCGGAAGUCGCAACGAGGGCGUUGCGAGAAUGGGUGGGGGAGAAUGUCACGGACCAAAGUUCAAAGCCCGUGACCAUCGCACCAAAUUCAUCCAAUGGAGGUCUAUUGCUCAGAUGGGGAUCAUUUGGCCCACAAGAACUAGCCCGAUUCAAAGAGCUAUUGGACAAGCCUGUCAGAUUGAAGCCUGGUUGGCCCGGUAAUGAAGAGAUGGCAACUUAGGCUAAAUAUAGUAACUAAUCUUAGAAGAUAGAGGGAAUCUUAUCUUGUAAAGAUUAGAUUAGAUUUGAUAUGGCUUAUCUUGUAAAUCCCUAAAAUAAAGGGAUAUGGUUAAAUCUCAUCCGUCGAUGUAAAUGUAUCUUGACCGUCGAUUUUGGGGGAGCUCAACUAUAAAUAGAGAGUCUCCCCCUCAUUUGUACUCAUUCCAUUGUAUUCUGAAUUCUUAAGAGUAAUAGAGUUCUGAGAGCAUUUACUCAAACACCUUGUGUGCAUUCUUUUCUGUGGCUUUCUGUUGUUCUUUGGCUUAGCUUCUUUUGGCUUAAAUCGCUUUCGCUCUUUAAUUUGUGCCUUGGAGGAGUUCUUAAAGAAUCCUCAGUUUUGGGCGUAAAGGCUGACUUAGGCGAGUUUAGAUGAACGGAUAGCCUAAGGCCGCACGGAUUGCGAGACGAAAGGUCUAGCCCCGUGACACUUACACCUACAAGACUGGUACGGUAACGUCGUAACUAGGGUUAAGAGUGUAACGAGUGCAAUUCAACACUUGUCCUCAGCAGAUAUUGGUAACCUAUUGUUUUUAAUUAUUGUGAAACUUGUGAUAAUAUUACUCUCUUCUACGACUGCCGAAGUAGGGGAUUUCUAAAUAGUCGUUUCAGUUUCAGAAAGGGCAGAAGAGAAAGGAUGGUUAAUAUGAAUGCCAUGGAAGCAGUGACAAAGUUGAAAUUCCUGUCGAUGAUUUGGCAGACGGAAUUCUUGCUGUGAGUGAAAGUUUAAUUCAACCGUUUGACAUUACAGACUUUGCAUUCGACGAAUAUUGUAAACAAUGCAUGGAUUCCGGCGGAAGAUGUGGCAUUGGAUCAUCCAACCAAACUGUACCCUCAGGAUUAUCCGUCUACAACAAUCAAAUUGUGGGAAGCAAUAUUUCGUAACUCCAGUCCAGUGCUUAAGAUUCUUCAUUAAAGCUCACCAAAAUAAAAACCAAAAGUAGAAAAUUCAAAAAAGUUAAUUGAAGUAUGUAGAUAGAUAUACAAAUUAGACAUUUCUAAAUCUUGCUCGGCUGAUGCAUCAAAGUAAAAGCGACUAUUACUUUUUCUCCAUCCCUCCUGUUUCUUCAAAAUUUAUUGCUUGGUGAGAGUGAAUAGCGACACUAAUUUAAUUUUAGCCUUAAUAUUAUCUAUACUUUUUUUAAAUUUGGUACUUAAACUUGACCUUUUUUUUAAGUUAGUACUUAAUAUUUUUUUUGGGUCCAAUUUGAUACCUGAACUUGAUUCGUUUUCUUAAUUUUGUACCUAUUUUUUUUUUGCUUGAGUUGAUAGUUGAACUUGUCAAACAUUUAUGAGGUAGCAAAAAUAAUAAAUGUAUGAUCAAGAUGUGACAGAUGAUAUAUUUUGUUUAUAAGUUCAAUUACUUUUAAUUUUAUUUAUUUAUUUAUUCUAUUAAUUGAAAUAAUGAAUUUUUUAAUUUGAGUUUUUAAAACUCUCUUUUUUUCUUAUUUAAUAUUAAUUCAUUAAGUAUAGCUCAAUACCUAAUUUUUAACAUGAAUUUCCUAUAAUACUAACAAUAUUUAUGUAGCAUAACAAAUUUUUUUAAUACUAUUUAAUGUUUUGCAUAAUUUGUAUAACAUUUAAUAAAUUGAGGUCCCAAAUUGAACCUAAAAAAAGGUUGAGUACCAAAUUAAGAAAAAAAUAUGCCUAAGUUAAGGUAUUAAACUGGGCUCAAAAAAAGUGCAGGCAGAAUCAGCCCCCUGUUAUGACGCUCAGUUCCCAAGAAUUCUAUGUGCUGCAUCUCAAUCAGUCUCAUGGUUUGUUGACAAUCAAACGAGUGGAAUUGAGCAACACUUGUCCUCAGCCGAUUUAUGAUAAACAAUGCUUUUAAUUAUACUGAAACUGCUGAAAAUAUUAUUCUGUUCUACGACUGCCGAAGCAGGGGAGGUCCGAAUCAUCGUUUCAGUUGCAGAAAGGGUGGAAAAGAAACUUCCCUCUUGUUCUUUAAGGAGGAUGAAAAUGAAUGUAUUGGAAAUAGUGAACAAGUUGAAAUUCCUAUUGGAAGAAAGGUCUUUGAUGAUCUGAUUGGCGGAAUCAGCACUGUGAAUGGAAGUAUAGUCGAACCCUUUGAUAUUAGAUACUUCGCAGACAAUAAUUAUUGCAAACAAUGCGAGGAUUCUGGCGGAAGAUGUGGAUCCAACCAAAUUGAAACCUCUCUAUUUGUCUGCUAUUGUCGUGAUCAUCCUCAUAUACUCAAAUGCAACCAAGGUAUGGUAUACCUGCUUCUUUUAACUCUUCCUGAAUCGUUAAACACUCCAUUGUUCAGAAACAUGGAACCCAGUUGAUAUCCAGUCGUCUUUUUCUGCUGUUUAUGACCCAGAAUUAACCCCAGCUUUGGGUUCUUAAUUAUCCAAUCUUUUCAGCUUUUUCUUCAUUGAUUAGACCUUUAAAAUGAUCCAUGCAUGGUCUAACUUUGGAAUUGGUCAGCGGUCCCAGACAGCAGCAUCCAUUAAGGGACUAUUCUUCCCAACUUGUUUGGCCCAAACCUCAUCUUCUACUUCUCUUCUUAAUUUCAUUCCCCCCUUCAAAUGCAAUGGAAAGGUUUGGCCAAAGUAAUGCUUCUUUUUCUCUCCUUUCAAUUCAACCACCGAAAUCUUUGGUUAUAUAGAGCAAGUGCCCCCACCUAUUAAAUUACUCUUCUAUUCUAUCUUUUCUCAAUUGUCCCAUUGCUCUAAUUUUAUAAAAGAAAUUAUUUUAUUCUUUCAUCCUCUCUUAUUAAUGUCUUUUAACUUUGUUAAUGUAGCAUAUACAUAAAUAGACACAUAAACAUUUAAUUAAUUUUUUAAUUUUAAAAAUAUUUUUUUAUGAAUUGAAUUAUUUUUAAUUUUUAAAAUUAGUUUUUAUAACUUUUUUGAAAAUUUUAAAUUUUAAAAAAUUAAUUAAAUCUUGACGUACCAUCCACAUGACAAUUCAUAUAUAUGCAAUAUCAAUAGAUAUAGCCCUACGCUGCCUACUCCUACCCCGUCUGUCUUGGGUGUUCAUAAUGAUAUUUGACAGUUUUAACUAUAUCUAAAGUUUUCACACAUAAAAAGUUCAAGCAUAAACUAUUUUUCCUUAGUGUUUACAAUCUAGAGGCUACAAUUUAUCUAAAGUUUCAAAAGUAACAAUUAACUAAAUUAGGAUCGGCAUCAGAGUCUCAGAUUUAAUUUAUUUUUAAAGAAAAUAAUUUUUCAAAAGUUUGUGGCAUGACUUUUCCCCAAAAUACCCCUCUUUAUAACAUGCAUGUAGACUUAUUUAAAAAUCCAUAGUCCAAGUUUCAGAAACUUAACUAUGAUACCACCAAAUGUAACAUUUCUAACCCGGUCUAUAAAACUAUCGAAGUUUAAAACAAUCUUUAUUUUAUCAGAAAAACUUAGUGUGUUUCCUUAAGGUACAAUUUCUUUAAAAAAACCAAUUGAUUUUAACAGUUACUCAUUUCCAAUUUAUUUACUAUUCAAAUUCUCAUUCAUGUGAUAUCGCAACGGAAAAGUGAUAUUCAUAAUAGUUUUAAAUAAGAAAAACUAGAAUUUUAUGCAUAAUUAAAUAAGAGAAAAGUUCCUACCUAUACUCCACUACACUUCACAAUAUGAGUUCUCUAGAAGUCAUCCAUCCCAACACUCCGUUUUGUGGAUGAACCACCAAUAACGUGAGAAUGAAUUGCCGGUAAAAAUUAUGGAUAAACUACUAGUAUUUUUUCAUUAAAAAAUACAGUUAAACUGCUAGUAAUUUUUGGAUGAACCACUAGUGUUUACAGAUAAAUUGGCAAUAGGAUGUGGAUGAACCACCAAUGUUUGCAUAUUAUUAAGCUGUCAAUAUUUUCUCAUUUCAAUCAUCUCACCCCAUGCAGUGCAGUAUGACAUGCUUAUAACAAUGUCGUACAAAAUUAGUAGACAUUUUUAACAUGUAUUCAAUUCAACAGUAGCAAUAGACAUGCUUACCAUGCACUCAAAAGGCUAAAGCAGUAAUUAUAGUAUCAAUUCAUUAGAAUUACAAUGACAAUAGUCAUGCAACAUUCACAUAUUAUAUAUUAUAACAGUUGUAAUCCAUUCAUUAAAUCAUAAAUUCCAAUAUAUUCAUAAUAUCAGGGACUCAAUUGAGUGAAUAAAAUCUUUAAAAAUAAUUUGGGGGCUAUAUAGGGACUAAACUAAACAAUUCACAAAAUUUUGGGAAAAACUAUAAAAUAGAGGUCAGACGACCGUGUGGCUAGGUUGUGUAGAAGGGUUACACUAUUGUGUGGCCAGGCCAUGUAACAGCCUGAUGCCGUGUGAAAAUCGAUAAAUUACCCUAUACUAGAGACACGGCCGUGUGGUUCACAAAGUCCUUAAAAUGUACAGGUGUAGAUGGUUGUGUGGUGGUUAUGUGUUCCACCCGUGUAGUCCUCAUGCCUAUGUGGGUGACCUUGUGGCCCUAUACCUAUACACGAUGUGCCCCAAUUCACUUAGUAAAGAUCACACAUCUUUCACAAUAGGUCCAAUAGACGUUCCUUACGCUCGAUUUUGAUUUGAUUCACCUAAAUUUGGUCCUUCAACAGGGAAUACACACGAGUUAACAAUUAUUAUCAAGAUUUUGAAAAGAUUA
rnacentral:lncRNA from 1 species